CCGCCACUCCAUAUCCUCGAAAGUCCGUAGUCCUUGUCUCAACUGUGUCUGGGGCCAGUGUAAGUCCAAUUUGCGCAAGCUCUUUAUGCACCACAGCUCUUCUGGAAGCUUUCUCAAGUAAGCACAUGGGUUGACAAUUAAGCUUUCAAGUUUCGGCAUUGCUCCAGCCCCCAUCGUCCACUCAUCUAGCCAAUACAUUGAUUUCAGGUGCAAAACCUUAAGUUCGGGAAAGCUACUCAAGCCAACACAAGCAAGCUUUCUUCCUAAAUACGAGUUCUGCUUCAGUUUCAGCACUCGAAGGAGUGGAAGAUUUUCCAGAAUUGGCAUGGGAUCCUGUUGUGAAUUUGGCUUUGUUACGACUAACCAAAUUCUCCCCAAGACACUAAUUUUGUAUCAAAUGGUUUGAGAAUUAACAGCACAGAUUAUGCAGUAACAAAUCACACGCAAGAACCAAAGCAUUAAAGAAACAAAGUGACACCAAGUAUAAGUGGUUCAGCACCAAGAUGUGGUGCCUACAUCCACUGGAAACAAAGCAACAGUCUUUCACUAUUUAGUUCACAAAACAAUACAAUAAUAGGAAUUUAUUUACAGAGAACAAGAACUUGUAAACCCCUUUCUCUCUCUAUCUUCUCUCUACUCUCUGUGUUUCCCAAUUCAUGUGUAGACGAUGACAGAGCCUGCACUUUUAACCUCUGUUUCUGGGUUGUUACAUUAACUACCCUUCCCGCCAAAACUAACCAAGAAGCUCCUCUCUCACGUGCUUGUCACAAGUUGGCAUAAGUGAGCUUGAAACGGCAAUCACAGAUGUCGUUCUUGAGCUAACGAGAUUUCAGCUUCACUACACGUGCAAACCACGUGUAUUACUUAAAGGUUGAAUGACCAAAGAGAGGAUGUCGGUUUUACUCUGAAGAACUCCUCAAGCGACAAGUCGGCUGAGACUAACUCCUCUAAACGACUUGUAGCACUUGAGUUUCGAGUUCACUGUUUAUCAAUCUCCACCUUGAACUCAGAACUCUAGCUACUCAUGUUUACUUCAUUCUCUUCCAUUUGCAGCUAAUCAGAAGCUGCAAAUCCCUACUAAGCUCAAACAGAAGUUGAGCUUGGCAGAUGGCAUAGCUUUAGUCAACAUAUCAGCUGGAUUUUGAUCAGUGUGAACCUUGAGCAUCUUCACAAUUCCCUUGGAAACUUCAAGUCUAACAAAAUGCAGCUUUACAUCGAUAUGUUUUGUUCUUUCGUGAUGGGUCUGGUUUUUACUCAAAUGUAUUGCACUCUGGCUAUCACAAUAUACUUCAACUGUUUCUUGUUUUGCUCCUAACUCAGAGACCAUUCCUUUUAACCAGAUGGCUUCCUUAAAAGCUUCUGCAGCUGCUGUAUAUUCGGCUUCAGUUGUGGACAAAGCUACCACACUUUGCAGUGUAGCUUUCCAAUUCACAGUGCAGCCUCCCAAAGUGAAUAUAAAACCUGUCUGAGACCUCAUUUUAUCAAGAUCUCCAGCGAAAUCUGAGUCAACAUACCCCACCAGCUUGUGCCCUUCCUGUUUUAACCCUCCAUAUAGCAGACCAAACUCCAUAGUGCCUUUCAGGUACCUCAUUAUCCAUUGGACUGCCCUCCAAUGUUCAUAACCUGGAUUUGCCAUGAAUCUACUCACUACACUCACAACAUGUGAGAUAUCAGGUCUAGUGAGAACCAUGGCAUACAUUAGAUUCCCAACUGCACUGGAGUAAGGUAUCCUUGCCAUUUUUCCUUGCUCUGCAUCAGUUUGUGGACACUGUGCAGCAGACAGCUUGAAGUGAUUUGCCAAAGGUGUUUGAACAGACUUAGAUUCAUGCAUCCCAAACCUAAGUAACACCUUUUUAACAUAGCCCUGUUGGGUUAGAAACAUAAGCUUCCUUCUCCUGUCUCUGAUAAUUUCCAUACCUAAGAUCUUCCUUGCAGCUCCAAGAUCUUUCAUAUCGAAUUCACUGCUCAAGAGGUCCUUUAAAUGACUGAUUUCAUUUAUGCUGUGACAUGCUAUAAGCAUGUCAUCCACAUACAGCAUAAGAUAAAUCAUCUUUCCAUCACCAAUGUCCUUAAAGUACACGCAACAAUCAUAAUUGCUUCUCUUAUAGGCAUGUUUUGUCAUGAAACUAUCAAACUUCAAGUACCAUUGCCUAGGAGACUGCUUUAAUCCAUAUAAAGAUUUCUUUAGUAAGCACACAUGAUCUUCCUUGCCAGACACCACAUACCCCUCAGGCUGCUCCAUUACAAUUUCUUCUUGUAAUUCACCAUGCAGAAAGGUUGUUUUAACAUCCAUCUGCUCUAGGUACAAGUCUUGAAUGGCAACUAAAGCUAAGAUGACUCUGAUGGAGGCAUGUUUCACAACUGGAGAGAAGAUUUCAUUGAAAUCAAUCCCCUCUCUUUGUGUGAAACCUCUUGCUACCAGCCUAGCCUUAAACCUACUAGGUUCAGCAUCAAAUAUCCCUUCCUUAAUUUUGAAGAUCCAUUUGCAGCUAACAGUCUUCCUUUUCUCUGGUCUAACUAUCAGUUUCCAAGUUCCAUUUUUCAUUAGUGAUUCAAUUUCCUCAUCCAUAGCCUUCUUCCAUUUCAGCUUAUCCCUGUUGUUUAUAGCUUCUUUAUAGGUUCUUGGCUCUUCUUCAUUUAUCUCUUGUGCAGCUGUUAAUGCAUAAGCUAUCAAAUAUGCUACUGCAUACCUCUUAGGUGGUCUUACAGCUCUCCUCUUUCUAUCCCUGACCAACUGAUAAGAGUUAUUUUCAUUCUCAGCUGGCUCUGACUCCUGAACACCAUCAGAUCCAUCAGCAACCCUUCCUGCAUCUUCUUCAGAUUCUGAUUCAGUCAUAUCUUGCUCAUGGGACUCCACCUGAAACUGAAUACUCCCAGGUUUUAUUUCUGAUCUAUACUCUUUGGAUUCAGUGGCUUUGGAAUUGUUCAAGAUUUCUGACUCAUUGAAAGUUACAUCCCUACUGAUAAUGCAUUUUGGUGGCUUCAGAUCAAUGCACCAUAGCCUAUAGCCUUUAACUCCAUCAGGGUAUCCCAAAAAUCUACACUUUAAGGCUCUUGGCUCCAAUUUGCCUUGUUUGACAUGUGCAUAAGCAACACAGCCAAAGAUUCUUAGUUUAGAGUAAUCAGCAACCCUUCCAGACCAUAGCUCGAUAGGUGUUUUGCAUUCUAUUGCUGUAGAUGGGCUUCUGUUUACCAAGUAGCAUGUUGUGUUUAAGGCCUCUGCCCAGAGUGACUUAGGCAGCUUUGAGUAUAGCAGCAUACACCUCACGUUGUCCAUUAAGGUUCUAUUCAUCCUCUCAGCAAGACCAUUUUGCUGAGGUGUGUGUAUGACUGUUUUGUGCCUCAUAAUCCCAUGUCUUUCACAGAAGUCCCCAAACUCUUUAUUGCAGAAUUCCAUUCCAUUAUCUAUUCUUAGAGCUUUUACUUUCAAACUUGUUUGUGUUUCUACCAGAAUUUUCCAUCUCUUGAACCUUUCCAAAACUUCAUCUUUGGUUUUGAGUACAUACACCCAAACCAUCCUUGAAUAGUCAUCUAUUAGGGAUAAGAAAUACCUACAGCCACCAAGGGAAUCUACCUGUGCAGGUCCCCACAGAUCAGAGUGUAUAUAUGCAAGCCUCUCUUUGGUAGAAUGAACUGCAGAUUCAAACUUGAGCCUGGAAGCCUUCCCUAGAAUACAGUCUUCACAGAACCCCAAAGAACUUAGCUUGUCACUUCCAAACACCCCCUUCUUUUGAAGCUCCUUCAGUCCUCUCUCCCUCAUGUGCCCCAACCUCAAGUGCCAUAGUUUUGCUUUAUCUUCACUCUUCUCAGUGACACUUGCCUCUCCAACAGUUGUAUGUCCAUUAAGCACAUACAAACCAUUUUGCUUGGUACCUUUCAUUAUGACUAUUGAGCCUCUGAUAACUUUUAAUGUCCCAUUUUCAGCCUUAAUGACACAUCCAGUUUGAUCAAGCAUGCCAAUAGAUAUUAGGUUCCUUUUGAGUUCAGGAACAUGCCUAACCUGAGUCAGUUCUCUAACCAUGCCAUCAUACAUCUUAAGGCUUACAGUCCCAAUCCCAACUACUUUACAAACUGAAUUAUUUCCCAUCAGCACCAUACCCCCAUCACAGGACUGAUAUGUAGUAAAGUAAUUUCUAUUUGGACUCAUAUGAAAAGUACAUCCAGAGUCUAGUACCCACUGACCUUGAGUUUUUUCUUUUGUGGCAAUGAGGACUUCAGCUGUCUCAAAACUGGUUUCUUCUGUGGCUAUUGCUGCAUUUCCAGAUUUUUCUUUUGAUUCCUUUUGUUUUGUUUUUCUCUCAGGGCAAUCCCUCUUGAAAUGCCCUUCUUUGUGGCAGUGAAAACACUUCAAGUGUUUUUGCUUUGACUUUGAUCUUCCUUGCUUCUUUCCUUUGUAUUCUCUUUUUUCAGAUCUUCCCCUUGCCAUCAGCCCUUCACUUGAUUCACUCUCUGAGUUAUCUUGUUUGUCUUUUAACUUCUUGGUACCAAGAGCAGAUUUAACCUCUUCCAAGGAGAGUGAUUGCCUUCCAUAUAACAAGGCAUCCACAAAAUGUUCAUACGAUUUUGGUAAAGAACUGAUUAACAGCAAAGCCUUGCUCUCAUCACUCAGUCCUUCAUCAAUUGUUUCCAGUUCAUCACAAACUUUAUUAAACUCAUCUAUGUGUUCAUCAAGUGAUGCUCCUUCAAUCAUCCUCAGUGAGAACAUCUUUUUCUUGAUGUAUAGCCUGUUUGCUAAAGACUUUGUCAUAUACAAUUGUUCCAGUUUUGCCCAGAGCCCAGCAACAGUCUUUUCUUUUGCAACUUCCCUUAUCACUGAGUCACCAAGACUGAGGAUGAUAGUGCUUCUUGCCUUUUUGUCAAUCUCAGCCAUCUGUUCUGGAGUUCUUGAAGAAGAAGCUUCUGCAUUUUCACUCUUGAUGACUGGAUCAAUGGCAUCUCCCAGACCUUGUGUGAUUAACAAUGCUUCCAUCUUGAUCCUCCACAUAUUGAAGUCAUUCUGACCCGUGAACUUCUCAAGAUCCACCUUGUUUGUCAUUUCUUGAACCUUGAUACAGAAAAGAGGGCUCUGAUACCAAUUUGUUGUGAAUUUGGCUUUGUUACGACUAACCAAAUUCUCCCCAAGACACUAAUUUUGUAUCAAAUGGUUUGAGAAUUAACAGCACAGAUUAUCCAGUAACAAAUCACAUGCAAGAACCAAAGCAUUAAAGAAACAAAGUGACACCAAGUAUAAGUGGUUCAGCACCAAGAUGUGGUGCCUACAUCCACUGGAAACAAAGCAACAGUCUUUCACUAUUUAGUUCACAAAACAAUACAAGAAUAAGAAUUGAUUACAGAGAACAAGAACUUGUAAACCCCUUUCUCUCUCUAUCUUCUCUCUACUCUCUGUGUUUCCCAAUUCAUGUGUAGACGAUGACAGAGCCUGCACUUUUAACCUCUGUUUCUGGGUUGUUACAUUAACUACCCUUCCCGCCAAAACUAACCAAGAAGCUCCUCUCUCACGUGCUUGUCACAAGUUGGCAUAAGUGAGCUUGAAACGGCAAUCACAGAUGUCGUUCUUGAGCUAACGAGAUUCCAGCUUCACCACACGUGCAAACCACGUGUAUUACUUAAAGGUUGAAUGACCAAAGAGAGGAUGUCGGUUUUACUCUGAAGAACUCCUCAAGCGACAAGUCGGCUGAGACUAACUCCUCUAAACGACUUGUAGCACUUGAGUUUCGAGUUCACUGUUUAUCAGAUCCUCCAUUAGCUCAGUAUUUGAUAAGCUCAGUUGGAUCAGACUUGGGGGAAAUUGGUAUUCAGACAGGACCAUCCGUGACGGCUUGCUCUCAUUCACCAGCUUCAAGCAUUCAAGUUUGUGGAGUUCGCAAAGGCUUUUGGAAACCCCAGAUUGAUAGUAACUCAAAUCUCCAGAUAUCCGAAGAGUCCGAACACUAGGUAGUCUGAACAAUAUAUCAGGAGUACAACUACUAGGGUUUAAAGCAGAUGUGAAAAUGAGAUUUUUCAGAGAGCUAGAAUAAUUUUUUGGAGGUGCGGGCAAAGUGAUAGAACCAAAGUUUAGAUGCAUGAGUUUUUGCAUCAUCCAAAUAUCCUCUGGUGACUGAUCUAUGUGGCUAGAUGGCAUUUCUAGUGUUUCAAGGUUUAAAAGGGUGCAUAGCAGUGAAGGAAGGCAUUUGAGCGAAGGGAUAUUCAAUUUCAAAUACUUCAAAAGAUAUAAAUUUUCUAAUCCGGGUGGAAAUUGGUCGAGAACUGCAGAACCGAAGUUCAAUACCCGAAGGUGUUUGAACCUUUUAAAAAAAUUCUCGCAAUCUUUCGGAUUAAGAUGAUUGCUUUUUGAACUGUGAUUCAGAAAAGAUUGGAGAUACAUGUAAGAAUAUUCUAAAGGAAAGAAGUCAAACUGAUUACCCAAAAUGAUGCACCGUUUAAAAUUUGCCGGCGGUUCCUCAUCCACGUCAUGCAUCCAGACAAAUCCCGUCGCCUGUGCCAACAAUAACAAUGAAGUAUAUACAAAACUUGGAACAUAACACGCUUUAAUUGUGCCGCCGGCGCUUCUCUUACUCACUUGAAUGAAGCCGCGAUGGAUUAAUUGUUUCAAGUAAUGUUCGGCAGUUUCUUCACUGUUGUAUGGUAUGAAACCUUCAGCUACCUACAACUGAUAUAAUUGCCUCGUGGAUAUCUCAAUACUUGGAGGGAAGACACACAAAUAGAUGUAGCAGACUUUCAAGUGAAAAGGUAACUCCAUCACAGAAAAAAUUUGUCUCUCAACUGUCAAGCCGAAUUUUCCUUGGGUCAGGGUUUCUAAUGGCAUACUUCCAUAGUGUAGGAUGAAAAAUUGCCAGGCUUCAUGCUUUAAUCUGAUCAAUGGUCCUCCAAUGAGCACCGAAUCAAGCCGAAUUUUCUCUCCAUUUUCCAUUUCCAACGACGUAAGGAGUGUUGGUUCAGUGACCAAUAUCAAUACUCUGCUUCCAUUCUGAUCAUCAGGAAGAAGUUCUACAACAUCACUCCACAUCUCACUGUAAUGGAAGACAUCAUCAAGCACAAUAAAGUACUUCUUGUUUGUUAGGUAAUCUCGAAGAAUAGAUUUCUUGAAUUGAUAAUCUUUACCGAUAAUUACUCUAACCCGAGAUGGAGGCAUCACAGAUUUGAUUAUGUCUUCCAAUAUCUUGCCAAAAUCGUAGAGUAGAGAAACCCUGACCCAAGCAAGACAGUCAAAAUAGAACUUGACAUAGUUAUUAUUGUAAGUAUCUGCAGCAAAAGCAGUCUUAUCGAAGCCACUGCUGUCGAGAAUUGCAACCACUGAAAGCCCAGAUGGUCCCUCAAUCAAUAGAUCAAAAAACUUCUCUCAGCCCCGUUCAAAUUCACUGAUAUCGAGCGGAGGUUGUCCCUCACUUAAUAGGCGAAUGAUUUCGUUACUUUUUUCACUGAUAUCAAAACCAUUGUCGCCGGGUGGAAGUUGUUGCGUCCGAUUUCUAAUAUCAAUGAGUUCACUGUGGAGUCCAUCAUGAAGAGCCAUAUUAGUGCUGCUUUCACUUUCGUUUUAACUGUUUUGCUGCUGCAUGAUGUUGAUGAAGAACGUGUCAAUGGCUUCCUCAGAUUCAUGGACAAAGUCAUUGAUGUCCUGAAGAAUUUCCAGAAUGUCUGAUCUUUCAUCGUCUUCUUCAUCACUUUCUUCUAAGUCCAACAGUUGCAAUAAAGGCAAAGACAUUUCGGAUUCAACGAAUUCUUGUCUGAUGAGUUGAGACAAAAUCCGAGCCAUGUCAGCUUCAUAGUUUCCCAACAGAGUAGUAGUAAUAAUUUCAGACUCCGUAAGAAGGUUUUGAAAAAACGGGGCUAAAUUUGUUGAAUCAGGCAACGUUAACGUGCCUUCUUCACCUGCUAACACCCUUCUCAACCUCUCACAAAACAGUCGGAGGUGGACGUCCAGCAUAUCUCCUUCUCUCUGUAGCACCCAGAGGUAUUGUUUUUUGCUCCAAGAAAUAUUAAAAGGAUUGGUUCUAUCUCAAAGUGGUUACUGGUGUAAAAUUAAACGCCAUGGGAGAAUUUGAAUGGAAGAUGCCAAGGAACUGGCGAAGUGGCUAAAUUCCACAAAUACGGCAUUAUUGCUCAUUUUUAACUCAAAAAAUUGAUACGCGUUCAUUUAGCGAAAAGUCCAAGACGCGUGCCUUUUGAAAAGAAGAGGUAUCCAAUAGAUAUCCAACCUUUAUCUUAUUUUAAUUACUACCACGACAUGAUUGAUGGUGGUUAAAUCAAUUGUUUCUUUUUUAAUUUAAAGAAAUUUUCAUUAAAAAAAUAUUUUAAUAUCAAAUUGCCUUCAAUAGCGUAACUGCCGCAGGCCCAGUAACAGGAUUAAUUAAAUUUUUUUGAAUUUUUGGGCAUGGAAAGAGUAGUAUUAGACUUCAGUAAGCUAAGGUUGUUAUGUUAAAGAAUUGAUAUUGACAUAAUUUUAUUUUAGCUUUCGGGGAAAAAAAUAUUUGUUGACAAGCAAGAAAAUAUUUUUGUAUUUUACAAUUUAUUAUACUUAGUUUAUCAUAUUAAAGUAAUUUUAAUAAUAAAUAGACACAUAAUAUUACAAUAAAUAAAGUAAAGUUUAAAUUAUUUUGAAUAUUAUAAAAAAUAAUUUUAAUAUUAUUAAUAGGAAGACAUUUUGUUAAUUUUAAAAUAUUUUUAACCUAAAGGUUUAUUUAAAAUCUUUAGAAAUCUCCAUCCCACAUCUACCCUAUUAAACAAGUUGAUGGAAAUUGAACAAUUGCUUUUUGAAGUGUACCCAUUGAGUUAUGUUCAUUACUGGUCAUUGUCUAUUCUUUCUAAGAGCCACUUGUUUUGAGCAUUAGCAAUCCUAUCUGGACUACUCCAAUUAUUGAUGUAACUCCAAUGGUUGCAUCAACAGUUGAAUGUAAGAUAGUGUUAGUUCUUUUUUGAGAAUUUCUUUAUUUGUUUCUCCGUUGCAGCGUAUUAGUAUAAAUUUCUUUACCUUACAGAUCCUACAGUCUUCCUGUUAAUGAAUUCGCUGAGGCAUUAUUGAUCCAAUCUCAGUGAAGUAAUUGUGGGUGAAAGAAAAAAUAAAGGAUAAGAGAACGUAGCUCAAGUGCGGCAAACCAUACAUGCAUGAACAAAAGCCAGCAAAUCCAAAUGAAAACUUAAACGGAAGAUCUUAUUCAAGUUUGUCCCCAAAAGACAGCUGAAAUGAAAAAUAUUGACUAUCGAGUGGAUCAAUGCUGAAUUACAUUUGACCUGGAAAGCUUGGCUGCCGUUGCGAUGUUCCCCCUCUGAUUUUCCCUAAAACAAAUUCAGUUGUAAACAAUAACUGGGGUAGCAACAAUUUAUUCAUUAUAGAAAAUACCUAAAUUUUCAACCACCAAAUCCUCGUGUCUAAACUAAAAAACUCAUAUCUCUAAAAUCUAUAUACAAAAUGUCAUAAAUGAGGGUGAUCUCUCAAUUCGGUAAAUAAAUUCAUGCAUAAUAUUACCAAUAAUGAUAAAUUACAUAAUAAUUAUUAUAAAGAAUCAUAAAUUGGAAACAUUAAUCAUUUUAAAAUGUAUUACAUAAUAAAGAUAAAUCUUAUAAUAAGUUACGUUAGAACAUAAUAAAUAUUUUCAAUAAUAUAUAUAAUUAUUUAAGAAGUCUUUUAGCAAUAAAAUAUAUAUUUUUUCUUUUUCAGUUGAUCAUGUCAUAGCGUUAUCUAAAAUGUUAGCGAUAUCAUUAUUCUUCACUUUUCUCAAAAAAAAAAAAAGAAAAAAAAAAGAAACAUGAUUAACGUUUGGAGAAAAGUCAUGCCUUUUAAAAAGAAUAUGUAUACAAUACCAAUCCAUACUUUAUCUGACCAUGACAAAAUUGUUUAAAAUAGAUUUAAUGCACAAAUAUGAUGACUUUUGGCAGAAAUUAGUUUCGGAAAUAUUGGGAUGAAAACCAUAUUGGUUGAGACUUAAAAUUACUUAACUACCAUUUAAUAGAUAAAAACCAUAUUAGUUGAAAGUUAAAUUAAGAUUUAAAUGUUGAGAUAUCUAACGUUACUUAAUCAGAAUAAACAAUAAUCAAUUCAAAUUAUGACUAUCAUGUAGAAGCAAAUGUUUAUGCUUGGGUCUUUUACUUCUUGAAUUUGAUUGGAAAAAUUUCUGAGACAGAGAAGUGAGUGUUUUGGAUAAUAUUUUUCGGGAUUGAAACCACAAAUUGGUCGAGGAAAAUAAUUUUGGACAAAUUUUUAUUAUAUUGUAGCACCUUUUUGGUUCCUUUUGUGUCGGCAGCCCCUCACUAUUCUCUUAACCCUGAGUUUUGAGAUAGAAAUUUCCCGAACUCCAACCCCACAUCCACAGACAAGUUGAUUGAAACAAUUGCUCUUGUAAUUAAGAGGAUGAGAUAGGGUUCAGUUCUUAUCAUUGUCUGUUAUUUCUUUGAAUCAUUAUCUUAAUUAAUUACAUCAAUUGUUUCUUUUUUUAAUUUAAAGAAUUUUUCUUUAAAAAAAUAUUUUAAUAUCAAAAUGCGUUAAAUGGUAUUACUGCCGCAAUCCCAGUAACAGGAUUAAUUAAAAAAAUAUUCUUAGGAAGAUAUUUUGUUUAUUGUAAAAUCUUUUUAAUCCAAAGGUUUAUUUAAAAUCGUUAUAAUAAAUAAAAAUAUAAAAACAAAAUAAAUAUCAUAAUUUAAAAUUUUAAUAUUAUUUUAAAUAUUAAAAAUACUUUAAUGCUAUUAGUCUACUACACAGGUUAUAUUACUUAUAUUAUAUUUGUAUAAAUUAAAACUUUUAAAGUUAAAUCUUUAAUUACUAUAUUGAAAAGGUAUUAUGGUUAAAAAAAGUUUUGGCAUUUUUUUUUGAAAAUUUGAGGGUCUGCAUGACAAUUUGUCCAAAUCCUAGAGGUAUAGGUGUAUUUUUUUUUCGAUAAUUCAUUUUACUUUUGAGGGAAUCCGAUGAGAAAUAAGAUAAGAGAAACUUCAAUUUAAUGUUCUCUAGGGAAAACCAAGAACUAUUCAACUUUGUAUUUUUUGUUUGUAAAACAAAAAACAGUUUGCCAAAAAAGGUACCAAACAUAUCCUUAAUGUCUCACAUGAUUUCUUAUUAAGUCCAUACUCGAUAUAUUUAUACAUUUUAGGUAUUUUAGUUAUAAAAGAAGUUGGUCCUCCCUCUGUUUAUAAAAGGUAACUUUAUUUCGAGAUUACCACUAAAGUCUUACAAAGAAUUAGUGUAAUGUUAAGAGAGACUAACACAGUUUUCCAUUACCAUUUUGAAAAUAGAAAGAUAUGGAUGUGUGCAUUUAAUGGUGAGUUUACUUGCCGGAUUGGGGAAUCAGAAUCUGGAAUCGGAAUGAUUGAUGGUGUUUACUUCGCAAAUAUGGAGCAGGAAUCAGAAUUGGAAUGGUGGAGCCCACCACUAUUUGGGAAUGGGAGAUUGAUUCCCAUGGGGGAAGGUGGGAAUGAGUCUCCCAUUCCCUGGAUUAACCAUUUUGCCCUCCCUCAAAAUUAAAAAUGCCUACUUUGUCCUCUUUUAUAAUUAAUUAAUAUAAUAUUAUAAUUAAUUAAUUAAUAUAUAAAUAUUUUAUUAACUAUAAUUAUUAAAAAUUAUAGUUCUUGAAUAAAUAAUCACAAUAAUUAAUUUAUUAUUAUUAUUGUUAAUGAAUUAAUAUAAUUAUUACUAUUAAUUAAUAUAUUAAUAUAUUAUUAACAAUAAUAUAUUAAUAAUUAUUUUUCGUGAAUAAAUAAUCACAAUAAUUAAUAUAUUAUUAUUGUAAUUAAUUAAUUAAUAUACUAUUAUAAUAAUUAAUUCAUAUAUUAUUAUUAAUUAAUUAAUAAAAUUAAAAUUAUUAAUUAAAUAAAUAAUAUAAUUAUUACUACUAAUUAAUAUAUUAUUAAAAAUAAUUAUUAAUAAUUAUAAUUUUUGAAUAAAUAAUCACAAUAAUUAAUAUAUUAUUUUAAUUAAGUAAUUAAUAUUAAUAUUAUUAGUUAAUAUAUUUUUAUAAUAAUUUUUGAUAUAGUUAUUAUAAUUAAUUAAAUUUUUUUACAAUUAAUUAAUAUAUUAGUUAAUAAUAAUUAUGACAAUAAUCCAUUAAGUACUUUUUAGUAAUUUGUUACAAUCUAAUUCAUUCUGAUUCCGAUUUCAAGACAAAGUAAACACAUUAAUGGCAAUCUAGCUCAUUUCGAUUUUGAUUCUUACAGUUCAAGUAAACAACUUAUUUUGAUUCCCAUUACCUAUUCCCAUUCCAGCCCAUUCUCAUUUCUGCCCAUUUCAAUUCCAGCUCAUUCCGAUUCCAGUUUAGUAAACGCAGCAUAAGAGUUAUCAUGAAAAUCAUACAAUUUAAUUUCCUGAAAUAUAUAUUUUAUUCACAUGUGCCAAAAGAAUAAAUAGAUAGAAAGUAAAUUUACAAUCCUCACUCCCUCAUAAUUGUUAAAGUGAAUAUGCAUUACAACUGUGAACUGUCACUACUUUAGCCCCUUUUUUUUUUUUUUCAAUUAUAGUGUGAUGGAGACAGUGAACAUUAAGGAUAAAGUGCUCUGCUGAAAGCCAAACUUCCUUUGGCUAAUUAAUUUAGAAGUAAAGCAGAGAAUAAAGUCCUUGAUGCCUUCUGAAAUUAGAAAUACAUUUUAUAUGCUUUAAUUAUGAUUAUUUGGUAGACUAUUGACCAAAAGACAUGUUAAAGUAUAAAACAGAGCGAUCAAAGAAAAAAAAAAAAGGAGCGUUUGUGACGUAGAAUAACAAUUUGUAAGUAAAGUCCUAAUUUGAGUUGUCAAAAAGCAAAUAUAACAGAGAAGGUAAGAGAGAUGCAAAAAGGGGAAAUUUACAGUAAUAACCAUUAAAGUUUUGAUUUUUUUCAUCUUAACCCCUUAAAAAUAUUUCUAUCAACAUUAGCCAUAAAACAACUUUUGAGACCAAAAUACCUCUCCUUCAUCUCUCCCCCAAAAAACUUGUUCUGUGGCCAAAAAGCUUGAUUUUUUUUUUAAAAAAAAAAUCUAAUCUUUUGCGGCUUGUUGCAUGAUUUUAAGAUGAAAAAUUUGUCAAGUUGUAUUCUAUCAGCAUUAUUAUUAUUAAUGCUUUCACCUGCAAAUUCAUUGAUAUUCAUUCCCCCUUCCAUAAUCUUCGUGCCCAAAUUGCUUCUAACUUUUCUCGACUUCGACGCGGGUGAGAGAUUGCUUUUCCUUUCACCUUUUUGUUUUCUUCCGUUUAGCUUCAUUAUUUUAAAAAAAAAAAAACCGAAACAGAACAGAAACAAAAGCUUCAGCCCGCGGCCACCGUCCAAGGCUGCCGGCUCUCGUUUUCCGUCACCGAUCCGGACGCAACCACCACUAAACGGAUCAUAAAUCGCCGGCCAUCAAACUCCAAGCAUCGGACACCGUUGAUUAGCCACAGAUCGCCGGAAAAGCAACCAAAACAGCCGCGCCAACCGUGCCGUCAUUCACCGGUUUCCGCCGCGAUUUAGCCAGCACCACCGUAAUCAAUCCACUCCUCUCCACGAGCUCAACCUCUUUCGUUAUUCCCCACCUCCGAUCGACCAACCCAUCGCCGGAAUCUAAGCAUCACCAAACAGUUACAACUUAUCUCAAAUUUCCGGCCAAAACGCCACCGUUUCCGACGAAUCACAAACAUCAUCAUGAACAACUUCAAGUUUUGGUGCGACAGGGUGCUUGUCGCACCAAAACUUGGUGCGACGGGUGCCUGUCGCACCAAGGCUUGGUGCGACGGGUGCCUGUCGCACCAAGGCUUGGUGCGACGGGCACCCUGUCAUCAGAUUCAUCCUCCGACUCAGAUCAAUAAGUUUGAAAAUAACUCAUGCCACGAUGCCGAUUAGUUUUGGUCUGUAAAGAAGGGUAAUUUAGGGAGAAAGGCUUGUGUUUGGCUAAUGUUGAUAGAAAAAAAUUCAGAGGAUUAGUUGCAAAAAUAACAAAAUAUUUAUGGUUAUUUUCGUAAAUUUCCCCAAAAAGAGAACUAUUAGCUUAUCUUGAUUUCCCCACUAUAUUCAUUUUCGAUGCUUUUCAAACGAGAUUCUUUUAAUCCUUCUGGCGUCUGCAGCCCCUGCUCUUCUUAUAAAUCUCCAUCCCACAUCUGCACUACGAACAAAUUGACUAAAAUUAAAUAAUGUUGGAGACGAGGGAUGAGCUGUCAACUUAUUAAAAAAAACUCAUGUAUAAUAUUAUCAAUAAUAUAAAAUAUAUAAUAAUUAUUAUAAAGAAUCAUAAAUUAGAAAAAUUAAUUAUUUUACAAUCUAUUUCUUAAGUAAGAUAAAUCUCGUAAUAAGUUAAGUUUAAUGUAAAAAAAUAUUUUCAAUUUAUAAUCAUUUAAGAAGUCAUUUAACAAUAAAAUCUUUCUUUUGAUCAGGUGGCCAUGCCAUAGAGUAUCAUCUAUAUUCGUGGUGAUAUUAUUAUUACUCAAUAUCCUCAAAAGACACGAUUUAACAUUUAGAGAAAAUUCCUGCCUUUUAAAAAGAACAUGUAUGCAAUAGCUAGCCACACUUUAUUUUACCACGACAAAAUUGAUAGUGAUUAAAUCAAUUUUCUCAAUUAAAGAAAUUUUUUUAAAUUGAUUUAAUGCACAAAUAUGAUGAGUUUUUGCAAAAAUUAGUUUUGGAAAAUAUAGUGAGAGAGAAUGGUGACGAUUAUUUUUCAGAUGUGCAAAUAGCCUAAACAUAAUCUCUAAUACCAAUAUCCUUGUGCAUCUUAACACCUUUCAUGAUAUUCUUUCAUUCAUGGCCAUUUGUUCAAUAUUUGAAUUUGAUUAUUAAAUUAUGUUCAAUAAUGUUAGAGACCCCAAUAAUUGGGUACCAACUUAAAUCCCAAUGCUAUGUGUCAUUAACAAAUGUUGUGUCAUUUAUCAUUAUUGAAUGAAUAAUUCGUUAAUUUAUUGAUAAAUGAAAAUUUAUUAAUUUAAAGAGAGAUUGUUUUUUUUUGGUUUUAAGAAGAGUUUUGUUGGUACAUGUACAUACUUAUAAAGAAAUAAACUUGUAAUUAUACUAUAUCUUUCUUUCUUUGUUCAGUUUGGUGGGAUAUUGUGAUAAAUCAUUGGAUUAAAAUGCAUUUCUAAAUUGAAACUUGUUAAAAUCUAAUUUAUUUAGGAAACACAUAUUAUUUGUCAGUCGUACUUCUCAAAUAAGAUUAAAACUCACCCAAUUCAAUCCAUCAGAUUCCGUAAGGAUAUAACUGGAUGUCAUACCGCCACUCCAUAUCCUCGAAAGUCCGUAGUCCUUGUCUCAACUGUGUCUGGGGCCAGUGUAAGUCCAAUUUGCGCAAGCUCUUUAUGCACCACAGCUCUUCUGGAAGCUUUCUGAAGUAAGCACAUGGGUUGACAAUUAAGCUUUCAAGUUUCGGCAUUGCUCCAGCCCCCAUCGUCCACUCAUCUAGCCAAUUUACUCAUGAAUUGUUGUUCAUAUUAGCAAUUUGAUUGAAAGUGUGGCUGCACUAAUUUUCUAGAUGAAUUUUUUCCUACAUGCUUGUUCCCGUGUGACCCAAAAUCCUGCUACAUCAGUUGUAUUAGAAAUUAAUCAACUGGGUUACAAUUAUGCAUCCCCACCAAUAUUUAAGCAAUUUAAUUACAGAAACAUUUCUUGAGGAAAAAAACUCAUAUCGCCACUAGGCUUUUAAUGAGGCUCAUUUUUAUGAAUUUGGAUGGCAUUAGAUAUCUCUCCGAAUAUUGGUGGGAGUAGAUCGCAGAUCUCUGGGCUAUACUACAAAGUGUAUGUACGUUGACUCUCAAUAAAUACAAACGAUUCUCUGAUAUGAUUCAAAACAUCAGUGCAUGCAUCAUUUUAAUGAGAAAGAAUAUUCUAAGAACGAAAUUGAACGUGCAAUCAGCAAUUAAAAUGAAGCCAGAAAUGUACAUGCAUGAGGAAUUUUUCUUAGAAGAUUGAUAUUUCUUUGACUAGCAAACCAUACAAGUCCAAAGCUAGCAAACCAUACCUGCAAGUCGGGGGUUUAAAUGGAGUACUUCUAAGCAUAAAACAUUGAUUAAAACAGAAUACACACAUACAUACCAGCAAAUUCAAAAUAGCAAAAGGAGUGCAAAAGUUCAAGUUUGUAGACAACAUUGCAACCAUGGCAUGUUUAUAGCAAAUCCUCGAAAUCUGCUAAAUAAAACAAUGCCCUGUCUCAUGAAUCAAUGCUGAAUUAAAAUUGAAACUGAAAGUCUGGCUGGCGUUGUUUCCCUCUCCAAUUUUGCCUACAUAAGUGAAAAUAAGAAUAAUAAAUGAAAAUCUGCUUUUACGGUUCUUCUUUGAUAGAUAAAAGGGGGAUCUUUCUUUGUUUCUCUGCUGCAAUGUGUGCCUAUCCCACUCUGUUUUGCCACCCAAGCUGAGUCUAUGUUGAGACAUAAUUUUGACAUCCGAAGCAAUCUCAAUUAGUUUGGCAAUUUUAUGACCUCCUUGAAGGUUUUAUGAUAAACAUAAAUCUACUGAGAAAGUGGGAAAAAAAGAAAAUGCAUAUAAAAAUAUGAGUUAUCAGAUAAGAUUAAAACUCACCCAAUUCAAUCCAUCAGAUUCCAUAAGGAUAUAACUGGAUGUCAUACCGCCACUCCAUAUCCUUGAAAGUCCGUAGCCUCUGUCUCAACUCUGUCUGAGGCCAAUGUAAAUCCAAUUUUCGCAAGCUCUGUAUGCACCACAGCUCUUCUGGAAGCUUUCUCAAGUAAGCACAUGGGUUGACAAUUAAGCUUUCAAGUUUCGGCAUUGCUCCUGCCCCCAUCGUCCACUCAUCUAGCCAAUACAUUGAUUUCAGGUGCAAAACCUUAAGUUCGGGAAAGCUACUCAAGCCAACACAAGCAAGCUUUCUUCCUAAAUACGAGUUCUGCUUCAGUUUCAGCACUCGAAGGAGUGGAAGAUUUUCCAGAAUUGGCGUGGGAUCCUCCAUUAGCUCAGUAUUUGAUAAGGUCAGUUGGCUCAGACUUGGGGGAAAUUGGUAUUCGGACAGGACCAUCCGUGAGGGCUUGCUCUCAUUCACCAGCUUCAAGCAUUCAAGUUUGUGGAGUUCGCAAAGGCUUUUGGAAACCCCAGAUUGAUAGUAACUCAUAUCUCCAGAUAUCCGAAGAGUCCGAACACUUGGUAGUCUGCCCAAUAUAUCAGGAGUACAACUACUAGGGUUUAAAGCUGAUAUGAAAAUGAGAUUUUUCAGAGAGCUAGAAUAAUUUUUUGGAGGUGCGGGCAGAGUGAUAGAACCAAAGUUUAGAUGCAUGAGUUUUUGCAUCAUCCAAAUAUCAUCUGGUGACUGAUCUAUGUAGCUAGAUGGCAUUUCUAGUGUUUCAAGGUUUAAAAGGGUGCAUAGCAGUGAAGGAAGGCAUUUGAGCGAAGGGAUAUUCAAUUUCAAAUACUUCAAAAGAUAUAAAUUUUCUAAUCCGGGUGGAUAUUGGUCCAGGACUGCAGAACCCAUGUUCAAUACCCGAAGGUGUUUGAACUUUUUACAAAAAUUCUCGCAAUCUAUCAGAGCGAGACGAUCGCUUUCUGAACUGUUAUUCAGAAAAGAUUGGAGACGCGUGUCAGAAUAUUCUAAAGAUAAAAACUGAAUCAGAUCUUCCCAAAUGAAGCACCGUUUAACAUUUGCCAGUGGUUCCCUUUUCCUUUCACGCAUCCAGACAAAUCCCGUAAUCUCUGCCACCAAAGCCAAUGAAGUAUAUACAAUACUUGGAACAUAACACGCUUUGAUUAUGCCUCCGGCUCUUCUCUUACUCACUUGAAUGAUGCCGCGAUGGAUUAGUUCUUUCAAGUAAUGUUCGGCAGUUUCUUCACCGUGGUAUGGUAUGAAACCUUCAGCUACCCACAACUGAUAUAAUUGCCUCGUAGAUAUCUCAAUACUUGGACAGAAGACAUACAAAUAGAUGCAGCAGACUUUCAAGUGAAAAGGUAACUCCAUCACAGAAAAAAUUUGUCUCCAAAUUGUCGGAAUCGCUUCGCCUCGAAAAUAAUUUUCUAAUGGCAUACUUCCAUAGUGUAGGAUGAAAAAUUGCCAGGCUUCAUGCUUUAAUCUGAUCAAUGGUCCUCCAGUGAGCACCGAAUCAAGCCGAAUCUUCUCUCCGUUUUCCAUUUCCAACGACGCAAGGAGGUUUGGAUCAGUGACCAAUAUCAAGACUCUGCUUCCAUUCUGAUUAUCAGGAAGAACUUCUUCAAGAUCAUCCCAUAUCUCACUGUGAUCAAAGACAUCAUCAAGCACAAUAAAGUACUUCUUGUUUGUUAGGAAAUCUCGAAGAACAGAUUUCUUCAAUUGAUAAUGUUCACCGAUAAUUACACUAACCCGAGAUGGAGGCAUCACAGACUUGAUUAUGUCAUCCAAUAUCUUGCCAAAAUCGUAGAGUAUAGAAACCCUGACCCAAGCAAGACAGUCAAAAUAGAACUUGACAUGAUUAUUGUUGUAAGUAUCAGCAGCAAAAGCAGUCUUGUCGAAGCCACUGCUGUCGAGAAUUGCAACCACUGCCAGCCCAGAUGGUCCCUCAAUCAAUAGAUCAAACAACUCCUCUCUGCCCCGUUCAAAUUCACUGAUAUCAAGCCGACGAUGUCCCUCACUCAAUAGGCGAAUGAUUUCGUUACUUUUUUCACGGAUAUCAAAACCAUUGUCGCCGGGUGGAAGUUGUUGCGUCCGAUUUCUAAUAUCAAUGAUUUUAGUGUGGAGUCCAACAAGAAGAGCCAUAUCAGUACUGCUUUCACUUUCGUUUUCACUGUUUUGCUGCUGCAUGAUGUUGAUGAAGAAUGUGUCAAUUGCAUCCUCAGAUUCAUGGACAAAGACAUUGAUGUCCUCCAGAAUUUCCAAAAUAUCUGCUCUUUCAACAUCUUCUUCAUCGCUUUCUUCUAAGUCCAACAGUUGCAAAAAAGGCAAAGAUAUUUUGGAGUCAUCGAAUUUUUCUCUAAUGAGUUGAAACAAAUGCCGAGCCAUGUCAGCUUCAUAUUUUCCCAGCAGAGUAGUAGCAAUAAUUUCGGACUCCGUAAGAAGGUUUUUAAAAAGUGGAGUUAAUUUUGUUGAAUCUGGCAGCGGCAACGUGCCUUCUUCACCUGCUAACACCCUUUUCAACCUCUCACAAAACAGUCGGAGGUGGAAUUCCAGCAUUUCUCCUUCUCUCCGUAGCACUCAGAGGUAUAGCUGAAAGAUUAAACACCAUGGAAGAAUUUGAAAGGAAAAUGCCAAGAAAUUGUGUAAGUGGCUAAAUUCCACAAAUAUGACAUUAUUGCUCAUUUUUUAACUCAAAAAAAGGGUACGCGUUCAUUUAGAGAAAAGUCCAAGACGCGUGCCUUUUGAAAAGAACAGGUAUCCCAAUCGGUAUCCAACCUUUAUCUUAUUUAAUUACUACCAUAACAUAAUUGAUGGUGCUUAAAUCAAUUGUUUCUUUUUUAAUUUAAAGAAUUUUUCAUUAAAAAAAUAUUUUAAUAUCAAAUACCCUUCAAUGGCAUAACUGCCGCAAGCCCAAAAACAGGAUUAAAUAAUUUUUUUUUUUGAAUUUUUGGUCAUGGAAAGAGCAGUAUUAAACAUCAGAAAGCUAAGGUCGUUAUGUUAAAGAAUUGAUAUUGACAUAAUUUUUUUUGGUUUUCGGGGAAAAAAAAAUUGUUGACAAGCAAGAAAAUAUUUUUAUAUUUUACAAUUUAUUAUACAUAUUUUAUCUUAUUAAAGUAAUUUAAUAAUAAAUAGAAACAUAAUAUUACGAUAAAAAAAUUAAAGUUUAACUUAUUUUGAAUAUUAUAAAAAAUAAUUUUAAUAUUAUUAAUAUGGGGACAUUGUAUUAAUUUUAAAAUUUUUUAACCCAAAGGUUUAUUUAAAAUGUUUAUUAUAAAUACAAAUAUAAAAUUAAAUAUCAUAAUUUAAAAUUUUUAAUAUUAUUUUAAGUAUUAAAAAUAUUUUAAUGUUAUUAGUCUACUACAUAGAUCAUAUUACUUAUAUAAUAUUUGUAUUAUUAAAAAUUCUUAAAAUCAAAUUUUUAGUUAGUAUAUUCAUGAGGUAUUAUGGUUAAAAAAAAAAAGACCUUAUUGUUACUUUUUAAAAAAUUGAGGGCCUUCGUGAUAAUUUUUUCAAAAAGAAAAUACUUGGUAUCUGGGAGGGAUAGAGAAAUAGGACUCCCAAAAUCUCUCACCCUUUUUUAAUUAAAAAAAUUAAAAUAUCAAUAAAAAAUAAUAAAGAAAAUAGAAUUUUAUCUACUCCUUACUUCAUUUUUGCAACUCUCUCACCAUCUCUGUCGAGCAGCCCUCUCUCUCACUCUCUCACUCACACAGUCUUUUUCACGAUUUGAAAUUCUUUGGCCCUUUGCAUUACAAGAAAUUAACGCUUUGGUUCUCCCAAGGGUAGAUUGGUUUUAUUGGGAAGCUAUUAAUUAGAAGGAGGAAAAAGGACUAUAUUUAGAAUAUGAUUUGUUGGAGAAUCUCAGAGUUAGUCAAUUUUCAAGCCACACUUUCAAUAGCCAACUGAUUUAGAAACCAUUAAUUACUUUAAUUUCCAUAAAUUGUAAUGACAGUGCAAAUGCAUCUGGUUGUGAUAGCUAAGGGUUAGCUUGAAGAAUUAAAUUUCAUAAGAUAUUACUGGAAAACGCUUUGCAGAUAACGUGUUGCUUCCUUUGCUAGGCUACAAUUUCAAAAUUCUCACGAGUUUUCCAUUGUUGUCACAAACCGAGAAAUUAUAAAAUACAUGGCCUGGUUCUUUGGCAAUGACCAUCUCAUCGUCGGCGGUCGCGUCGUCAUUGUCACUGGUCUUGCUGGACCGAGACAGUGAGAGAGAGGUUUGUUAGAUGGAGUUAGUGAGAGAGAGUUGUAAAGAUGGAAUGAUGAUAAAGGAUUUUAUUUUUUUUUAAUUGUUUUUAUUAAUAUUUUAAUUUUUAAAAUUAAAAUUUGCUGCCGUUUCUCUCGACUCUCAUAAUUUAUUUCAUUUUUAGGGAAUCCAAUGAGAAAUAUGAUAAAAGAACGUCAAUUACUUGUCAUUUUCAAUUUUUUUCUAUAAGCUAUUUAUUUCGAGCAUUAGUGAUCUUGUCUGGCUACUCCAAUUAUUGACGUAACUCCAGUGGCUGCAUCCACUGGAAAAAGUGGAUGAGAACCAUUUUUUUUUCAUAAAGGUAACUGCUCCAAUUAUUGACAUAAUUGAUGGUGCUUAAAUCAAUUUUUUUUUUUAAUUUAAAGAAUUUUGCUUUAAAAAAUAAUUAAUAUCAAAAUGCCUUCAAUGUUGUUACCGCCACAAGCCCAGUUAGAGGACUCAUUAAAAAUUUUAGAAUUUUUAGGCCUGGAAAGCGUAGUAUUAAACAUCAGAAAGCAAAGGUUGUUAUGUCGAAGAAUUGAUGUCGACAAAAUUUUAUUUUAGUUUUCGGAAAAAAAAAUAUUUUGUUGACAAGCAAGAAAAUAUUUUUUAUACUUUACAAUCUGCUAUACAUAUUUUAUCAUAUUAAAGUAAUUUUAAUAAUAUAUGGAAACAUAAUAUUAUAAUAAAUAAAUUAAAAUUAAAAUUACUUUGAAUUAUUGAAUAUUACAAAAAGAUAAUUUUAAUAUUAUUAAUAGGAAAACAUUUUUUAAUUGUAAAAUCUUUUUAAUACAAAAAAUCAUUUAAAAUCUUUAUAAUAAAUACAAAUAUAAAAUUAAAAAAUAUCAUAAUUUAAAUUUUUUAAUAUUAUUUAAAUAUUAAAAAUACUUUAAUAUUAUUAGUCUACUACAUAAAAUAUAUUAUUUAUAUUAUAUUCGUAUUGAUUAAAACGUUUUAAAGUCAAAUUUUUAAUUAGUGUAUUCAAAGGUAUAAAAGAUUUUAGUAUUAUUUUUUAAAAAAUUUCAGGAUAUGAAUGAUAAUUUUUUUCAAAUUUUAAAGAUGUAAGAAUCUUUUUUUCUGAUAACUUAUUUCACUUUUGAGAGAAUCCGAAAACGUUAAUUUAACAUUCUUUACCUUUAUCUUUUCAAAAAAAAAAAAAACAUUCUUUUUUUGAUAAGAAUGUUUUUUUUUUCUUUAAAAAAUAAUUAAUAUCAAAAUGCCUUCAAUGUUGUUACCGCCACAAGCCCAGUUAGAGGACUCAUUAAAAAUUUUAGAAUUUUUAGGCCUGGAAAGCGUAGUAUUAAACAUCAGAAAGCAAAGGUUGUUAUGUCGAAGAAUUGAUGUCGACAAAAUUUUAUUUUAGUUUUCGGAAAAAAAAAUAUUUUUUUACCUUUGUGAAAAAAGUGAAAAUCAAGAACUAUUCAAUUUUGUUUUUAUUUGUAAUUCAAAAACUUUAUUCAUUUUUGGAUGCUUUUCAAAAGAGAUUCCUUUAAAUCCUUUUGGUGUCUGCAGCUCCUGCCAUUCUCAUAAAUCUCCAUCCCACAUCUACACUAUCAAACAAGUUGAUGGAAAGUCUUAUAAAAAAAAAAAAGUUGAUGGAAAUUGAUCAAUUGCUUUUUGAAGUGGACCCAUUGAGUCAUGUUCAUUUCUGAUCAUUGUCUACUCUUUCUAUCAGCCAUUUAUUUUGACCAUUUGCGAUCUUAUCUGGACCUACUCCAAUUAUUGUUGGAACUCCAAUGGUUGUAUCUACAGUCGAAUGUAAUAUAGUGACAGCUCUUUCUUUGAGAAACUAGAGGGACCUUACAGUUCAUAUAAAUUUCGCUACCUUACAGUUCAUACGGUCUUGCUGUUAAUGAAUUUGCUGAGGCAUUAUUGAUCCAAUCUGAGUGAAGUAAUUGUGGCUGAAAAAUAAAUAAAGGAUAAGAGAACGUAGCUGAAGUGCUGAAGGGGCUAUUAAAGAAGAGUGUCACUUGAUCACAAUCACAUUGAUGCACAAUUCACUUGGCAAAUUUCGACUAUGCGUACUGCAAAUUCAGCCAAACCAUACAUGCAUGAACAAAACUAAAAUGUAGUUCUAAUCACAACUGCAGUUAUGAUGUUUACCCCUCUGAUUUUUCUCCAAAACAAAUUCAGUUCAAAACAAUAAUCAAAAUAGCCACAUUUUGUUCGUCAAAAUAAAUGCCCAAAUUUUCAAUUAACAAAUCAUCUUCUCUAAACUAAAAAGCCCACAUCUCUAAAAUCAAUCUACAUAAUGUUGGACAUGAGGGGUGAAUUGUUAACUCAGUAAAAAAACUCAUGCAUAAUAUUACUAAUAAUAAAAAAUAUAUAUUAAUCAUUAUAAAGAAUCAUAAAUUAGAAAAAUUAAUCAUUUUAUAAUUUAUUACACAAGUAAGAUAAAUCUCAUAAUAAGUUAUAACAUAAAAAAAACGUUAUCAAUAUAUAAUCAUUUAAGAAGUCAUUUAACAAUAAAAUCGUUCUUUGAUCAGUUGGUCAUGUCACAUAAUAUCAUCUAUAUUUAUGGUGAUAAUAUUAUUACUCAGUAUUCUCAAAAAACAUGAUUUAACAUUUAGAGGAAAUUCUUGCCUUUUAAAAAAAACAUGUAUGCAACAGCUACCCAUGCUUUAUCUUGCCAUGACAAAUAUUUUCUCAAUGAAAGAAAUUUUUUUAAAAAUUGAUUUAAUGCACAAAUAUGAUGAUUUUUCCAAAAAUUAAUUUUGGAAAAUAUAGUGAGAGAAAAUAGUGACGAUUAUUGUUUAGAUGUAUAAAUAGCCUAAACAUAAUCCUUAAUACCAAUAUCCAUAUGCAUCUUAUCAUCUUUCAUGAUGUUCUUUCAUUUAUGUCCAUUGGUUCAAGAUUUGAAUUUGAUCAUUAAAUCAUGUUCAAUAAUAUUAGAGAUUCCAACAAUUGAGUACCAACUUAAAUCCCAAUGUUAUGUGUCAUUGACCAAUUAUGUGUCAGUGACCAAUUUUGUGUCAUUUUGUUAUUAACUAGGUGAUGAAUUUCUAGUUGAUAAAAUCACUUAAAAAUAUCUUAAAAAUUAGACAAUAGUUUGCUUAAUUUUUCCAAGUUAACUGCUCAAGAUGCUCUAUUAUAAAUGAUAACCUAAUUAUAUUCAUAAAAAAUGAUAUAUUUUUUUGUGGUGUUGAUAAUGAGAUUAUCAUUCAACGUUUUAAAAUGUGAAAACAUAUGGAAGACGGUUGUAAAUUGAUUGAAUGAAAAUAUUUCAGUGAAGUCUCAAAAAUUUGGUACUUGUUGUCUUAUCGAAAGUUUUCUAAAUUAUAUUCGUGGCACAGCCACUAUCCAAACCAUACAAGUCCAAAGCUAUCCAAACCAUACCUGCAAGUCCGGGGCUUAAAUGGAGUACUUCUAAGCAAAAAAACAUUGAUUAAAAUAGAAUAUAUACAUACAGACACACAUACAUACCAGCAUAUUCAAAAUAGCAAAAGGAGUGCAAAAGUUCAAGUUUGUAGACAACAUUGCAACCAUAGCAUGUUUAUAGCAAAUCCUCAAAAUCUGCUAAAUAAAACAAUGCCCUGUCUCAUGAAUCAAUGCUGAAUUAAAAUUGAAACUGAAAGUCUGGAUGGUGUUGUUUGUUGAGAAUGUCAAAUAAAACGGCAUUGAAGGAAGUUUUCAAAGGCAGAAUCCGCACUUGUCAAAGACACGAUCCGCACCGAACGGAUCGACACAUUUCCUUCCGUAUUCACAUAUGUAAUCUUUGAAAAAAUGUAGCUUCUGCAUCUAUAAAUAACGCUCAGUGUAUAAUGUUUUAUUCAAGAAAUAAAAACAAGUUUCUACAUGGUAUCAGAGUCAUGAAUGCGCUCAAGUUUCUUCAAGUUUCGCUGCUCUGUUUGUCACAAAAACAGAGGAAACCAAAUUCGUCCCACAACCAUUUUUUCCACCAUUUUCUUCCUUAAAAUCAUUCCUAACAUUACAGAAAUCCAUGCCGAUCAAAAAACAUGAAAGACAAAUUACACAUGUGCAGUAACCAAUGAUCAUAUUUCGUUACUGUCAAACACAAUGCAUCUGAGCAAAACAUUGGAAGCCAACACCAGAAUACAUAUGAAUAAACAAUUAAAGAUAGAGAAAAAAGGCUUAAACCUUGGGGGAAAAAAGUGAAAAAACAUGAAAGACAAAUUACACAUGUGCAGUAACCAUCGAACUUAUCAGUGACAGCUGCAUCCAUUACAUUGCUCCAACAACACAAUGGCAAACCACCAGUUUCAAAUUGAGGAUAGCUAUCGAGAAUGAGAAAGUGUCCAAAACAUCAUAAAUAGACAUGUUCCUAUUGUGCAUAAUUUACAUUAUAGGCAAAUAUUCUUAUACCAUCAAAGGCAAAACAUGACACUAACAAUUGAUCCCCCCCCCCCCCCCCCCCCCCAACAACCAAAAAAAAAGGAAAAACAAUACAGAAAAGAUUGAAACAGAUAAGGCUACACUGAGCACAGGAUGCCAUGAAACAUAAUCCAGGAACCAAAUUAAUAAAAAAGGAAGCCAAACCAUUAUUUAACAAUCUGUUUUGUAUUUGGGAAAGUCUGAUAAAAUCUACUUAGGGAUAAUUAGAGAACUUCAACUAUUAAUCACACCUCAUAAAUGAACUAACAUUAACCAUCUACCAUCCCCACGUCACACAAACAUUCUCUAUACUUCUGAACCUAAUACUUCCAUCUUCAAUUGGGGGUUUUUUUUCUUUUUUUUUUUGGGUGGGGGGGGGGGGGGGGGGGGGGAAGCUAUCAAUUUUCUAAGCUUGCUUAGCUUCUGUGUGGGAUUGAAAUGCUGAUUUCGAAUCACUAACAGUAAAAUUGGAAGCUCAUGAAAAAACAGUUUUAUCUCAAAAUUACAUCUCGAUAUAAAUUCUCUUUUCAUUUCCUUCAACUUUCUAAUUAAGCUUAAAAAAUGUACCUUCAACCACAAAGGGGUUUAAAAUUUAAAAUAUAAAAAAUAAAUUCAGAUAACAAUAAUUAAUUUAAUUAAAAAUAUAAAUAGAGUUACAGAGAAAGAGAAAAUAGAGAAAGACCUAAUGUUGAGUCCUUUGGCGCAUGUCUCUUCAUAGGUCCGAACCAUUUCUUCGGGCGUGGGUUACGGCCGAGAUUGGAUAAUGAUGGAGUAGGAUAAGAUUAGCGAUAACGACGCCGAUGAAAUGGAAGGGUUUACCAGAGGAGUGGAUGCGAAGAGUGCAGGGACCGCCGCAGAGAGAGAGCGGCGGAGAGCGGCGACGGACGGUAGUGACCAGCGGAGGCGGAAGAUGGCGGUAUGGGCCAUUGCUUGCGCGUCGGUGAGUGUCUCGAGUGAGAGAGUGAAGGGUUUUGGGAAAUGAAAAAUGCAAAUGUUUGAUUUUGUUGCUAGAAACUUCUUCUGCCGCUGCCUUUUAUUUUCGCUAUAAUAAUAAUAAUAAUUUGUUAAUCAAAUAUUUUCUUAAAAAAGAUAAAUUUCUACAAGAAAAUUUAUAUUAAAUCAAAUUGUAAAAAUGUCUAUUAGGGUUAAUUUCUCCUUAAUAUUAUUAUUAGUUGAAGUAGAUUUUCGAAUUAGUCUUGAUAUAUUUCAGAGUUGUAUUAUAAAUGUAUAAGUAUCUGGAUUGCAAUUAUAUUUUUAAAAAAUAUAAUUUUUUUAAUUAUUGCACAAUAAAUGUAGAUAGUAUCUAUAAAAUAAUAUUAUUAGGACUAUGAAAAAAAUAUUAUUUUAGAGAAGUUAUUUAUUUAUUAUUGAAUGAAUAAUUUAUUAACUUAUUGGUAAAUGAAUAUUUACUAAUUUAAAGAGAGAUUUUUUUUUUGAUUUUAAGAAGAGUUUUGUUGGUACAUAUUCAUACUUAUAAAGAAACACAAAAAGUAGUUCCUCAAGUCAAUUGUAUUUGCUUUAAUUCGUAAUAAUAUAUCUUAAUCAAGAAACUUGUAAUUAUACUAUAUCUUUCUUUCUUUGUUCAGUUUGGUGGUACAUUGUGAUAAAUCAUUGGAUUAAAAUGCAUUUCUAAAUGAAAACUUGUUAAAACCUAAUUUAUUUGGGAACCAUAUUUUAUUUGUCAGUCGUAUUUCUCAACUUAGCAAGUUAUUUCUAACUUAUCGGUCUCUAUUGGUUUUCUUAAGUGCCUGUUUGAUAUGACUUAUUUAAUGGCAAUAAGUGCUUAUUUAAUCUCAUAAGCUCUUAUCAUAAUUUUUGUUAUUGUUUGGUUGUUUUUCUAAUAAAGUUUUUGAAGCUUAAAUAAGUAAUUUUACCUCUCUUAACAAAAGCUCAAAUUUUGAGUUUUUUGGGAGUAGAGAUUGAAAAACUUUUUCAAAUGUCAAAAUAUCUAUAAUAUCCUCUACUUAUUUAACAAUCUUAUUUAUUAUUUUCAUAAUAUAACUUUAAAAGACUUGUCUAUUAAAGUAAUUUCAUAAAUUUUUAAUAAAAACUCUUAUUGACAACCAAACAACUAAUUUUUUUUAGCAAAACCUCUACUUAAAUAAGUUCUACUUGAAAAACUGUAUCAAACGGAGCUUAAAGUUAAUAGUCUCUUAUCUCCCACAUUUGAUAUCUUAAUGGUAUCAGCGUGUUACCUAAGAUUGGGAUUCAUUAAAAUCCUCAAUGUAAUCGGUGGAAUGAAAUGGAUUUUUAUAACCUCCUUGAAGGUUUUACGAUAAACAUAAAUCUAUUGACAAAGUGGGCAAAAAGAAAAUGCAUAUAAAAAUAUGAGUUAUCAGAUAAGAUUAAAACUCACCCAAUUCAAUCCAUCAGAUUCCGUAAGGAUAUAACUGGAUGUCAUACCGCCACUCCAUAUCCUCGAAAGUCCGUAGUCCUUGUCUCAACUGUGUCUGGGGCCAGUGUAAGUCCAAUUUGCGCAAGCUCUUUAUGCACCACAGCUCUUCUGGAAGCUUUCUCAAGUAAGCACAUGGGUUGACAAUUAAGCUUUCAAGUUUCGGCAUUGCUCCAGCCCCCAUCGUCCACUCAUCUAGCCAAUACAUUGAUUUCAAGUGCAAAACCUUAAGUUCGGAAAAGCUACUCAAGCCAACACAAGCAAGCUUUCUUCCUAAAUACGAGUUCUGCUUCAGUUUCAGCACUCGAAGGCAUGGAAGAUUUUCCAGAAUUGGCAUGGGAUCCUCCAUUAGCUCAGUAUUUGAUAAGCUCAGUUGGAUCAGACUUGGGGGAAAUUGGUAUUCAGACAGGACAAUCCGUGAGGGCUUGCUCUCAUUCACCAGCUUCAAGCAUUCAAGUUUGUGGAGUUCGCAAAGGCUUUUGGAAACCCCAGAUUGAUAGCAACUCAAAUCUCCAGAUAUCCGAAGAGUCUGAACACUAGGUAGUCUGCCCAAUAUAUCAGGAGUACAACUACUAGGGUUUAAAGCUGAUAUGAAAAUGAGAUUUUUCAGAGAGCUAGAAUAAUUUUUUGGAGGUGCGGGCAGAGUGAUAGAACCAAAGUUUAGAUGCAUGAGUUUUUGCAUCAUCCAAAUAUCCUCUGGUGACUGAUCUAUGUAGCUAGAUGGCAUUUCUAGUGUUUCAAGGUUUAAAAGGGUGCAUAGCAGUGAAGGAAGGCAUUUGAGCGAAGGGAUAUUCAAUUUCAAAUACUUCAAAAGGAAUGAAUUUUCUAAUCCGGGUGGAUAUUGGUCCAGGACUGCAGAACCCAUGCUCAAUACCCGAAGGUAUUUGAACCAUUUAAAAAAAUUCUCGCAAUCUUUCGGAUUAAGAUGAUCGCUUUCUGAACUGUGAUUCAGAAAAGAUUGGAGAUAGAUGUAAGAAUAUUCUAAAGAAAAGAAGUCAAUCAGAUUUUCCCAAAUGAUGUACCGUUUAACAUUUGCCCUUGAUUCCUUUUCCAUUCCAGGCAUCCAGAGAAAUCCCGUCUCCUGUGCCAACAAUAACAAUGAAGUAUAUACAAAACUUGGAACAUAACACGCUUUAAUUGUGCCUCCGGCGCUUCUCUUACUCACUUGAAUGAAGCCGCGAUGGAUUAGUUCUUUCAAGUAAUGUUCGGCACUUUCUUCACCGUUGUAUGGUAUGAAACCUUCAGCUACCCACAACUGAUAUAAUUGCCGCGUGGAUAUCUCAAUACUUGGAGGGAAGACACACAAAUAGAUGCAGCAGACUUUCAAGUGAAAAGGCAAGUCCAUCACAGAAAAAAUUUGCCUCCAAAUUGUCGGAAUCGCUUCGCCUUGAACAUAAUUUUCUAAUGGCAUACUUCCAUAGUGUAGGAUGAAAAAUUGCCAGGCUUCAUGCUUUAAUCUGAUCAAUGGUCCUCCAAUGAGCACCGAAUCAAGCCGAAUCUUCUCUCCAUUUUCCAUUUCCAACGACGCAAGGAGGUCUGGAUCAGUGACCAAUAUCAAUACUCUGCUUCCAUUCUGAUUAUUUGGAAGAACUUCUUCAAGAUCAUCCCAUAUCUCAAUGUUAUCGCAGACAUCAUCAAGCACAAUAAAGUACUUCCUGUUUGUUAGGUAAUCUCGAAGAAUAGAUUCCUUGAAUUGAUAAUCUUCACCGAUAAUUACACUAACCCGAGAUGGAGGCAUCACAGACUUGAUUAUGUCAUCCAAUAGCUUGCCCAAAUCGUAGAAUACAGAAACCCUGACCCAAGCAAGACAGUCAAAAUAGAACUUGACAUGAUUAUUGUUGUAAGUAUCUGCAGCAAAAGCAGUCCUAUCGAAGCCACUGCUGUCGAGAAUUGCAACCACUGAAAGCCCAGAUGGUCCCUCAAUCAAUACAUCAAACAACUUCUCUCUGCCCCUUUCAAAUUCACUGAUAUCGAGCCGAGGUUGUCCCUCAUUCAAUAGGUGAAUGAUUUCGUUACUUUUUUCACUGAUAUCAAAACCAUUGUCGCCGGGUGGGAGUUGUUGGAUCCGAUUUCUAAUAUCAAUGAUUUUACUGUGGAGUCCAAAAAGAAGAGCCAUUUUAGUACUGCUUUCACUUUCGUUUUGACUGUUUUGCUGCUGCAUGAUGUUGAUGAAGAAUGUGUCAAUGGCUUCCUCAGAUUCAUGGACAAAGUCAUUGAUGUCCUCCAGAAUUUCCAAAAUACCUCCUCUUUUAACGUCUUCAUCGCUUUCUUGUGCCUGCAACAGUUGCGAAAAAGGCAAAGAUAAUUUGGAUUCAUCGAAUCGUUCUUUAACAAGUUGAAACAAAAGCCGAGCCAUGUCAGAUUCAAAGUUUCCGAGCAGAGUGGUAGCAAUAAUCUCGGACUCCGUUAGAAGGUUUUGAAAAAGGGGAGUUAAAUUUGUUGAAUCAGGCAAAGUCAACGCGCAUUCUUCACCUGCUAACACCCUUUUUAACCUCUCACAAAAUAGUCGGAGGUGGACGUCCAGCAUAUCUCCUUCUGUCUGUAGCGCCCAGAGGUAUUGUUAUUUGCUACAAGAAAUGUUAAAACAUAGAGUAAUGAUACAGCCACAAACUCUUGUACAAACUUAUUUUGUACAAACUAAAAUGGCAUUAAUUCAUUGGUUGAAUGAAAAUAUAAAAUAAUAAAAACAAAUCAUGUGGGCCAAGUGAUAUUUAAUUCAACCAAUCUUAUCAUGCCACGUCAAUUUGUACAAAAUAAGUUUGUACAAGAGUUUGUGGCUAUAUCAUUACUCUAAAACAUAUCUCCUUCUGUCCUAUCUCAAAGUGGUUAGUGGUGUAAAAUUAAACACCAUGGAAGAAUUUGCAAGGAAUAUGCCAAGAAACUGGCCAACCCGCUUAGCUAAAUUCCACAAAUAUGACGUUAUUGCUCAUUUUUCUCUCAAACACAUAAUACACGUUCUUCGAGGCGCGUGCCUUCUGAAAAGGACAGGUAUCCAACCUCAUCUUAAUUUAAAGAAUUUUCCUUUAAAAAAAAUUUAAUAUCAAAAUGCCUUCAAUGUUAUUACUGCCGAAAGCCAAACUUCCUUUGGGUAAUUAAUUUAGAAGUUAAGCAGAGAAUAAAGUCCUAGAUUAAAUGUUUAGGUAGUUUUACAAAAUGAUAACAGCAUGCCAAAACUCGUUGUUGUCAUAUUCGACAUUUCAAAUUGAAAAAUAUGCAAGCAAUCUUCAGUGAACAUUACAUGUUUAUUGAAUAAUUUAAAUGGCCAGUAAAUCAACAGUCCGUGAGUUUUAAAUCUAUUAUGACUUAAUGUAUCUUUCUGUAUUCGUACACAGGUUAUAUUAUCAUAGUUUAAAAUUAUUUUAAAUAUUAAAAAUACUUUAAUGCUAUUAGUCUACUACACAGGUUAUAUUAUUUAUAUUAUAUUUGUAUUAAUUAAAACUUUUAAUGUCAAUUUUCUAAUUAUUAUAUUAAAAAAGUAUUAUGGUUAAGAAAAAGUUUUGGCAUUUCUUCUUGAAAAUUUGAGAGUCUGCAUGAAAAUUUUUCCAAAUUCUAAAGGUAUAGGUUUGAAAAUUUAACGUUCUGUAAAUUAAUGAAACAAAAGGGGGGAAACCAAAAACUAUUCAAUUUUGUAUUUUUUGUUUGUAAUUCAAAAAAUACAUCCACCAAACAAGUUUUACGCAUUAAUGCUGUCAUAAAACGAAAAACAGUUUGCCAAAAAAUGGUACCAAACAUUUCCUUAAUGUCUCACAUGAUUUCUUAGUAAGUCCAUAUUAGAUAUAUUUAUACAUUUUAUGUAUUUUAGUUAUAAAAGAAGUAGGUCCUCCCCCUGUUUAUAAAAAAUAACUUUAUUUCGAGAUUGCCACUAAACUCUUACAUAGAAUUAGUGUAAUGUUAAGAGAGAGUAACACAGUUUUCCAUUACCAUCUUUGAAAAUAGAGAGAUAUGGAUGCAUGCAUUUAAGAGUUAUCAUGAAAAUCAUACAAUUCAAUUUCCUGACAUAUAUAUUUAUGCACGUAUACCAAAAGAAUAAAUAGACAGAAAGUAAAUUUACAGUCCUCACUUCCUCACAAUUGUUAACGUGAAGAUGCAUUACAACUGUGAACUGUCACUACUUUAGCCUUUUUUUUUAAAAAAAAAAAAUUAUAGUGUGAUGGAGACAUCAAGGAUGAGCAUAAAAGUUAAAGAUGACUCAUUUUCUUUUUAAAGUGCUCUGCUGAAAGCCAAACUUCCUUUGGCUAAUUAAUUUAGAAGUAAAGCAGAGAAUAAAGUUCUAGAUGCCUUCUGAAAUUAGAAAUACAUUUUAUAUGCUUUAAUUAUGAUUAUUUGGUAGACUAUUGACCUAAAAGACAUGUUAAAUUAUAAAACAGUGCGAUUAAAAAAAAGAGAGUAUUUGUGACGUAGAAUAACAAUUGGUAAAUAAAUCCUAAAUAUUUGAGUUGUUAAAAGCAAAUAUAACAGAGACGGUAAGAGAGAUGCAGAAACAGAAAACUAUUAGCUUAUCUUGAUUUUCCCACUAUAUUCAUUUUCGAUGCUUUUCAAACGAGAUUCUUUUAAUUCUUCUGGUGUCUGCAGCCCCUGCUCUUCUUAUAGAUCUCCAUCCCACAUCUGCACUACGAACAAGUUGAUUAAAAUUAAAUAAUGUUGGAGACGUGGGGUGAGCCGUCAACUUGGUAAAAAAACUAUGUAUAAUAUUGUUAAUAAUAUAAAAUAUAUAGUAAUAAUUACAAAGAAUCAUAAAUUAGAAAAAUUAAUUAUUUUACAAUCUAUUUCUUAAGUAAGAUAAAUCUCAUAAUAAGUUAAGUUAUAAUGUAAAAAGUAUUUUCAAUUUAUAAUCAUUUAAGAAGUCAUUUAACAAUAAAAUCUUUCUUUUGAUCAAUUGGUCAUGCUACAAAGUAUCAUCUAUAUUUGUGGUGAUAUUAUUAUUACUCCGUAUUCUCAAAAAACAUGAUUUAACAUUUAGAGAAAAUUCAUGCCUUUUAAAAAGAACAUGUAUGCAACAACUACCAAUACUUUAUCUUACCACAACAAAACUAAUGGUGACUAAAUCAAUUUUCUUGAUUAAAGCAAAAUUUCUUAAAAUUGAUUUAAUGCACAAAUAUGAUGACUUUUUGCAAAAAUUAGUUUCGGAAAAUAUAGUGAGAGAAAAUAGUGACGAUUAUUGUUUAGAUGUGUAAAUAGCCUAAACAUGAUCGCUAAUACCAAUAUCCACGUGCAUCUUAACACCUUUCGUGAUAUUCUUUCAUUCAUGGUCACUGGUUCAAGAUUUGAAUUUAAUCAGUAAAUCAUGUUCAAUAAUAUUAGAGAUCCCAACAAUUGAGUACCAAUUUAAAUCCUAAUGCUAUAUGUCAUUGACCAAUAUUGUGUCAUUUUUUGUUAACUGGGUGAUGAAUUUCUAGUUGAUAAAAUUACUUAAAAAUAUCUUAAAAAUCAGACAAUAGUUUGCUUAAUUUUUUGAAGCUAACUGCUCAAGAUGCUCUAUUAGAAAUGAUAACCUAAUUAUAUACAUAAAAAAUGAUGUAUUUUUUGCGGUGUUGAUAGUGAGAUUAUCAUUCAACAUGUUAAAAUAUGAAAACAUAUGGAAGAUGGUUGUAAAUUGGUUGAAUGAGAAUAUUUCAGUGAAGUCUCAAAAAUUUGGUACUUGUUAUCUUAUCGAAAGUUUUCUAAAUUAUAUUCGUGGCACUGCCACUGCUUCUAUGUGAAGGUCAUUAAAAUUUGUGUUAGCUACCUAUAGGUUGAAUAACAAUUUUAUUCAUCAAUUGUUGCUCAAUAUAGCAAUUUGAUUGAAAGUGCCGCUGCACUAAUUUUCUAGAUGAACUUUCCUACAUGUUUGUCCUCAUAUGACCUAGAAUGCUGCGAUAUCAAUUGUAUUGGAAAUUAUUCAGGUGGGUUAGUGCUCUACAUCCCCACCAAAAUAUAAGCAAUGAACAAAACAUUCCUUGUGGAAAUAAACUUAAUUAUUUCGCUACUAGACUUCUAAUGAGGCCCAUUUUCCAGAAUCUGGAUACAAGUUAGAUGUCUCCCAAAAUAUUGGUGGGAGUAGACUAUAGUAGCACUCGACAACAUACUAACGACGCUAUGGUCCACCAGAAAGACCGGUCUCCGGUCAGCCGAAAAAUCUCACGUUCAGUCUCUUCUCAAUCUCCCUUCUCCCAGCCAAGUCGAUCCCGUAACAUGAUACUAAUCCACAGUUGAAUACAUGAUACUAUUAGAUCUUAUUUGAGAAUAUAAAGGGAUCUUUCUAAUUUGAGAACAUAAAUUGCCCAAUAAAGUUGAACUACGUUACCCCGCUCCAUGCACAUACAUUAAAUGUUAACAGCAUGCCAAAACUUGAUGUUGUCAUAUUCGACAUUUCAAAUUAAUAUGCAAGCAAUCUUCGGUGAACAUUACGUUUUUAUUGAAUAAUUUAAAUGGCUAGUAAAUCUAGAGUUCUUGAGCUUUAAUCUAAAUCAAAUCUAUUAUGACUCAAUGUAUUUUUUUGUAUUCGUACCAGUAAUGCAGGGGAUUAUUUACGGAACUCUUAUUAUUGACUGAUAUGUUCACCUUCAUCCAAUUAGAGAAAGAGUGACUGUAGAGGUGGCAAAAAUACCCGUCCGGUUCGGACCCGGACCGUACCCAUUACCCAGCCCGGGUAUGAAGCCGGGUCGGUCUUGGGUAUUACUUGAUAAACCCGGAACUCGGAUUUUAUUAAAAAAAUUAUAAAAUAUAUAUUAUUUUAAAUAUUUUAUAUUUAUUUGACUCAUUUAUUAUACAUAUAUAAAGUUUUAAACACUUAAAGUAUAUAUUUUCUUGUCAAAUUUUAUUGAAAUAAAUUUAAAACUUAUAAAAUUACUAAAAAAUAAAAAAUAUAUACACAUAAAAUAUUAAAAAAUAUAAAAUUCGGGUACUCGAAUUAAAACCCAGCCCGAACCCGGACCCAGACCGGUUGCAUCCGGUAGGGUCCGGUCAUGGCAAUACCCUGACCCCGCCCGGGGUUUUGCCAUCUCUAAGUGACUGGGUUCCUAUAAAGGGACUCUUAACCGUUACGAGAGUAUUCAGACUAAAAAUCUUUAUAAUUAAAUUCAAAGGUGAAGAUCUAUGCUUAUUAUCUAUUUAACAACUAAUAUAUAGUUAUCUAUUCAUUUAAAUAUCAAGGGCUAUGCUAAUAAUUAAGUUGAAAUGUUGAUGAAAGUAGCCCUACAUCUGUAUAUUACUCAUCUACUCUAAUCUUUUUUUUUUUUUAACUUAAUGUACUUUUUCUAAUGUUGUUUACUCUUCCCCCCCCCCCCCUCCUCUGACAAAAUAAUAAGAGUUUAGACUUGAAAAUAUCUUAAAGAUCAAACAGUAAUUUACCUAAUUUUUUGAAGCUAACUGCCAAAGAUAUUCUAUUAGACAUUGAUAACGUAGUUAUAUACAUUUAAAAUGAUUUUUUUUUUUUGUGGAAAGGGAUUAUCAUUCAACAUUUUAAAAUAUGAAAACAUAUGGAAGAUGAUUGUAAAUUGAUUGAAUGAAAAUAUUUCAAUGAAGAUGGUUGUAAAUUGUUAUCUUAUUGAAAGUUUUCUAAAUUUACUACUAUUUGAACUUAGCCCUCCUGGUACCGCCACCAUUUCUGCUUGAAAGUCAUUUAAGUUUGUGUUAGCUGCCUAAAGCUUUUUUUUUUUCUUUUUCUUUUUGAAAAGAGCUGCCUAUAGCUUGAAUAACUAUUUUGCUCACGAAUUGUUGUCCAUUAUAGCAAUUUAUUUAAUUGAAAGUGCGGCUGCAAUAAUUUUCUUGAUGAACUAUUCCACAUGUUUGUUCUCAUGUGAGGCAGUUUUUCUAGAAGAUUGAUAUUUCUUUAAGUCUUUAACUAGCAAAGCAUACCAGUCCAAAGCUAGCCAAACCAUACCUGCUGGUCCAGGGCUUAAAUGGAGUACUUCUAAGCAUAAAACAGUAACAAAAACACAAUAUAUGCAUACAUACAUACCAGCAAAUUCAAAAUAGAAAAAAGAGUGCAACUAUUCAAGAAAUUGGUUAUUGUAGACAAACACACAUACAAACACAUACCAGAAAAUUCAAAAAAUAGAGAAAGGAGGCCAACUAUUCAAGUUUGUAGACAAUAUUGCAAUCAUGGCAUUACUUAUAGCAAGUCCUUGAAAUCUACUAAACAAAACAAUGCUCUGUCUCAUGAAUCAAUGUUGAAUUACAGACGAAAUUGAAAGUCUAGCAGGUGUUGUUUCCCUCUUCGAUUUUGCCUACACAAGUAAAGGGAAAUAAGAAUCAUAAAUGAAAAUCAGCUUUUACAGUUGUAAUUAUUAGAUAGAUCUAGAACGAUCUUUCUUUGUUUCUCUGCUGCAAUGUGCUAUCCCACUCUGUUUUGCUACUAAAAUUGAGUCUAUGUUGAGACAUAAUUUCGACACUAGGAGCAACCGCAAUUAGUUUGGCAUUGCAUUACCCCUUGAAGGUUUUACAAUAGUUGUAAACUUACCGAGAAAGUAGAAAAAAAAGGGCAUAUGGAAUUAGGCAAGUAACUAAAGUAUGAGUCAUCAGAUAUGAUUAAAACUCACCCAAUUCAAUCCAUCAGAUUCCGUAAGGAUAUAACUGGAUGUCAAAACGCCACUCCAUAUCCUCGAACGUCCGUACCCUUUGCCGCAACUCUGUCUGGGGCCAGUGUAAGUCCAAUUUGCGCAAGCUCUUUAUGCACCAUAGCUCUUCUGGAAGCUUCCUCAAGUAAGCACAUGGGUUGACAAUUAAGCUUUCAAGUUUUGGCAUUGCUCCUGCCCCCAUCGUCCACUCAUCUAGCCAAUACAUUGACUUUAGGUGCAAAAUCUUAAGUUCCGGAAAGCCACCAGAGUCAACACAGGCCAACUUUCUUCCUAAAUACGAGUUCUUCUUCAGUUUCAGCACUUGAAGGCGUGGAAGCUUUUCCAGCUUUGGCAUGGGAUCCUCCAUUAGCUCAGUAUUUGAUAAGCUCAGAUGGCUCAGACUUAAAGGAAAUUCGUAUUCAGACAGGACAAUCCGUGAGAGCUUGCUCUCAUUCACUAGUUCCAAGCAUUCAAUUUUGUGGAGUUCGCAUACGCUUUUGGAAACCCCAGAGUGAUGGCAACUCAAAUCUCCAGAUAUCUGAAGCGUUUGAACAUUAGGUAGUCUGCCUAAUAUAUCUGGCGUGCAACUACUAGGGUGUAAGGAUGAUAUGAAAAAAAGAUUUUUCAGAGAGCUGGAAUAAUUUUUUGGAGGUGCAGGCAGAGUGAUGGAACCAAAGUUCAGAUGCAUGAGUUUUUGCAUCUUCCAAAUAUCCUCUGGUGUUUGAUCUACGUAGCUAGAUGGCAUGUCUAGUGUUUGAAGGUUUGAAAGGGUGCAUAGCGGUGAAGGAAGACAUUUGAGCGAAGGGAUAUUCAAUUUCAAAUACUUCAAAUGGAAUAAAUUUUCUAAUCCGGGUGGAUAUUGGUCCAGGACUGCAGAACCCCUGUUCAAUACCCGAAGGUGUUUGAACAUUUUACAAAAAUUCUCGCAAUCUAUCGGAUUAAGAUGAUCGCUUUCUGAACUGUAAUUCAGAAAAGAUUGAUUAGUUCUUUCAAGUAAUGUUCGGCCGUCCCCUCACUGUUGUAUGGUAUGAAACCUUCAGCUACCCACAACUAAUAUAAUUGUGUGGUAGAUAUCUGAAUGCCUGGAGGGAAGACAAACAAAUAGAUGCAGCAGACUUUCAAGUGAAAAGGUAACUCCAUCACAGAAUAAAUUUGUCUCCAAGCUGUCGGAAUCGCUUCGCCUUGAAAAUAAUUUUCUAAUGGCAUACUUCCGUAGUGUAGGACGAAAAAUUGCAAGCCUUCAAACUUUAUUCUAAUCAGUGGUCCUCCAACGAGCACUGAAUCAAGCCGAAUCUCCUCUGCGUUUUCCAUUUCCAACGACGUAAGGAGUCUUGGAUCAGCGACCAAUAUCAAUACUCUGCUUCCAUUCUGAUUAUCAGGAAGAACUUCUUCAAGAUCAUCCCAUAUCUCACUGUCAUCGAAGACAUCAUCAAGCACAAUAAAGUACUUACUGUUUGUUAGGUAAUCUCGAAGAAUAGAUUUCUUCAAUUGAUAAUCUUCACCGAUAAUUACCCUAACCCGAGCUGGAGGCAUCACAGACUUGAUUAUGUCAUCCAAUAUCUUGCCAAAAUCGUAGGCAAUAGAAACCCUGACCCAAGCAAGAGUCAAAAUAGAACUUGACAUGAUUAUUGUUAAAAGUAUCAGCAGCAGAAGCAGUCUUAUCGAAGCCACUGCUGUCGAAAAUUGCAACCACUGAUAUCGAUAGAUCAAACAACUUCUCUCUGCCCUUUUCAAAUUCACUGAUAUCGAGCCGAGGUUGUCCCUCAUUCAAUAGGCGAAUGAUUUUGUUACUUUGUUCACUGAUAUCAAAACCAUUGUCGCCGGGUGGAAGUUGUUGCAUCUGAUUUCUAAUAUCAAAGUGAAAAAUUGCUGCUUUCACUUUCGUUUUCACUGUUUUGCUGCUGCAUGAUGUUGAUAUUGACAUAAUUUUAUUUUAGUUUUUGGGGAAAAAAAUAUUUGUUGACAAGCAAGAAAAUAUUUUUAUAUUUUAAAUUUAUUAUACAUAUUUUAUCAUUUUAAAGUAAUUUUAAUAAUAAAUAGAAACAUAAUAUUACGAUAAAUAAAUUAAAGUUUAAAUUAUUUUAAAUAUUAUAAAAAAUAAUUCUAAUAUUAUUAAUAGGAAGACAUUUUGUUAAUUUUAAAAUUUUUUAACCCAAAGGUUUAUUUAAAAUUUUUAUUAUAAAUAAAAAUAUAAAAUUAAAUAUCAUAAUUUAAAUUUUUUAAUAUUAUUUAAGUAUUAAAAAUAUUUUAAUGUUAUUAGUCUACUACAUAGAUCAUAUUACUUAUAUUAUAUUUGUAAUGAUUAAAAAUUUUUAAAAUCAAUUUUCUAGUUACUAUAUUCACGAGAUAUUAUGGUUAAAGAAAAGACCUUGGUGUUACUUUUUACAAAUUUGAGUGCCUACAUGAUAAUUUUUUCAAAAUUUAAGAAUGUAUGUAUCCUUUUCUCCAAUAAUUUAUUUCACUUUUGAGGGGAAUCCAAUGAGAGAUAUGAUAAGAGAACGUCAAUUAGUUGUCAUUUUCUACUUUUUCUGUAAGCUAUUUAUUUUGAGCAUUAGUGAUCUUGUCUGGACUACUCCAAUUAUUGAUGUAACUCCAGUGACUGCAUCCACAAUUGAAUAUAUGAUAGUGUUAGCUCUUAUUUGAGAAUUUAUAUAGUCUUGCUGUUAAAGAACUCACUGAGGCAUUAUUGAUUCAAUUUCAGUGGAGCAAUCGCGGGUGAAGGAUAAAUAAAGGAUCAGAACAGAGCUGAAGUGCUAAAUUGGCUAUUGAAGAAGGAUGUCACAUGAUCACAAUCACAUUGAUGCACAACUCUCUGGAGGCAAAUUUUGUCUUUAUGUACUCUAAAUUCAGCCAAACCAUACAUGCAUGAACAAAAAUUAAACCGUCGUUCUAAUCACAACAGUAAUUGAAGCUCCAAAAGCAAGAAAAUCUGAACAAAGACUUAAAAGAAAGAUCUUAUUCAAGUUUGUCCCCAAAAGACAGCUGAAAUGAAAAAUAUUGACUAUUGAAUGGAUCAAUGCUGAAUUACAUUUGAAAUGGAAAGCUUGGCUGCAUCUAUGAUGUUUCCCCCUCUGAUUUUCCCCCAAAACAAAUUUAGUUGUAAACAAUAACGGAAGCAGCAAUAAUUUAUUCACCAAAGAAAAUGCCCAAGAUUUCAACUAACAGAUCCUCUUAUCUAAACUAAAAGAACUCAUAUCUCUAAAAUCUACCCGCAAAAUGUUGGAAAUGAGGGAUGAUCUGUCAACUCGAUAAAUAAACUCAUGCAUAAUAUUAACAAUAAUGGUAAAUUACAUAAUAAUUAUUAUAAAGAAUCAUAAACUGGAAACACUAAUCAUUCUACAAUCUAUUAUAUAAGUAAGAUAAAUCUCAUGAUAAGUUAAGUUAUAACGUGAUAAAUAUUUUCAAUAUAUAAUUAUUUAAGAAGUCAUUUAAUAAUAUAUAUUUUUUAUUUUGUUGAUCAUGUCAUAUAGCGUUAUCUAAACUCCUGACAAAAUUAUUAUUACUCACUUUUCUCAAAAAAACAUGAUUAACGUUUAGAGAAAAGUCAUGCCUUUUAGAAAGAAUAUGUAUACAAGCUAUCCAUACUUUAUCUUACCGUGACAAAAUUGAUGGUGAUUAAAUCUAUUUUUAAAAUAGAUUUAAUGCACAAAUAUGAUGACUUUUGGCAAAAAUUAGUUUCGGAAGAUAUAGUGGUAGAAAAUAGUGAUGAUUAUUGUUUAAAUGUGUAAAUAGCCUAAGCAUAGCCCGUAAUACCAAUAUCCAUUUGCACCUUCAUUUGGAUUAUCACAUUUCAUGAUAUUUUUUCAUUCAUGUCCAUUGAUCAAGAUUUGAAUUUGAAUAUAAAUUAAGCUGCAAGGGAGCUUACUUCGGUUUCUAAGCUUUCCAAUUGUGAUUCCUGCAUGCCUUGCUCUGAUACUAUUUUGUUACAUACCAAUGUAACCAACCUUGUAAUUGGUCUGUAUAAGAAAUCAAGCCCUUUUAGAAUCGUUUUCUUUUGUUUCCCCAUUGUAGUAGUCAACUAAAUAAAGAAUGAACAACUGAACUUGAUCUAUUUUGAUGAAGACCAAGGCCUUCAAUACUAGAUGAACUUUGAAGAAGAUUAAUCUACUGCUUUUAUUCAUCUUUGGACUAUGAAUUUAUACAAAGACUUUAACAGAAAAUAACAAAGACACAACUAAAUGAUAGCAACAAGUGUUGACUUACUGGACCACUUCUACAAGUAAAAAAAAACUAAAUAUUUAUUUUGACUAUAACAACAACUACCCUGAUGAACAACACUCCACAGCAGCCACGUGACAACUAAUUUCUCCUUAAUAUUAUUAUUAGUAGAAGUAGAUUUUCAAACUAGUCUUGAUAUAUUUCAAAGUUGUAUUAACAAUUUAUAUGUAUCUAGAUUGUAACUAUAUUUUUUAAAAAUAAAAUAUUUUAAUUAUUGCACAUUAAAUGUAGAAGAAUAUCUGUAAAAUAAUAUUAUUAGGACUAAAAAAUAUUAUUUUAGAUAAGUUAUUUAUUUAUUAUUGAAUUAAUAAUUUAUUAAUUAUUAGCAGAAGUAUAUUUUCGAACUAGUCUUGAUAUAUUUCAAAGUUGUAUUAACAAUGUAUAGGUAUCUAGAUUGUAACUAUAUUUUUAAAAAAUAAAAUAUUUUAAUUAUUGCACAGUAAAUGUAGAAGAAUAUCUGUAAAAUAAUAUUAUGAGGACUAAAAAAAUAUUAUUUUAGAGAAGUAUUUUUUUAUUAUAGAAUUAAUAAUUUAUUAAUUAAUUUAUAAAUGAAUAUUUAUUAAUUUAAAGAGAGACUUUUUUGGUUUUAUGAAGAGUAUGUUUGGUACAUGUUCACACUUAUAAAGAAACACAAAAAAUGCUUCCUCAAGUCAACGGUAUUUGCUUUAAUCGCUACUGUUCAUAAUAAUAUAGCUUAGUUAGGAAAUUUGUAAUUAUAAUAUGACUCUUUUAGUACAACUUUUCAAGUAGAGUUUAUUUAGGUAGAGAUUUUGUUAGGAGAGGUAUUAUAAAUAGAGAUUUCACUAAAAAAAUUUAAUUAUUUGAUUAUAAUAUCCAAAUUGAAGAACUUUUGUUCUUUUGUUAACAUCUGUUUGUUUUACUUAAUAAUAAAAGUUUAGUUUACAAUUACACCGGUGUCAAAUCAGCAGAGCAUCGGCAAGAGUUUUCGAUUGUUGCAAUUUGCAAUGCAUGCGGUACAUGCACGCACUAAUAAAGAAACACAAAAAGUGCAUUCUCAAGCCAAUAGUAUUUGUUUUUAAUCGCUACUUUGCAUAAUAAUGUAGCUUAGUUAGGAAAUUUGUAAUUAUAUUAUGCCUCCAUUUGGUAUAAUUUUUUAAUUAGAACUUAUUUAAGGAGAACUAUUGUUUGUAGAGUUUUUAUAAAUAGAAAUUUUAAUUAAAAAAAAUUAUAAUUAUUUAGUUGUCAAUGUCCAAAUUGAUGAACUAUUGUUCUUUUUGUUAACAUGUGUUUGUUUUACUUAAUAAUAAAACUUUAGUUUACAAUUACACCGGUGUCAAAUCAGCAGAGCAUUUUUGCAGCCCGUCACAUUAUACAUUAUACUAAUAGCAUCGGCAAGAUUUUUCGAUUGUUGCAACUUGCAACGCACGCGAUGCGAGAAAAUGAGAAUCUUGUUUAAUUGUGAAUAAUGACAAACCUAAUCCUUUCAUUAGGAGCAAUUUAAUAAUCGUUUGUUAUAAUUGAAUAGGUAUAAAGAAAGGACAACUCUAUUCAUAGAUUCGGCUUAUUUUUUGUUUAAAGUAAUUAAUCCUCUAAAACUGAAUUUUAUUUUAUCUGGUGCAUGUUAAAUGAUGUGAGGCCUAAUUUAGGUUUUUGGUUAGCGAAUCAAUUUCAAAGUGUGCUUAAACGGUAUAGGACUUUAUUUCCUGGUCCAUACAUUACUCUGUUAGCUAUAAACCUAUGUGUGCUUGAUCCCGACAAUAAUGAUUUGCAUCCUGCUUGCAAAAAGGAAUUUUUGGAUAUGUCUGUGUUUGAAAGAACAGGUGUGGUCGAAUUCAAGAAGGGGAGAUUUUAGUUUACUGAACCAGGACCCACUCAACUUCCGAAGAAGCUUUAUGCUAGGAGUGGUGCUACCUCUGAUGACGAGUUUGACGACGACACUGCUGCCCCGCCAACUAUUCCUUCUACAUCCGCACCACCUUUGAGCAUUCAGUUAGAGAAAAUGGAGCACAAGCUGAACAAGAUGGAGCAGAAUUUGGCCGCAUACUUCGAGAGUGUGGGAUUUACCCCACCAUUUUCGCCAAGCCCAUAGACGUUAUGUGGAUCAAAGCUCACAAUUCAGGGAAGUUUCUUUUUGCCCUUAAUCUUUUAUCCUUACGCUUUAAUUUUUAUGUGAGCUUUGAUUAUCUUACAUUGGGGACAAUGUAAGUUCUUGGUGUGGGGGAGGGAUUUUGAUGUCUGGAAUUAUUAUUUUCACUCUACUCAUAUAUUUUCACUCUACUCAUCCUUAAAUGAUUUUGGAGUUAGUAUGCUUCAUACAUUAUUAAUUUUCUUUUCCUCUCUCUCUCACUACUCUUUUCCCAUCUAUCUCAAAUUAUUUACAUCUAUUUUUAUUCUAUCAUACUCUUUCAUCACUCACAUUUUAUCUUUCACUUUUCAUAUUACUACAUACAUCUUUCUCACUUCUUAUCAUUUUUACAUUUUCUUUUAUAUAUCACUCAUACCUUCUUCUCAUUCUACACCACUAUUGAUGGUUGAUUCAUUUGAAGAGUGUACAUGAUUUGAUGGCAAAUUUACCAACUUUGUGAGGAUUUGAGCCUAUGAGCAACCACUUUGCUCUAAUAUUUUUGUUGUGUGAAUAUCAAUCUUAGUUUGUUUAUUGUAGAACUUGCUUUGUUAUGCAUGUUGAAGCCGCAUUACGGGAUUUUAUGCAUUAAAAUGAUAAGGGCAAACCCUUUUCCAUUUUUCUAUUCUCGCAUUUUUUUUUCUCUACCCGAAGACCUUUAUUUGCUAUCUUUGUUUGAGCCUUAACCAUUACCCACCUAAUUUUCUCCGUCUACUUAACCAUUUUUCUUCUUUUUGAGCCUCAAUUUACGGAGAUUUUUGGACUCAUUGUGUGGAUGUAUUUUGUUGCUUUUUCUACCUUGUAAUAAAGUUUCUCAAUUAGAUCAACAAGCAUUAUGCUUGAAUUAAAUUGUGCAAGGUUCGUUUCUUUUGUUUGAUUCAAAAAUAAAAAAAAACAACAAAAAAAAAGAAAAAGAAAAAUCCAAAAAAAAGAAAAAAAAAUGUUUACAUUCUUGGUGACUUGAGUAGAAAUAAGUAUUUUGAUAUCAUAAGUUCAUUCAAUGAGUUCAUUCUUCUCAUUUUGAUCUCUUUUUCUUUCGUAAACCUUUCUUUUUCAUUCAACCUAUUUAACCCCAUUACAACCCUUUUAAGACCCUUAGAUUUUUGCAUUUUAUUCAUGUUUUGUGGAUUGAGAUGUGAUAUAUGAGCAAGCUUAUGGUAAUAGCAUUCUUUGAUUUGAUUUGAGUGAAUAAAUGACACCCUAAACACUUUGAGUGCAUGGAGUGAAGUUAUUGAGAGGGCUAUUAAAUCUUGUUGCACUUGAAUUUUGAAUGGAUCUUCUUGGUGGUUGAAUGUUCUUAUUCUAUCUUAUGAAAUUCUAUGCUUUAAAAUCCUUGUCUCUUGAAUGUUGAUCGACUUAAUUUCUUGAGGUAUGCUUGCUUAAAAUUGUUUUUGGAUGAGUUGAGAUGAGAAUUGAGUGGAGAUUUGAGAUUAAUCUUGAGUUAUAUGCUUGAGGACAAGCAUCAUCUUGGUGUGGGGGAAUUUGUUAGAGUGCAAUUUAUGCACUAGUUUUGCAUUGUUUACUUCCCUUAAUAUCGAUGUUUUACACUUAAUAAUAGUGAUUUACUUGUGUUUUACUUUUGUAGGUGCAAUUCUAUUGAUUGGUGAUAAAAUUGAGCUAUAAGAUGAUGUUUAAGGAUGAUUGUUCUCUUGGAGAAAUUAUGAGCGGCAGAAGAACUUUGUUGAUAAGGCGUGGGCGCGUGCUGUCAACUGCGGACCUGCAGUUUUUAGUUUAACAUGUUUUGUAUUUUUGUAAUUACGAAUUUAAUAUUUCAGAUAUUAGUAUUUUAUUUUAAAUAGAAUUCUAAAAGAGAGGAGAGAGAGAGAGUAUUUAAGGGAGGAAUCUAUUGUGAAAAAGGGGGAUUUAGAUUGGAGAAAAGAAAAUAAACCCUAAAUCUAAUUUUUCUCUUCUCUCUAUGAAGAACUAAACUUAUUUUUUCUGGUUGAAGGUUAAUGAAGCUUUGAUUCAUCACUACUGUGAGAUCUUUUUUAUGCUUUAAUUGUUUUAUUACUUUUUGGGUAAUUGUUUAUUCUCUGAAUUAGUUUCAUGAUUAUGUUUGUUAAUUAGGUAAUUGGCCACUAUUUAAUUAUCAACUUAAUCUAUUGUCAAUUAAAGGAUUCAUCGUAUGAAGAUUUUAAUGUUUGUGACAAAUAACAUAGCAGUGAGUUGUGUUAUGAGAAUAAACAAUCUAAUUUAAAUGAAUCAUCAUAUGUGUUGAUUAGGAUUUGGAUCUCUCUGGUUUUUCAGGCUGUCAAUUGAUUAAAUCCUAUGAUCGUAUCUAGGGUUGUCUAUUGAUUAGGGAAAUAUCCAACGGUCGUACCUUGGUUAUCGACUAGUUAAGGAGAGAUUGGCUAUUAGAGGGUCUCAAUAGCUAUAACCGGUCUAUUCAUAAGUAAUAAUAAUCUAUAUUUGAAUCAAUGAUCAGUAGUCGAAUCAAGCUGAGUUAAUUCCUUCAACCAGAGCUUUCUCUAAUUUGAAUUACAACUUUAAUUUGCAUUCUUGUUAUUUUAAUUUGAUUUUUAUUAUUGUCAACAAUUCCCCCAUUUUACUUUUUACGUUUCAAAAGGAUUUAAAUAAUUACCGAUCUCUGUGGACACGACCCUGCUCAAUCACUAUACACAAUUUAUUUAGAGUAUGAAUUUAUUUUUGUUGGCUUCGACAACCAUCGGUAGUAAAAGAAUUUUACUCCAAUUUGGUAAGCCCUGGUCAGCACAACAUUUGGGUAAGAAACUCACUUGUUCCAUUAGACUCUCGAGUUAUAAAUGUUUUUUAUAAUUUACCUGCUGAAAUUAAUUGUGAGUAUGCCAAGUUGCUUGACAAAUUGACCCCGCAACAAUGGAACACGAUUUUCACGACACUUACAGUAGAGGGUGCAUCGUGGGCUAAUGAGGACGGGCGUGUAAUUAACAGGAUAGAUUUAAAACUCAUUGCUAAGGUGUGGGUGAAAUUUCUGAAAUCUAGGCUUAUGCCAACCACCCACACCACUACUGUUUCACAGGAAAGGUUGGUGUUGUUAGAUGCUAUUGUUAGAGGGCUUCCCAUAGAUGUGGGAAGUAUUAUCGAAAAAGAAAUUCGAGUUUGUACCAUGAAAAACCACAAGGCUGCUGCCUUGUUAUUUCCUUCACUCAUAACCAGCAUAUGUAUAGUAUCAGGUGUUCAUCUUGAUGCAAAGGAUGAAAUUUGUAAUUAUAUUAUGGCUCCAUUUGGUAUGACUUUUUAAUUCGAACUUAUUUAAGGAGAAUUUUUAUUAGUAGAGUUUUUUAUAAAUAGAGAUUUUACUAAAAAAAUAAUUAUAAUUAUUUAGUUGUCAAUGUCGAAAUUGAUGAACUAUUGUUCUUUUUGUUAACAUGUGUUUGUUUUACUUAAUAAUAAAAGUUAAGUUCACAAUUACACCGGUGUCAAAUCAGCAGAGCAUUUUUGCAGCCAGUCACAUUAUACAUUUUUGCAACUUGCAAUGCAAGCGACGAGAGAAAAUGAGAAUCUUGUUUAAUUGUCAAUAAUGACAAACCUAAUCGUUUCAUUAGGUGUAAUUUCAUAAUCGUUUGUUAUAAUUGAAUCUGUAUAAAGAAAGGAAAAUUAUAUUCGUAGAUUCGACUUAUUUUUUGUUUAAGGUAAUUAAUCAUUCAACCAUCUUCAUUUGCCCCUGGCCACUGCCCUUGUAGAUUAGUUGAAGCGUUAAUUACUUAAUUUAGAUAAUUACAACGUCCUUUUCGCUAAUUAAUUAUGAUUAUAUACGUUUUCAUAUAGCAAGUGGCAUUGUAGAUCUAAAUUAUGUUGCUAUUUCAAUACGUUAAUUAAGUGAUUCUCCUCAUUGUCAUCAAGUGGAAAAUAGCUCAAUUGUUUCCCUGCAUCGAUUUUCAUUGGUAAGUGAUUUCUUAUGAUAUUCGUUUGAGCUUUCCUUAUUAAAAAAGCUUGAGCCUUGAUCACCUAAUACUGAUAUCAAUUUACUUGUGAACGAUUUUGUAAUGAAAUUAGGAGUUAAAUAUAUAAGAUUUUUACCUGAUGAAUUUUGAUUUUUUUUUUAAUUUUUUGAUGUAGUCAAUUUGCGAAUUUUAUAUGUUUCAUAUUCAACGGAAUUUGGGCACGGAAAGUUUGGAUUCUAAUAUUUAUAUAUUUAGCUUUAAUCAGUUUGACUUUAGCAAUCUUUUUCCCUCAUCAUUAAGGGAUUCAGAAUUAGAGAAACGCUAGGAAGAGGAAGAAAAUAACUUUGGAAAUAAGUAAGGGGGAAAAAUUAUGAAAUUUUGAAUUAUUUUUUGUAAAAUAUGUUGCGUUUACUAAACUUGAAUUAGAAUGAGCUGAAAUUAGAAUGAUUAGGAAUGCAAAUGUGCUGAAAUCGGAAUAGGUAAUGAGAAUAAGAAUAAGUUGUUUACUUGAACUGUAAAAAUCAAAAUCGAAAUGAGCUGAAUUGCAAUUACUUUAUCUUGGAAGCGGAAUUGGAAUCGGAAUGAGUUAGAUUGUAACAAAUUACUAAAAAGUACUUAAUGAAUUAUUGUCAUAAUUAUUAUUUUAUAUUUUAAUUAUAGUGAUUAUUUAUUCAAAAAUUAUUAUUAUUAAUUAUUUUCAAUAAUAUAUUAAUAUGUUAAUUAAUUUUAAAAAUUAUUAAUUAAUUUAUUAUAAUAAUAUACUAAUUAAUUAUAAUAAUUAUAAAAAUAUAUUAAUAAUAAAAUUACUAAUUUAAUUAUAAUAAUAUAUGAAUUAAUUAUAAUAAUUACUAAAUUAAUUAUAAUAAUUAUAUUAGUAAUUAUUAUAAUAGUAUAUUAAUUAAUUAUAAUAAUAAAAAUAUAUUAAUUAUGUGAUUAUUUAUUCAAAAAUUAUAAUUAUUAAUAAUUAUUGUUAAUAAUGUAUCAAUAUACUAAUUACAUAUAAUAAUUAUUAUAAAAAUAUAUUAAUUAUUAAUAAUAAAAUUACUAAUUUAAUAAUAAUAAUAAUAAUAUAUUAAUUAUGUGAUUAUUUAUUCAAAAAUUAUAAUUAUUAAUAAUUAUUGUUAAUAAUGUAUCAAUAUAUUACUUAAUUAUAAUAAUAUAUUAAUUAAGUAUAAAUGAGGACAAAGGGGGUAUUUUUAAUUUCACGUAGGGGCAAAAUGGUCAAUUCUAGUAAUGGGAGACUCACUCCCACCCUCUCCCUUGGGAAUGAGUCUCCCAUUCCUCAUUCCCAAAUUGUGGUGGGCCCCAUGAUUUUGACUCUGAUUUUUGACUCAAUUUUGCGAAGUAAACGCUACUAAUGAUUCUGAUUUUGGAUUCUGAUUCACUUAUCCGAGAAGUAAAAGCAACAUAAAUGUGUAUGAAUAAUUGAUACCUAUGAAUAGUUUUGGGAGUUUUAGUUAGGAGUCAUUUAUUGAAGAUGUUUAGCAAUUAAAGAUCUCUGACUCAGUAGUUUUCCCAAUCAAAAUCAAGAAGCAAAACAACUUGCCAUUUUUCUACUUGAUAAUUAAUUGAAAUUUAAGAAAAUACAAUGGCAUUUCAAUUAGAAAUGGUAAUUGUUUAUCUUUUUUCAUUGAUCAAAUUCUAAUCGUGAUCCAAUAGUUAUGGAUGAAGGAAAUAUUAUGAGAGGCGAUAGGCCAAGUGAAGACGUACCAGCAAAUUCAAAAUAGUCGGGAGGUGGACGUCCAGCAUAUCUCCUUCUCUCUGUAGCACCCAGAUGUAUUGUUAUUUGCUCCAAGAAAUGUUAAAAGGAUUGGCCCUAUCUCAAUGUGGUUAGUGGUGAAAAAUUAAACACCAUGGAAGGAUUUGCAAGGAAUAUGCCAAGAAACUGGCUAAGUUCCACAAAUAUGGCAUUAUUGCUCUUUUUUUUUAAAGAAAAAUUAUACACGUUAAUUUAGCAAAAAGUCUAAGACACAUGCCUUUUGAAAAGAAUAGCUAUUACCAUGACACAAUCGAUGCGGCUGAAACCAAAAUUUUCUUUUCUUAAUGUAAAGAUUUUUUUUAAAUAGAUUUUAAUAUUAAAAUGCCCUUCGAUGUUAUUACUGUCACAAGCCCUGUAACAGGAGUAAUAAAAAUUUUUAGAAUUUGUUGGGCAUGAAAAAAGUAGUAUUAAACAUCAGCAAGCAAAGGUUGUUCUGUUAAAGAAUUGAUAUUGACGUGAUUUUAUUUUGGUUAUCGAGAAAAAAAAAUAUAUUUGUUGAUAAGUAAGAAAAUAUUAUUAUAUUUUACAAUCUAUUAUACAUAUUUUAUUAUAUUAAAUAACACUAAAUAGAAACAUAAAAUUAGAAUAAAAUAAAUUAAAAUUAAAAUUAUUUUGAAUAUUAUGUAAAAAAUAAUGUUAAUAUCAUUGUUACUUGUAAAAUAUAUUUAGCCCAAAGAUUUAUUUAAAAUUUUAUAAUAAAUAAAAAUAUAAAAAUAAAUUAAAUAUCAUAGUUUAAAAUCUUAAUAUUAUUUUAAAUAUUAAAAAUACUUUAAUGUUAUUAAUCUACUACACAUGUUAUAUUAUUUAUAUUAUAGUUGUAUUAAUUAAAAAUUUUAAAGUCAACUUUCUAGUAACUAUAUUCAAAGGUAUUAUGGUUAAAUAAAGGUCUUAGUGUUUCUUUUCAAAAUUUGAGGGUCUACAUGAUAAUUUUUCCAAAUCCUAAGGUAUAGGUGUCCUUUUUAUCAAUAAUUUAUUUCACUUUUGAGAGAAUAUGAUGAGAAAUAAGAUCAGAGAAAUGUCAAUUUAAUGUUAUCUAGCUUAAUGAUAAAAAAAUGGAAACCAAGAACUAUUCAAUUUUGUAUUUUUUGUUUGUAAUUCAAAAAAUCCAUCCACCAAACAAGUUUCACGCAUUUAUGUUAUCAUAAAACAAAAAAAAAAACAGUUUGUGAAAAAAUGGCACCAAACAUACACUUAAUGUCCCACAUGAUUUCUUAUGAAGCCCAUAUUAGAUAUAUUUAUACAUUUUACUGCAUUUAGGACAUGUUUGAUAGCCUGCAUUAUAUAGGAUAAAAACACAAUUUUGUAUUAAAUUAAUGCACACUCACGUUUGGCGCUAAAAGUAACUCCAGCCACAUUGCAUUAAUGGACUGCUAAUGCGGCAAUUGCCGCACUAGCUUGCCUCUUUUUCUUUUUAAUUUUAUUUAUAAUAAUAAUAAUUACAUAAUAUAACUUUUUAUUUUAAUAUAAUAUUAUAUAAUAUUAAGUAUAAUUUUUUUUACAUUAUAAUUAUUGAUAUAAAUUAAUAAAUUAAUUAUUUAUUAUUCAAUAAUAUUAUAUUAUAUAUUUUUUUUAUUUUUACAUUAUAAUUUAUUAGUAAAUUUAUAAUUUAAUAUAAUUAAUAAUAAUAGAAAAUAUCAUUACAUGUACUACAAAACUCUUACUUGGAUUAUUUAACACAAUUUAUUUUAUUCGUGAAUAUGUUAUAACAAUUGUAUCACUUUAUUAUUUUGUUAUUAUUUUGUGGUAUGUAUAAAUUUUUGUUCUAUUAUCCUAAGAUGACUUUUGAACUAAUCUUAUAAGUUUUAACUAUUUAUUUAUGUUGUUAUAUUAUUAGAGAUUAUUUGCUUCGAUCUUUAUUUUACAGGUCAUAUAUUUAGAAAUUACUGAAAAAUAAAUGUUAUACUUCCCAAAAUUUAAGGCUAGAAGCUCGAUCUUUAUGAAGAAUUUUGAUAUUUUUUAACAUUUACACUAAAAAAAAUUGUUAAAUUUCUAAAAUUUAAGACUUCUAUAUUUAAUAUUUUUCUAAUUACUAAUAAGUAUUAUUUUCUAAAUAUAUAAUUUAAAUUAAUCACAAAAAAUUAAUAUAGUACAGUGCAAUAUCAAAUAUAGUAUAAUUAAAAAUUAUACAGUGCAAUAUAGCACCAAAUAUUGUACACUAUUAUUAUAAUAUAGUACUAAUGCAAUACAAUAUAAUACAAUAUAGUGUGCCAAACGCACCCUCAGAAUGUGUUUGGAACAUGGGAUUAUAGGGUAUUAAAACACUGUUCACAUUAGCUUAAUACCAAUCUCAUGUUUGGAAAGAAAUUUUAAGGGAUUAAAGGGGGGUGAGCUAAUGUCAUAACUGCGUCAUUAGUGUCUUGGUUUUUUUUAAAUAAUAAAAAAAAUAUAAAUUCCUAAUUUUAUGUAAAAUUAUAUAAUAUUAAUUUUUAUUUUCUUUGAUCUUUACAUCAUAAUUAUUAAUAUAAGUUAAUAAAUUUAUAAUUUAUUAUUCAUAUUUUAAUUUUUAUUAUAUUAAAAAUAUAACUAAAUAAUUUAAUUUUAAUUCUAUAAUAAUUAAUGUAUAAAAUUGAUUAAUAUUUAAUAAGUCAAUACAACUAGUAAUAAGUGCUUAAAUAAUAUAUAAAAAUAAAAAUAUAACAUAAUAUUACAUUAUUUAAUUAUAUUACAAUAACUAAUAUAUAAAAAUUGAUUAUUAUUUAACAAUUUAAUAUAGCUAAUAAUAGAUACUUAAAUAAUAAUUUAAUAUAACUAAUAAUGAAUAUUUAUAUAUGAAUAUAUUUAAAUAAUAUUAAUUUAAAAUUAAUACCAAUAUAUAUAAUAAUAUAAAAUAUUAUUACAUGUACUGUAGUAUUCUUACUUGGAUUAUUUAGCGCAAUUUAUUUUAUUAGUGAAUAUGUUACAAUUAUUGUAUCACUUUAUUAUUUAAAUUAAUCAAAAAAAUUAAUACAGUACAAGAUAGCACUAAACAUUAUAUAACAUUAUUAAAAUACAGUGUUAAUGCAAUAUAAUGUAAUACAAUACAUCUAUAUUAAAAUAAUAUAAUAUAAUAUAAUUUAAUAUAAUACAAUAUGUCAAAUGCACCCCGUGUAUUUUAAUUUCAAAAGAAGUUGGUCCUUCCUUUAUUUAUAAAAGAUAACUUUAUUUUCAGAUUACCACUAAUUACGAUUAUUUGGUAGACUAUAGACCUAAAAGACAUGUUAGAUUAUAAAACAGUGCGAUUAAAAAAAAAAGAGUAUUUGUGACGUCAAAUAACAAUUGGUAACUAAAAUCCAAAAUAUUUCAGUUGUUAAAAGCAAAUAAAAAAAAGAAGGUAACAGUGAUGCAGAAACACAAUAUUAGCUUAUCUUGAUUUUCCCACUUUAUUCAUUCUCAAUGCUUUUCAAAAGAAAUUCUUCUAAUCCUUCUGGUGUCUGCAGCCCCUUAUCACGGGACGAGAGGUUUUGAGCCCGCGUGGCACUCUCGCAUCCCAUACUACGAGAGUAAACCUAGUGGAAGUGGCACAAUAUCGACUGGUUUCACCCUGCCUUGGGCUCAUCAGGAGAACGGCUCCAGUUCCCAACCAGUGUGUGUAGGGCUUCGCUUAGACUCCUCUUCAACGUUAAAUCCUCGACUAGCAACAAGCUCCCCAAAGUCAACUGGGUUGGCCUGCCUGAACUCCAAGAAAUCUAGGAUCAUUGUAUUCCCCACACGCACGCCCCUGAAGCACGUCUCCUGCAAUCAGCACAACUAUUAUCGAUACUAGUGUACAAGCGCAUAUCUUCGGCAUCACAAUUGCAGUCCGUGACACCCUGCUCUUCUUAUAAAACUCCACCCCAAAUCUAUACUACAAACAAGUGGAUUGAAAUUAAAAAAUUGCUUUUUGAAGUGGACCCAUUGAGUCGUGGUCAUUACUCGUCAUUGUCUAUUUUUUCUAUGAGCCAUUUAUUUUGAGCAAUAGUGAGCUUCUCUGAACUACUCCAAUUAUUGAUGUAACUCCAGUGGCUGCAUCCAUAGUUGAAUAUAUGAUAGUAUUAGCUCUUAUUUGAGAAUAUAGGGGGAUCUUUCUUUGUUUCUUUGUUGCAAUGUUCUAGUAUAUAGUCUUGCUGUUAAUGAAUUCACUGAGGCAUUAUUAAUUCAAUUUCAGUGAAGUAAUUAUGGAUGAAAAAUAAAUAAAGGAUAACAGAAUAGAGCUGAAGUGCUGAAUCGGCUAUUAAAGAAAGUGUCACGCGAUCACAAUCACACUGAUGCACAACUCUCUCGAGGCAAAUUUUGUCUAUAUGUACUCCAAAUUCAGCCAAACCAUACAUGCCUCAACAAAAUUAAACCGUAGUUCUCAUCACUACAGUAAUUGAAGCCCACAAAGACAGCUGAAAUGGAAACUUAAAACGAAGAUCUUAUUCGAGUUUGUCCCCAAAAGACAGCUGAAAUGGAAAAUAUUGACUAUUGAAUGGAUCAAUGCUGAAUUACAUUUGAAAUGGGAAGCUUGGCUGCGGUUACGAUGUUUCCCCCUCUGAUUUUUCUCCAAAACAAAUUCCGUUGUAAAUAAUAUUCAAUGUAGCAACAAUUUAUUCAGCAAAGAAAAUACCUAAUUUUUCAACUAACAAAUUCUCUUGUCUAAACUAAAAAAACUCACAUCUCUCCAAUCUAUCUACAAAUUUGGAGAUGAGAGGUGAUUUGUCAACUCGGUAAAUAAAUUCAUGCAUAAUGUUACCAAUAAUUAUAAAUUACAUAAUAAUUCUUAUAAGAAUCAUAAUAAAGGAACCUUAACCAUUUUACAAUCUAUUACAUAAGUAAGAUUAAUCUUAUAAUAAGUUAACUUAUAACUUAAUAAAUAUUUUCAAUUCAUAAUUAUUUAAGAAGUCACUUAACAAUAAAAUAUUUUUUUAUUUAAUUGAUCAUGUCAUAUAACGUUAUCUAAACUCCCGACGAUAUUAUUAUUACUCACUUUUCUCAAAAAAACAUGACUAACGUUUAGAGAAAAGUCAUGUCUUUUAGAUUGAUAGAAUACGAUUACAAACUAUCCAUACUUUAUCGUAGGCUAUAGAAACCCUUACCCAAGCAUGACAGUCAAAAUAGAACUUGACACGGUUAUUAUUGUAAGUAUCUGCAGCAAAAGCAGUCUUAUCGAAGCCACUGCUGUCGAGAAUUGCAACCACUGAAAGCCCAGAUGGUCCCUCAAUCAAUAGAUCAAAAAACUUCUCUCUGCCCCUUUCAAAUUCACUGAUAUCGAGCCGAGGUUGUCCCUCACUCAAUAGGCGUAUGAUUUCGUUCCUUUUUUCACUGAUAUCAAAACCAUUGUCGCCGGGUGGAAGUUGUUGCAUCCGAUUUCUAAUAUCAAUGAUUUUAGUGUGGAGUCCAACAAGAAGAGCCAUAUCAGUACUGCUUUCACUUUCGUUUUCACUGUUUUGCUGCUGCAUGAUUUUGAUGAAGAAUGUGUCAAUGGCUUCCUCAGAUUCAUGGACAAAGUCAUUGAUGUCCUCCAGAAUUUCAAAAAUAUCUGCUGUUUCAACGUCUUCUUCAUCGCUUUCUUCUAAGUCCAACAGUUGCAAAAAAGGCAAUGAUAUUUUGGAGUCAUCUAAUUCUUCUCUAAGGAGUUGAAACAAAUGCCGAGCCAUGUCAGCUUCAUAGUUUCCCAGCAGAGUAGUAGCAAUAAUUUCGGACUCCGUAAGAAGGUUUUGAAAACGUGGAGUUAAAUUUGUUGAAUCUGGCAAAGUUAACGUGCCUUCUUCACCUGCUAACACCCUUUUCAACCUCUCACAAAACAGUCGGAGGUGGAAUUCCAGCAUAUCUCCUUCUCUCCGUAGCACUCAGAGGUAUAGCUGAAAGAUUAAACACCAUGGAAGAAUUUGAAAGGAAAAUGCCAAGAAAUUGUGUAAGUGGCUAAAUUCCACAAAUAUGACAUUAUUGCUCAUUUUUUAACUCAAAAAAAGGGUACGCGUUCAUUUAGAGAAAAGUCCAAGACGCGUGCUUUUUGAAAAGAACAGGUAUCCCAAUCGGUAUCCAACCUUUAUCUUAUUUAAUUACUACCAUGACAUAAUUGAUGGUGCUUAAAUCAAUUGUUUCUUUUUUAAUUUAAAGAAUUUUUCAUUAAAAAAAUAUUUUAAUAUCAAAUUGCCUUCAGUGGCGUAACAACUGCCUGAAGCCCAGUAACAGGACUAAUUAAAAAUUUUACAAUUUUUGGGCAUGGAAAUAGUAGUAUUAAACAUUAGAAAGGUGAGGUUGUUCUGUUAAAGAAUUGAUAUUGACAUAAUUUUAUUUUGGUUUUCGUGGAAAACAAAAAUAUUUGUUGACAAGCAAGAAAAUAUUUUUAUUUUUUAAAAUUUAUUAUGCAUAUUUUAUCAUAUUGAAGUAAUUUUAAUAAUAAAUAGAAACAUAAUAUUACAAUAAAUAAAUUAAAAUUUAACUUAUUUUGAAUAUUAUAAAAAAUAAUUUUAAUAUUAUUAAUAGGAAGACAUUGUAUUAAUUUUAAAAUUUUUUAACCCAAAGGUUUAUUUAAAAUCUUUAUUAUAAAUACAAAUAUAAAAUUAAAUAUCAUAAUUUAAAAUUUUUAAUAUUAUUUUAAGUAUUAAAAAUAUUUUAAUGUUAUUAGUCUACUACAUAGAUCAUAUUACUUAUAUAAUAUUUGUAUUAUUAAAAAUUUUUAAAAUCAAAUUUUUAGUUAGUAUAUUCAUGAGGUAUUAUGGUUACAAAAAAAAGACCUUAUUAUUACUUUUUAAAAAAUUGAGGGUCUGCGAUGAUAAUUUUUUCAAAAAGAAAAUACAUGGUAUGUAGGAGGGGUAGAGAAACAGGACUUCCAAAAUCUCUCACCCUUCUUUAAUUAAAAAAAAAAUUAAAAUAUUAAUAAAAAAUAAUAAAGAAAAUAGAAUUUUAUCUGCUCCUUACUCCAUUUUUGCAACUCUCUCAACAUCUCUGUCGAGCAGCCUUCUCUCUCAUUGUCUCUCACUAUUUCACGAUCUCUCUCUCACUCACACAGGCAAUGACCAUCUCAUCAUCGGCGGUCGUGUCGUCAGUGUCACUGGUCUUGCUCGACCGAGACAGUGAGAGAGAGGUUUGUUAGAUGGAGUGAUGAUAAAGGAUUCUAUUUUUUUUAUUAAUAUUUUAAUUUUUAAAAUUAAAAUGUGCUGCCGUUUCUCUUGUCUUUUUAGCUGUUUAGCAGCACUCUUUUCAAAAUUUAAGAAUGUAGGUGUCCUAUAAGAGAUCGAUAAAAGAACGUCAAUUAAAUUUAUAAAAAUAUGAUAAAAGAACGUCAAUUACUUGUCUUUUAGGGAAUCCAAUGAGAAAUAUGAUAAAAGAACGUCAAUUACUUGUCAUUUUCAAUUUUUUUCUGUAAGCUAUUUAUUUUGAGCAUUAGUGCUCUUGUCUGGACUACUCCAAUUAUUGACGUAACUCCAGUGGCUGCAAUUAAUGAUAUAAAGCUGAGACUUUUGACCAAGUUAUCUAGUUGGGAAAGCAAAUUUUUUUCCAGUGGGGGCAAAGAAGUGUUGAUUAAAACUGUUGCUCAGGCUGUGCCAGUCUAUGCAAUGAGUGUUUUUAAGAUCCCUCAUAGCUUUUGUGAUGACAUUGAGAAGGCUAUUGCUCGUUUCUGGUGGGGUUCCUCUGAAACAAAAAGAAGCAUUCACUGGACAAGGUGGGAACGGUUGUGCCACGCCAAGAUAAGGGGGGGAUUGGGUUUUAGAGAUUUCUCUAGUUUUAACCAAGCCUUAAUUGCUAAGCAGGGGUGGAGAAUUCUGCAGCACCCUGACUCUUUAAUGGCAAAGAUUCUGAAAGCAAAAUAUUUUAAGCAUACUGGUUUUAUGGAUGCGAAAUUGGGUUCACACCCCUCUUUUGUUUGGAGAAGUAUAUUAUGGGGUAGGCAAGUGCUCCAUAACGGCCUAAGAUGGAGAAUCGGCUGUGGGAGUCAGGUUUUAAUUUCCAGUAGCAAUUGGAUAAAAAACCAUAAGCUUCACAGUUUGGUUCCAUAUUCAAAUCUACCUCCUGAAACUGUAGUUGUUGACCUUAUUGAUGAAAGUCACCAAUGGAAAGAAGAUAUGGUUUUCCAACAUUUUCCAAUGGAUGUUGCAAAGAGGAUCACAAGAACCCCUCUCCCAAAAACUCCCCAGCAGGAUCUUCUCAUUUGGAAAUAUGAUAAGCACAGAAUUUACUCGGUGAAGAGUGGGUAUCAAUUGGCUGUUAAGCAAAAAUUCCAAAAUUAUCCAAGUUGUUCAGAUGUUACCAAGUCAAGGUGGGAGGUGAUAUGGGCUACGGAUCUUCUAGGAAAAGUCAAGAUUUUUAUUUGGAGGGCUGCUCAAAAUCUUCUCCCUACAGUUGGAAAUCUAUGGAGGAGGAGGGUGGUGAAGGAUUAUUUUUGCCAAAGAUGUAAUUGCAGAGGAGAGGAUGUCUUCCAUGCUUUAAUAGAGUGCAGGGCAGCUAAAAGGGUUUGGAAGUUGACUGAAUUUUAUGAGGAUGUAAAGCAAUUAGCUCGGCAAGACAUGUUGAGUGUGCUGCAGGAUUUAGCUGUGAAGAGAAAAAAGAAUGAGCUGGAGCUUGUUGUUGCGGUGUGCUGGGCCAUCUGGUACUCUAGGAAUCGUUUGGUGUUUGAAGGAAAGGAAGAAGAUCCAAAAACUUCAGUGGCCAGAGCAAUUGCUAUGGUGGAAUCAUACAGGCGAAUAAAAGUUCCAAAUGAACAAAAUUCUCCAGGCCAUAGCAGAAUCAGUCAACUAGAAUGGGCAAAUCCUCCAAAGGGGUGUUAUAAAGUCAACGUUGAUGCUGCAAUUAAUGUUUCAAACCAAAAGGCAGGGUUGGGUGUAGUGUUUAAGAGUGACUAACUAUCCCAAUCAACUCAAAACACUUCCCAAGAUCACACCCAAACAAACAAGAUGUACCAAGAAUCAAUCCAGUAGAAUACACACAGAUUAUUAGAACUGAAAGAAUUAAAGAAAAGGACAAGAAUUAACGUGGUUCAGCUAGCUUCAGUCUAGCUUACAUCCACGGGAGAAACAGAACCCAAUUGUAUUGAUUGUUUAAAGGAGUUACAGAGAGUUCAUCAAGCUUGUUACAGAGUCUCUCAAGAAGCCUUUUGUUAUUAAUCUUCUCAACUCACAAUAGCUCUCUCUUCUUUUUUCUCAGUUGCCAGAAUCAGCUGUAUAUAACAGCUUGUUAACGAAUCAGCAACCAACCCAGAAACCCACGUGACAGUCAUGUGAGUUAACUGAUUCUAACGAACCAAGAACGCAACUUAUCCAUGCACGUGAAACUCUCGUGCAUCACUUAACCAAAACGACCUUCAUACAUGUCGUUCCAGGAGAUACGAGUUUGACUUUCCAAAACGCAGCAUCAGCUGACGUUUUCACAAACAGAUUUGCUUCACAUCACAACAAUUCUCCACCUUGAACAAAUCACUCUCUGAUCCUGAUUUCUCCAACCUGAGUAUUUAGAAUUCACUCAGCCCAGCUUUGUCCAAGCCGCUCUUGAACUUAGCUGUAGUUACAACCUUAGUAAGCAUGUCAGCAGGAUUAUCAUCUGUAUGCACUUUCACCAUGCUAAUCACACCUUUAGAGAUCACAUUUCUGAUAAAAUGUAACUUGAUAUCUAUGUGUUUAGUUUUUUCAUGGUGAGCUGGGUUCUUACUCAAGUAAAUUGCACUUGAGCUGUCACAAUGAACUUCCACAGUCUCCUGCUUCAUCCCCAGUUCUGUUAUCAACCCUCUCAGCCACAGAGCUUCCUUGACAGCUUCUGUUGCAGCAGUAUAUUCAGCCUCUGUUGUUGACAAAGCUACAACAUGCUGCAAUCUUGCCUUCCAGUUAACAAGGCAACCAUCCAAGAAAAACAUAUAGCCAGUUAAAGAUCUCCUUCUGUCUAAGUCCCCAGCAUAGUCUGAGUCAACAUAACCACAGAGACCUGCAAUCUUUCCAGCUGAUUUUCCAUAUACCAACCCAUACUGUUGUGUACCUUUCAGAUACCUCAGCACCCAUUUAACAGCCUUCCAGUGCUCCUUUCCAGGUGUAGCCAUAAACCUACUUACAACACUUAAAGCAUGAGCUAAGUCUGGUCUUGUAAGUACCAUUGCAUACAUCAUGCAACCAACAGCAUUUGCAUAAGGAACCUUUGUCAUUUCAUUCCUCUCUUCAUCUGUACUGGGGCAUUGUGAACAUGACAGCUUGAAGUGAGAUGCAAGAGGGGUUACUACUGACUUGCUGUUUGACAUCCCAAAAGUUCCCAGUACCUUCUCUAGAUACUUCCCUUGAGACAGAAUCAUAGUACCCUUCUUCCUGUUCCUUAUUAUUUCCAUACCCAAAAUCUUCCUAGCUGGACCCAAGUCUUUCAUAUCAAAUUCUGAAUUGAGCAGUUGCUUCAAAGCCUCAAUCUCUUCCCUUUCAUUACAAGCAAUCAACAUAUCAUCUACAUAUAACAGCAGAUAUAUGUAGUUGCCUGAUUGUAUGAUCUUGUAGUAAACACAUACAUCAUAGCUGCACCUUAGAUACCCAUGAGUGACCAUAAACUCAUCAAAUCUAAGGUACCACUGUCUGGGUGAUUGUUUCAGCCCAUACAGUGACCUCUUCAGCAGACACACACAGUCAGCAGAUUCAGGACUUGUGUACCCUUCAGGCUGUGUCAUCAAGAUGUCCUCAUUUAAUCUUCCAUGUAGAAAGGCUGUCUUGACAUUGAGUUGAUCAAGCUCCAUGUCUUUUACAGCUGUUAAAGCCAGUAGCACUCUGAUUGAUGUGUGUCUGACUACUGGUGAGAACACCUCUUUGAAAUCCACUCCAGCCCUCUGUGUGUAACCCUUGGCCACUAACCUAGCUUUGAAUCUUCUAGGUUCAGUAGCUGUUAGUCCAUCUUUGACUUUGUAGAUCCAUUUACAUCCUACUGUUCUGCUGUUGGCAGGUCUUUUAAUCAGCUCCCAUGUAUUGUUCUUCUUCAGUGAAUAGAUUUCCUCAUCCAUGGCCUUUUUCCACUCAUCUUUGUAUGGUCCCUGGAUAGCCUCUUUGUAGUUCUUGGGUUUAUCAUCAUCAAUUUGAUGAGAUGCUGUUAAUGCAUAGGCUAUCAGAUCUGCAUAUCCAUAUCUGACAGGUGCUUUUGCUUUCCUUCUUUCUCUGUCUCUUGUCAGCUGGUACUCCUGAUGCUGAGCUUCAGUCUGCUUUACAUGAUCAGUUUCUAGAUCAGUAGCUCCUUGAUAAGAGUCAUCUUCAUCUUCUGAAGCUUCUCUAGUGUAGGGCUCCACCUCAAACUGAAUCUUGGUUCUCUCCUUCUCCUUUGGUGUAUCUGUGUCAGUAGGUUUCUUCAUUUCCAGUGCAGCUUUCUCAUUGAAUAUUACAUCUCUACUGAUUAUGCACUUGGGGGGAUUAAGGUCUGUACACCACAGUUUGAAGCCUUUAACACCUUCAGGAUACCCAAUGAACUUUCCUUUAAGGGUUCUUGGAGCUAACUUCCCUUGGCUCACAUGUGCAUAAGCUGGACAUCCAAAUACUUUGAGGCUGCCAUAGUCUGCUGGUUUUCCAUGCCAUUUCUCAAAUGGGGUUUUGAAGUCAAGUGCUGCAGAGGGACUUAGAUUUACCAGAUAGCUUGCUGUUAACAGAGUCUCAGCCCACAAUCCUUUUGGAAGUUGUGACUGGAUCAUCAUGCUUCUUACUCUGUCCAUCAGGGUUCUGUUCAUUCUUUCGGCUAACCCAUUUUGUUGAGGAGUCAGCCUUACAGUUCUAUGCCUUGCAAUGCCAUGAUCUGCACAGUAGCUAUCAAACUCCUGAUUGCAAAACUCAAGACCAUUGUCUGUUCUGAGUUUCUUUACCUUCAAUCCAGUUUGAUUUUCAACCAGGGAUUUCCACUCUCUGAAUUUUCCAAAUACCUGAUCCUUGUGCUUUAAGACAUAAACCCAUACUCUCCUUGAAUAAUCAUCUAUUAAAGACAAGAAAUAGGUGUUGCCACCUAGUGACAUUGUCUGUGCUGGUCCCCAUAAAUCUGAGUGUAUGUAUUCAAGGAUGCCUUUUGUUGAAUGAACUGAUUUUCCAAAGCUACUUCUUGUAGCUUUGCCUAGUACACAGUCUUCACAAAAAUUCAGUUCUGAGAUUUGACUGCUGCCUAGAACCCCUUGCUUCUGUAAUUCUUUCAGACCUCUCAAGCUCAUAUGUCCUAAUCUAAGGUGCCACAGCAGAGUGUUAUCACAGCUUGAACUGAUUAACACUCCUGACACACCAGUUAUAGCUUCCCCAUUCAAAACAUAAACCCCAUUUCUCUUGUAACCUUUCAUAACUAUCCCAUCUUCAUUUGAAAUUCUCAGCUCACCAGAUUCAAGCUUAAUGCUAAGCCCCAUUUGGUCAAGCAUACCUAGAGAUAUUAAGUUCCUUUUAAGUUCAGGAACAUACCUAACUUCCCUUAAUUCUCUUAUUGUUCCAUCAUGCAAUUUUAGGUUUAUAUUUCCUAUCCCCGCAAUUUUACAAACAGCAUUGUUACCCAUCAUAACUUUUCCUCCAUCAGUUUCAUGAUAGUUUAAUAGGUAAUCUUUAAAGGGGCACAUAUGAAAUGUACAACCUGAGUCUAGAAUCCAGGUACCUUUUUGCACAUGCUCUGUAGCCACACAUACUCCUGCUGACUCAUACCCCUCUUCCUCAGCAGUAGCAGCAGCUCCAUUUUGUUCCCUUUUCUUGUUCUUGAGUUCUGGGCAAUCUCUCUUGAAAUGCCCUUCUUUCUGGCACUGAAAACAUUUCUUGCCUUUAGUCUUUUGUUUGUUGUUCCCUUGCUUCUUUUUCUUUCCAUCAUACUUAUCAGUUCUUGCUUUUACUGCCAAUACUUCUCCAGAGUUCAUAUUCCCUGACUUUUCUUGCAGCCCUCUAGUAUUCAGGGCAGCCUUAACUUCAUCCAAUGAUAAAGUCUGUCUCCCAUACAUGAGUGCAUCCACAAAGUUUGAAUAUGAGGAUGGAAGUGAACUAACCAGAAGCAAUGCUUUACCUUCAUCAUCUAAACCUUCAUCAAUUAUUUCCAAUGUAUCACAGACCUGAUUGAAUUCAUCAAUGUGGUCUUCGAGAGAUGACCCUUCAGCCAUCUUUAGUGUGAACAUUCUUUUCUUGAUGUAAAGUCUGUUGGCUAAUGAUUUAGUCAUAUACACCCUUUCAAGCUUUGCCCACAGAUCAGCCACUGUUCUUUCUCUUGCAACUUCCCUGAUCACCGAGUCUCCAAGACUCAAGAUUAUGGUACUCCUUGCCUUUUUGUCAAUCUCAGCAGCUUGUUGUGGUGUUAGUGAUGAUGAAGAUGUGGAGGCUUCUAAUCCUUCUUUCUUGAUGAUAGGUUCUAAGGCAUCACCUAGCCCUUGAGUGAUCAGUAAUGCCUCCAUUUUAACCUUCCACAUGUUGAAGUCAUUCUUCCCUGUAAACUUCUCUAGAUCGAUCUUUGAACCAACCAUACUUGUGUCUGAUUUGUAAUCCAAGCUCUGAUACCAAUUGUAGUGUUUAAGAGUGACUAACUAUCCCAAUCAACUCAAAACACUUCCCAAGAUCACACCCAAACAAACAAGAUGUACCAAGAAUCAAUCCAGUAGAAUACACACAGAUUAUUAGAACUGAAAGAAUUAAAGAAAAGGACAAGAAUUAACGUGGUUCAGCUAGCUUCAGUCUAGCUUACAUCCACGGGAGAAACAGAACCCAAUUGUAUUGAUUGUUUAAAGGAGUUACAGAGAGUUCAUCAAGCUUGUUACAGAGUCUCUCAAGAAGCCUUUUGUUAUUAAUCUUCUCAACUCACAAUAGCUCUCUCUUCUUUUUUCUCAGUUGCCAGAAUCAGCUGUAUAUAACAGCUUGUUAACGAAUCAGCAACCAACCCAGAAACCCACGUGACAGUCAUGUGAGUUAACUGAUUCUAACGAACCAAGAACGCAACUUAUCCAUGCACGUGAAACUCUCGUGCAUCACUUAACCAAAACGACCUUCAUACAUGUCGUUCCAGGAGAUACGAGUUUGACUUUCCAAAACGCAGCAUCAGCUGACGUUUUCACAAACAGAUUUGCUUCACAUCACAACAUUGGGGGUAGUCAUUAGAAACUCUGUGGGUAAGGUUGUUGCUGCAGCAGUCCAAAGAGCUCCAUAUAGGGGAGAUGUGGCGUGUAUGGAGGUUGAAGCUGUUCUGUUUGGUAUUCAGAGUGCCCAACAAGCAGCUGUUUUCCCAAUAAUUAUUGAGUCGGAUUCAAAGGAAGUGGUGGAUCUAUCCUUAAAGAAAAAGAUCAGCAAGACUGAAAUUGAGUGGAAAAUUGCAGAAAUCCAAGCAAAUCUGGAAAAUCAGAAUGUGUCCUCGCUGUCAUAUGUCCCUAGAAGCUGUAACUCUAUUGCUCAUUCUAUUGCAAAGAUAGCUCUAGGUUUUGAAAGUCAAGUCUUUUGGCUGGAAAACUUUCCAGAACAUAUCAGGUGUACUCUUGCUAAGUUCAUCAAUUGAAAAGCUUUACUUUGCUCAUCAAAAAAAAAAAAAAAAAAAAACUCCAGUGGCUGCAUCCACUGGAAAAAGUGGAUGAGAACCAUUUUUUUUUCAUAAAGGUAACUACUCACAUAAUUGAUGGUGCUUAAAUCAAUUUUUUUUUUAAUUUAAAGAAUUUUGCUUUAAAAAAUAAUUAAUAUCAAAAUGCCUUCAAUGUUGUUACCCUCACAAGCCCAGUUAGAGGACUCAUUAAAAAUUUUAGAAUUUUCAGGCCUGGAAAGCGUAGUAUUAAACAUCAGAAAGCAAAGGUUUUUAUGUCGAAGAAUUGAUGUCGACAAAAUUUUAUUUUAGUUUUUGGGAAAAAAAAUAUUUUGUUGACAAGCAAGAAAAUAUUUUUUAUACUUUACAAUCUGCCUUCUCUCUCAUUGUCUCUCACUAUUUCACGAUCUCUCUCUCACUCACACAGGCAAUGACCAUCUCAUCAUCGGCGUUCGUGUCGUCAGUGUCACUGGUCUUGCUCGACCGAGACAGUGAGAGAGAGGUUUGUUAGAUGGAGUGAUGAUAAAGGAUUCUAUUUUUUUUAUUAAUAUUUUAAUUUUUAAAAUUAAAAUGUGCUGCCGUUUCUCUUGUCUUUUUAGCUGUUUAGCAGCACUCUUUUCAAAAUUUAAGAAUGUAGGUGUCCUAUAAGAGAUCGAUAAAAGAACGUCAAUUAAAUUUAUAAAAAUAUGAUAAAAGAACGUCAAUUACUUGUCUUUUAGGGAAUCCAAUGAGAAAUAUGAUAAAAGAACGUCAAUUACUUGUCAUUUUCAAUUUUUUUCUGUAAGCUAUUUAUUUUGAGCAUUAGUGCUCUUGUCUGGACUACUCCAAUUAUUGACGUAACUCCAGUGGCUGCAAUUAAUGAUAUAAAGCUGAGACUUUUGACCAAGUUAUCUAGUUGGGAAAGCAAAUUUUUUUCCAGUGGGGGCAAAGAAGUGUUGAUUAAAACUGUUGCUCAGGCUGUGCCAGUCUAUGCAAUGAGUGUUUUUAAGAUCCCUCAUAGCUUUUGUGAUGACAUUGAGAAGGCUAUUGCUCGUUUCUGGUGGGGUUCCUCUGAAACAAAAAGAAGCAUUCACUGGACAAGGUGGGAACGGUUGUGCCACGCCAAGAUAAGGGGGGGAUUGGGUUUUAGAGAUUUCUCUAGUUUUAACCAAGCCUUAAUUGCUAAGCAGGGGUGGAGAAUUCUGCAGCACCCUGACUCUUUAAUGGCAAAGAUUCUGAAAGCAAAAUAUUUUAAGCAUACUGGUUUUAUGGAUGCGAAAUUGGGUUCACACCCCUCUUUUGUUUGGAGAAGUAUAUUAUGGGGUAGGCAAGUGCUCCAUAACGGCCUAAGAUGGAGAAUCGGCUGUGGGAGUCAGGUUUUAAUUUCCAGUAGCAAUUGGAUAAAAAACCAUAAGCUUCACAGUUUGGUUCCAUAUUCAAAUCUACCUCCUGAAACUGUAGUUGUUGACCUUAUUGAUGAAAGUCACCAAUGGAAAGAAGAUAUGGUUUUCCAACAUUUUCCAAUGGAUGUUGCAAAGAGGAUCACAAGAACCCCUCUCCCAAAAACUCCCCAGCAGGAUCUUCUCAUUUGGAAAUAUGAUAAGCACAGAAUUUACUCGGUGAAGAGUGGGUAUCAAUUGGCUGUUAAGCAAAAAUUCCAAAAUUAUCCAAGUUGUUCAGAUGUUACCAAGUCAAGGUGGGAGGUGAUAUGGGCUACGGAUCUUCUAGGAAAAGUCAAGAUUUUUAUUUGGAGGGCUGCUCAAAAUCUUCUCCCUACAGUUGGAAAUCUAUGGAGGAGGAGGGUGGUGAAGGAUUAUUUUUGCCAAAGAUGUAAUUGCAGAGGAGAGGAUGUCUUCCAUGCUUUAAUAGAGUGCAGGGCAGCUAAAAGGGUUUGGAAGUUGACUGAAUUUUAUGAGGAUGUAAAGCAAUUAGCUCGGCAAGACAUGUUGAGUGUGCUGCAGGAUUUAGCUGUGAAGAGAAAAAAGAAUGAGCUGGAGCUUGUUGUUGCGGUGUGCUGGGCCAUUUGGUACUCUAGGAAUCGUUUGGUGUUUGAAGGAAAGGAAGAAGAUCCAAAAACUUCAGUGGCCAGAGCAAUUGCUAUGGUGGAAUCAUACAGGCGAAUAAAAGUUCCAAAUGAACAAAAUUCUCCAGGCCAUAGCAGAAUCAGUCAACUAGAAUGGGCAAAUCCUCCAAAGGGGUGUUAUAAAGUCAACGUUGAUGCUGCAAUUAAUGUUUCAAACCAAAAGGCAGGGUUGGGUGUAGUGUUUAAGAGUGACUAACUAUCCCAAUCAACUCAAAACACUUCCCAAGAUCACACCCAAACAAACAAGAUGUACCAAGAAUCAAUCCAGUAGAAUACACACAGAUUAUUAGAACUGAAAGAAUUAAAGAAAAGGACAAGAAUUAACGUGGUUCAGCUAGCUUCAGUCUAGCUUACAUCCACGGGAGAAACAGAACCCAAUUGUAUUGAUUGUUUAAAGGAGUUACAGAGAGUUCAUCAAGCUUGUUACAGAGUCUCUCAAGAAGCCUUUUGUUAUUAAUCUUCUCAACUCACAAUAGCUCUCUCUUCUUUUUUCUCAGUUGCCAGAAUCAGCUGUAUAUAACAGCUUGUUAACGAAUCAGCAACCAACCCAGAAACCCACGUGACAGUCAUGUGAGUUAACUGAUUCUAACGAACCAAGAACGCAACUUAUCCAUGCACGUGAAACUCUCGUGCAUCACUUAACCAAAACGACCUUCAUACAUGUCGUUCCAGGAGAUACGAGUUUGACUUUCCAAAACGCAGCAUCAGCUGACGUUUUCACAAACAGAUUUCGUUCACAUCACAACAUUGGGGGUAGUCAUUAGAAACUCUGUGGGUAAGGUUGUUGCUGCAGCAGUCCAAGGAGCUCCAUAUAGGGGAGAUGUGGCGUGUAUGGAGGUUGAAGCUGUUCUGUUUGGUAUUCAGAGUGCCCAACAAGCAGCUGUUUUCCCAAUAAUUAUUGAGUCGGAUUCAAAGGAAGUGGUGGAUCUAUCCUUAAAGAAAAAGAUCAGCAAGACUGAAAUUGAGUGGAAAAUUGCAGAAAUCCAAGCAAAUCUGGAAAAUCAGAAUGUGUCCUCGCUGUCAUAUGUCCCUAGAAGCUGUAACUCUAUUGCUCAUUCUAUUGCAAAGAUAGCUCUAGGUUUUGAAAGUCAAGUCUUUUGGCUGGAAAACUUUCCAGAACAUAUCAGGUGUACUCUUGCUAAGUUCAUCAAUUGAAAAGCUUUACUUUGCUCAUCAAAAAAAAAAAAAAAAAAAAAACUCCAGUGGCUGCAUCCACUGGAAAAAGUGGAUGAGAACCAUUUUUUUUUCAUAAAGGUAACUACUCACAUAAUUGAUGGUGCUUAAAUCAAUUUUUUUUUUAAUUUAAAGAAUUUUGCUUUAAAAAAUAAUUAAUAUCAAAAUGCCUUCAAUGUUGUUACCCUCACAAGCCCAGUUAGAGGACUCAUUAAAAAUUUUAGAAUUUUCAGGCCUGGAAAGCGUAGUAUUAAACAUCAGAAAGCAAAGGUUUUUAUGUCGAAGAAUUGAUGUCGACAAAAUUUUAUUUUAGUUUUUGGGAAAAAAAAUAUUUUGUUGACAAGCAAGAAAAUAUUUUUUAUACUUUACAAUCUGCUAUACAUAUUUUAUCAUAUUAAAGUAAUUUUAAUAAUAUAUGGAAACAUAAUAUUUUAAUAAAUAAAUUAAAAUUACUUUGAAUUAUUGAAUAUUACAAAAAGAUAAUUUUAAUAUUAUUAAUAGGAAAACAUUUUUUAAUUGUAAAAUCUUUUUAAUACAAAAAUUCAUUUAAAAUCUUUAUAAUAAAUACAAAUAUAAAAUUAAAAAAUAUUAUAAUUUAAAAUUUUUAAUAGUAUUUAAAUAUUAAAAAUACUUUAAUAUUAUUAAUCUACUACAUCAAAUAUAUUAUUUAUAUUAUAUUCGUAUUGAUUAAAACGUUUUAAAGUCAAAUUUUUAAUUAGUGUAUUCAAAGGUACAAAAGAUUUUAGUAUUAUUUUUUAAAAAUUUCAGGAUAUGAAUGUUAAUUUUUUUCAAAUUUUAAAGAUGUAAAAAUCUUUUUUUCUGAUAAUUUAUUUCACUUUUGAGAGAAUCCGAAAACGUUAAUUUAACAUUCUUUACCUUUGUGAAAAAAGUGAAAAUCAAGAACUAUUCAAUUUUGUUUUUAUUUGUAAUUCAAAAACUUUAUUCAUUUUGGAUGCUUUUCAAAAGAGAUUCCUUUAAAUCCUUUUGGUGUCUGCAGCUCCUGCUAUUCUCAUAAGUCUCCAUCCCACAUCUACACUAUCAAACAAGUUGAUGGAAAUUCUUAUAAAAAAAAAAAAAAAGUCGAUGGAAAUUGAUCAAUUGCUUUUUGAAAUGGACCCAUUGAGUCAUGUUCAUUUCUGGUCAUUGUCUACUCUUUCUAUCAGCCAUUAAUUUUGACCAUUUGCGAUCUUAUCUGGACCAACUCCAAUUAUUUAUGUAACGAACUCCAAAGGUUGCAUCUACAGUUGAAUGUAAGAUAGCGAAGGCUCUUCUUUGAGAAAAUAGAGGAACCUUUCUCUGUUUCUCCGUUGCAACGUGCUCAUAUAAAUUUCUUUACCUUACAGUUUAUACGGUCUUGCUGUUAAUGAAUUCGCUGAGGCAUUAUUGAUCCAAUCUGAGUGAAGUAAUUGUGGCUGAAAAAUAAAUAAAGGAUAUGAGAACGUAGCUGAAGUGCUGAAGGGGCUAUUAAAGAAGAGUGUCACUUGAUCACAAUCACAUUGAUGCACAACUCACUCGUGGCAAAUUUCGACUAUACGUACUGCAAAUUCAGCCAAACCAUACAUGCAUGAACAAAACAUCUUCUCUAAACUAAAAAGCCCACAUCUCUAAAAUCAAUCUACAUAAUGUUGGAGAUGAGGGGUGAAUUGUUAACUCAGUAAAAAAAAAAAACUCAUGCAUAAGAUUACUAAUAAUAUAAAUUAUAUAUUAAUCAUUAUAAAGAAUCAUAAAUUAGAAAAAUUAAUCAUUUUAUAAUUUAUUACACAAGUAUGAUAAAUCUUAUAAUAAGUUAUAACAUAAAAAAACGUUAUCAAUAAAUAAUCAUUUAAGAAGUCAUUUAACAAUAAAAUCGUUCUUUGAUCAGUUGGUCAUGUCACAUAGUAUCAUCUAUAUUUAUGGUGAUAAUAUUAUUACUUAGUAUUAUCAAAAAACAUGAUUUAACAUUUAGAGGAAAUUCUUGCCUUUUAAAAAAAACAUGUAUGCAACAGCUACCCAUGCUUUAUCUUACCAUGACAAAUAUUUUCUCAAUGAAAGAAUUUUUUUUUAAAAUUGAUUUAAUGCACAAAUAUGAUGAUUUUUGCCAAAAAUUAAUUUUGGAAAACAUAGUGAGAGAAAAUAGUGACGAUUAUUGUUUAGAUGUAUAAAUAGCCUAAACAUAAUCCUUAAUACCAGUAUCCAUGUGCAUCUUAGCAUCUUUUAUGAUAUUCUUUCAUUUAUGUCCAUUGGUUCAAGAUUUGAAUUUGAUCAUUAAAUCAUAUUCAAUAAUAUUAGAGAUUCCAAAAAUUGAGUACCAACUUAAAUCCCAAUGUUAUGUUUCAUUGACCAAUGUCGUGUCAUUUUCUUAUUAACUAGGUGAUGAAUUUCUAGUUGAUAAAAUCACUUAAAAAUAUCUUAAAAAUCAGACAAUAGUUUGCUUAAUUUUUCCAAGUUAACUGCUCAAGAUGCUCUAUUAUAAAUGAUAACCUAAUUAUAUUCAUAAAAAAUGAUAUAUUUUUUGUGGUGUUGAUAAUGAGAUUAUCAUUCAACAUUUUAAAAUGUGAAAACAUAUGGAAGAUGGUUGUAAAUUGAUUGAAUGAAAAUAUUUCAGUGAAGUCUCAAAAAUUUGGUACUUGUUGUCUUAUCGAAAGUUUUCUAAAUUAUAUUCGUGGCACAGCCACUAUCCAAACCAUACAAGUCCAAAGCUAUCCAAACCAUACCUGCAAGUCCGGGGCUUAAAUGGAGUACUUCUAAGCAAAAAAACAUUGACUAAAAUAGAAUAUAUACAUACAGACACACAUACAUACCAGCAUAUUCAAAAUAGCAAAAGGAGUGCAAAGUUCAAGUUUGUAGACAACAUUGCAACCAUAGCAUGUUUAUAGCAAAUCCUCAAAAUCUGCUAAAUAAAACAAUGCCCUGUCUCAUGAAUCAAUGCUGAAUUAAAAUUGAAACUGAAAGUCUGGAUGGUGUUGUUUGUUGAGAAUGUCAAAUAAAACGGCAUUGAAGGAAGUUUUCAAAGGCAGAAUCCGCACUUGUCAAAGGGAUGAUCUGCACUUGUCAAAGACACGAUCCGCGCUGAACGGAUCGACACAUUUCCUUCCGUAUUCACAUAUGUAAUCUUUGAAAAAAUAUAGCUUCUGCAUCUAUAAAUAACGCUCAAUGUAUAAUGUUUUAUUCAAGAAAUAAAAACAAGUUUCUACAUGGUAUCAGAGCCAUGAAUGCGCUCAAGUUUCUUCAAGUUUCGUUGCUCUGUUUGUCACAAAAACAGAGGAAACCAAAUUCGUCCCACAACCAUUUUUUCCACCAUUUUCUUCCUUAAAAUCAUUCCUAACAUUACAGAAAUCCAUGCCGAUCAAAAAACAUGAAAGACAAAUUACACAUGUGCAGUAACCAAUGAUCAUAUUUCGUUACUGUCAAACACAAUGCAUCUGAGCAAAACAUUGGAAGCCAACACCAGAAUACAUAUGAAUAAACAAUUAAAGAUAGAGAAAAAAGGCUUAAACCUUGGGGGAAAAAAGUGAAAAAACAUGAAAGACAAAUUACACAUGUGCAGUAACCAUCGAACUUAUCAGUGACAGCUGCAUCUAUUACAUUGCUCCAACAACACAAUGGCAAACCACCAGUUUCAAAUUGAGGAUAGCUAUCGAGAAUGAGAAAGUGUCCAAAACGUCAUAAAUAGACAUGUUCCUAUUGUGCAUAAUUUACAUUAUAGGCAAAUAUUCUUAUACCAUCAAUGGCAAAACAUGACACUAACAAUUGAUCCCCCCAACACCCCCCCCCCCCACCAACCAAAAAAAAAAAGGAAAUAACAAUACAGAAAAGAUUGAAACAGAUAAGGCUACACUGAGCACAGGAUGCCAUGAAACAUAAUCCAGGAACCAAAUUAAUAAAAAAGGAAGCCAAACCAUUAUUUAACAAUCUGUUUUGUAUUUGGGAAAGUCUGAUAAAAUCUACUUAGGGAUAAUUAGAGAACUUCAACUAUUAAUCACACCUCAUAAAUGAACUAACAUUAACCAUCUACCAUCCCCACGUCACACAAACAUUCUCUAUACUUCUGAACCUAAUACUUCCAUCUUCAAUUGGGGGGUUUUUUUCUUUUUUCUUUUUUUUGGGGGGGGGGGGGGGGGGGGGGGGAAGCUAUCAAUUUUCUAAGCUUGCUUAGCUUCUGUGUGGGAUUGAAAUGCUGAUUUCGAAUCACUAACAGUAAAAUUGGAAGCUCAUGAGAAAAUAGAGAAAGACCUAAUGUUGAGUCCUUUGGCGCAUGUCUCUUCAUAGGUCCGAACCAUUUCUUCGGGCGUGGGUUACGGCCGAGAUUGGAUAAUGAUGGAGGAGGAGAAAAUAGAUAAUGAUUGCACUAAUUUUCUAGAUGAAUUUUUUCCUACAUGCUUGUUCCCGAAUGACCCAAAAUCCUGCUACAUCAGUUGUAUUAGAAAUUAAUCAACUGGGUUACAAUUAUGCAUCCCCACCAAUAUUUAAGCAAUUUACAGAAACAUUUCUUGAGGAAAAAAACUCAUAUCGCCACUAGGCUUUUAAUGAGGCUCAUUUUUAUGAAUUUGGAUGGCAUUAGAUAUCUCUCCAAAUAUUGGUGGGAGUAGAUCGCAGAUCUCUGGGCUAUACUACAAAGUGUAUGUACGUUGACUCUCAAUAAAUACAAACGAUUCUCUGAUAUGAUUCAAAACAUCAGUACAUGCAUCAUUUUAAUGAGAAAGAAUAUUCUAAGAACGAAAUUGAAGGUGCAAUCAGCAGCUAAAAUGAAGCCAGAAAUGUACACGCAUGAGGAACUUUUCCUAGAAGAUUGAUAUUUCUUUGACUAGCAAACCACACACGUCAAAGCUAGCCAAACCAUACCUGCAUGUCGGGGGUUUAAAUGGAGUACUUCUAAGCAUAAAACAUUGAUUAAAACAGAAUACACACAUACAUACCAGCAAAUUCAAAAUAGCAAAAGGAGUGCAAAAGUUCAAGUUUGUAGACAACAUUGCAACCAUGGCAUGUUUAUAGCAAAUCCUCGAAAUCUGCUAAAUAAAACAAUGCCAUGUCUCAUGAAUCAAUGCUGAAUUAAAAUUGAAACUGAAAGUCUGGCUAGCGAUGUUUCCCUCUCCAAUUUUGCCUACAUAAGUGAAAAUAAGAAUAAUAAAUGAAAAUCUGCUUUGACAGUUCUUAUUAGAUAGAUAUAAAAAGAUCUUUCUUUGUUUCUCUGCAGCAAUCUGUGGCUAUCCCACUCUGUUUUGCCAGUCAAGCUGCGGCCUCAAUUAGUUUGGCACUUUUAUGACCUCCUUGAAGGUUUUACGAUAAACAUAAAUCUACUGACAAAGUGGGCAAAAAGAAAAUGUAUAUAAAAGUAUGAGUUAUCAGAUAAGAUUAAAACUCACCCAAUUCAAUCCAUCAGAUUCCGUAAGGAUAUAACUGGAUGUCAUACCGCCACUCUAUAUUCUUGAAAGUCCGUAGUGUUUGUCUCAACUGUGUCUGGGGCCAGUGUAAGUCCAAUUUGCGCAAGCUCUCUAUGCACCACAGCUCUUCUGGAAGCUUUCUCAAGUAAGCACAUGGGUUGACAAUUAAGCUUUCAAGUUUCGGCAUUGCUCCAGCCCCCAUCGUCCACUCAUCUAGCCAAUACAUUGAUUUCAGGUGCAAAACCUUAAGUUCGGGAAAGCUACUCAAGCCAACACAAGCAAGCUUUCUUCCUAAAUACGAGUUCUGCUUCAGUUUCAGCACUCGAAGGAGUGGAAGAUUUUCCAGAAUUGGCAUGGGAUCCUCCAUUAGCUCAGUAUUUGAUAAGCUCAGUUGGAUCAGACUUGGGGGAAAUUGGUAUUCAGACAGGACCAUCCGUGAGGGCUUGCUCUCAUUCACCAGCUUCAAGCAUUCAAGUUUGUGGAGUUCGCAAAGGCUUUUGGAAACCCCAGAUUGAUAGUAACUCAAAUCUCCAGAUAUCCGAAGAGUCUGAACACUAGGUAGUCUGCCCAAUAUAUCAGGAGUACAACUACUAGGGUUUAAAGCUGAUAUGAAAAUGAGAUUUUUCAGAGAGCUAGAAUAAUUUUUUGGAGGUGCGGGCAGAGUGAUAGAACCAAAGUUUAGAUGCAUGAGUUUUUGCAUCAUCCAAAUAUCCUCUGGUGACUGAUCUAUGUAGCUAGAUGGCAUUUCUAGUGUUUCAAGGUUUAAAAGGGUGCAUAGCAGUGAAGGAAGGCAUUUGGGCGAAGGGAUAUUCAAUUUCAAAUACUUCAAAAGGAAUGAAUUUUCUAAUCCGGGUGGAUAUUGGUCCAGGACUGCAGAACCCAUGUUCAAUACCCGAAGGUAUUUGAACCUUUUAAAAAAAUUCUCGCAAUCUUUCGAAUUAAGAUGAUUGCUUUUUGAACUGUGAUUCAGAAAAGAAGUUUCUGCAGAACCCAUGUUAGAAUGUUUCAAAGAAAAGAAGUCAAUCUGAUUACCCAAAAUGAUGUACCGUUUAACAUUUUCCGGUGGUUCAUCUUCCAUGUCAAGCAUCCAGACAAAUCCCGUCUUCUCUGCCACCAAUAACAAUGAAUAAUAUACAAUACUUGGAACAUAACACGCUUUAAUCGUGCCUCCGGCGCUUCUCUUACUCACUUGAAUGAAGCCGCGAUGGAUUAGUUCUUUCAAGUAAUGUUCGGCCGUCUCCUCACUGUUGUAUGGUAUGAAACCUUCAGCUACCCAUAACUGAUAUAAUUGCCUCGUGGAUAUCUCAAUACUUGGAGGGAAGACACACAAAUAGAUGCAGCAGACUUUCAAGUGAAAAGGUAACUCCAUCACAGAGAAAGUUUGUCUCCAUACUGUCGGAAUCGCUUCGCCUUGAAGAUAAUUUCCUAAUGGCAUACUUCCAUAGUGUAGGACGAAAAAUUGCCAGGCUUCAAGCUUUAAUCUGAUCAAUGGUCCUCCAAUGAGCACCGAAUCAAGCCGAAUCUUCUCUCCGUUUUCCAUUUUCAGCGACGUAAGGAGUUCUGGUUCAGUGACCAAUAUCAAUACUCUGCUUCCAUUCUCAUUAUCAGGGAGAACUUCUUCGAGAUCACUCCAUAUCUCACUGUAAUCGAAGACGUCAUCAAGCACAAUAAAGUACUUCUUGUUGGUUAGGUAAUCUCGAAGAACAGAUUUCUUCAAUUGAUAAUGUUCACCGAUAAUUACACUAACCCGAGAUGGAGGCAUCACAGACUUGAUUAUGUCAUCCAAUAUCCAUACUUUAUCGUAGGCUAUAGAAACCCUUACCCAAGCAUGACAGUCAAAAUAGAACUUGACACGGUUAUUAUUGUAAGUAUCUGCAGCAAAAGCAGUCUUAUCGAAGCCACUGCUGUCGAGAAUUGCAACCACUGAAAGCCCAGAUGGUCCCUCAAUCAAUAGAUCAAAAAACUUCUCUCUGCCCCUUUCAAAUUCACUGAUAUCGAGCCGAGGUUGUCCCUCACUCAAUAGGCGUAUGAUUUCGUUCCUUUUUUCACUGAUAUCAAAACCAUUGUCGCCGGGUGGAAGUUGUUGCAUCCGAUUUCUAAUAUCAAUGAUUUUAGUGUGGAGUCCAACAAGAAGAGCCAUAUCAGUACUGCUUUCACUUUCGUUUUCACUGUUUUGCUGCUGCAUGAUUUUGAUGAAGAAUGUGUCAAUGGCUUCCUCAGAUUCAUGGACAAAGUCAUUGAUGUCCUCCAGAAUUUCAAAAAUAUCUGCUGUUUCAACGUCUUCUUCAUCGCUUUCUUCUAAGUCCAACAGUUGCAAAAAAGGCAAUGAUAUUUUGGAGUCAUCUAAUUCUUCUCUAAGGAGUUGAAACAAAUGCCGAGCCAUGUCAGCUUCAUAGUUUCCCAGCAGAGUAGUAGCAAUAAUUUCGGACUCCGUAAGAAGGUUUUGAAAACGUGGAGUUAAAUUUGUUGAAUCUGGCAAAGUUAACGUGCCUUCUUCACCUGCUAACACCCUUUUCAACCUCUCACAAAACAGUCGGAGGUGGAAUUCCAGCAUAUCUCCUUCUCUCCGUAGCACUCAGAGGUAUAGCUGAAAGAUUAAACACCAUGGAAGAAUUUGAAAGGAAAAUGCCAAGAAAUUGUGUAAGUGGCUAAAUUCCACAAAUAUGACAUUAUUGCUCAUUUUUUAACUCAAAAAAAGGGUACGCGUUCAUUUAGAGAAAAGUCCAAGACGCGUGCUUUUUGAAAAGAACAGGUAUCCCAAUCGGUAUCCAACCUUUAUCUUAUUUAAUUACUACCAUGACAUAAUUGAUGGUGCUUAAAUCAAUUGUUUCUUUUUUAAUUUAAAGAAUUUUUCAUUAAAAAAAUAUUUUAAUAUCAAAUUGCCUUCAGUGGCGUAACAACUGCCUGAAGCCCAGUAACAGGACUAAUUAAAAAUUUUACAAUUUUUGGGCAUGGAAAUAGUAGUAUUAAACAUUAGAAAGGUGAGGUUGUUCUGUUAAAGAAUUGAUAUUGACAUAAUUUUAUUUUGGUUUUCGUGGAAAACAAAAAUAUUUGUUGACAAGCAAGAAAAUAUUUUUAUUUUUUAAAAUUUAUUAUGCAUAUUUUAUCAUAUUGAAGUAAUUUUAAUAAUAAAUAGAAACAUAAUAUUACAAUAAAUAAAUUAAAAUUUAACUUAUUUUGAAUAUUAUAAAAAAUAAUUUUAAUAUUAUUAAUAGGAAGACAUUGUAUUAAUUUUAAAAUUUUUUAACCCAAAGGUUUAUUUAAAAUCUUUAUUAUAAAUACAAAUAUAAAAUUAAAUAUCAUAAUUUAAAAUUUUUAAUAUUAUUUUAAGUAUUAAAAAUAUUUUAAUGUUAUUAGUCUACUACAUAGAUCAUAUUACUUAUAUAAUAUUUGUAUUAUUAAAAAUUUUUAAAAUCAAAUUUUUAGUUAGUAUAUUCAUGAGGUAUUAUGGUUACAAAAAAAAGACCUUAUUAUUACUUUUUAAAAAAUUGAGGGUCUGCGAUGAUAAUUUUUUCAAAAAGAAAAUACAUGGUAUGUAGGAGGGGUAGAGAAACAGGACUUCCAAAAUCUCUCACCCUUCUUUAAUUAAAAAAAAAAUUAAAAUAUUAAUAAAAAAUAAUAAAGAAAAUAGAAUUUUAUCUGCUCCUUACUCCAUUUUUGCAACUCUCUCAACAUCUCUGUCGAGCAGCCUUCUCUCUCAUUGUCUCUCACUAUUUCACGAUCUCUCUCUCACUCACACAGGCAAUGACCAUCUCAUCAUCGGCGGUCGUGUCGUCAGUGUCACUGGUCUUGCUCGACCGAGACAGUGAGAGAGAGGUUUCUUAGAUGGAGUGAUGAUAAAGGAUUCUAUUUUUUUUAUUAAUAUUUUAAUUUUUAAAAUUAAAAUGUGCUGCCGUUUCUCUUGUCUUUUUAGCUGUUUAGCAGCACUCUUUUCAAAAUUUAAGAAUGUAGGUGUCCUAUAAGAGAUCGAUAAAAGAACGUCAAUUAAAUUUAUAAAAAUAUGAUAAAAGAACGUCAAUUACUUGUCUUUUAGGGAAUCCAAUGAGAAAUAUGAUAAAAGAACGUCAAUUACUUGUCAUUUUCAAUUUUUUUCUGUAAGCUAUUUAUUUUGAGCAUUAGUGAUCUUGUCUGGACUACUCCAAUUAUUGACGUAACUCCAGUGGCUGCAAUUAAUGAUAUAAAGCUGAGACUUUUGACCAAGUUAUCUAGUUGGGAAAGCAAAUUUUUUUCCAGUGGGGGUAAAGAAGUGUUGAUUAAAGCUGUUGCUCAGGCUGUGCCAGCCUAUGCAAUGAGUGUUUUUAAGAUCCCUCAUAGCUUUUGUGAUGACAUUGAGAAGGCUAUUACUCGUUUCUGGUGGGGUUCCUCUGAAACAAAAAGAAGCAUUCACUGGACAAGGUGGGAACAGUUGUGCCACGCCAAGAUAAGGGGGGGAUUGGGUUUUAGAGAUUUCUCUAGUUUUAACCAAGCCUUAAUUGCUAAGCAGGGGUGGAGAAUUCUGCAGCACCCUGACUCUUUAAUGGCAAAGAUUCUGAAAGCAAAAUAUUUUAAGCAUACUGGUUUUAUGGAUGCGAAAUUGGGUUCACACCCCUCUUUUGUUUGGAGAAGUAUAUUAUGGGGUAGGCAAGUGCUCCAUAACGGCCUAAGAUGGAGAAUCGGCAGUGGGAGUCAAGUUUUAAUUUCCAGUAGCAAUUGGAUAAAAAACCAUAAGCUUCCCAGUUUGGUUCCAUAUUCAGAUCUACCUCCUGAAACUGUAGUUGCUGACCUUAUUGAUGAAAGUCACCAAUGGAAAGAAGAUAUGGUUUUCCAAUAUUUUCCAAUGGAUGUUGCAAAGAGGAUCACCAGAACCCCUCUCCCAAAAACUCCCCAGCAGGAUCUUCUCAUUUGGAAAUAUGAUAAGCACGGAAUUUACUCGGUGAAGAGUGGGUAUCAAUUGGCUGUUAAGCAAAAAUUCCAAAAUUAUCCAAGUUGUUCAGAUGUUACCAAGUCAAGGUGGGAGGUGAUAUGGGCUACGGAUCUUCUAGGAAAAGUCAAGAUUUUUAUUUGGAGGGCUGCUCAAAAUCUUCUCCCUGACUUUUCUUGCAGCCCUCUAGUAUUCAGGGCAGCCUUAACUUCAUCCAAUGAUAAAGUCUGUCUCCCAUACAUGAGUGCAUCCACAAAGUUUGAAUAUGAGGAUGGAAGUGAACUAACCAGAAGCAAUGCUUUACCUUCAUCAUCUAAACCUUCAUCAAUUAUUUCCAAUGUAUCACAGACCUGAUUGAAUUCAUCAAUGUGGUCUUCGAGAGAUGACCCUUCAGCCAUCUUUAGUGUGAACAUUCUUUUCUUGAUGUAAAGUCUGUUGGCUAAUGAUUUAGUCAUAUACACCCUUUCAAGCUUUGCCCACAGAUCAGCCACUGUUCUUUCUCUUGCAACUUCCCUGAUCACCGAGUCUCCAAGACUCAAGAUUAUGGUACUCCUUGCCUUUUUGUCAAUCUCAGCAGCUUGUUGUGGUGUUAGUGAUGAUGAAGAUGUGGAGGCUUCUAAUCCUUCUUUCUUGAUGAUAGGUUCUAAGGCAUCACCUAGCCCUUGAGUGAUCAGUAAUGCCUCCAUUUUAACCUUCCACAUGUUGAAGUCAUUCUUCCCUGUAAACUUCUCUAGAUCGAUCUUUGAACCAACCAUACUUGUGUCUGAUUUGUAAUCCAAGCUCUGAUACCAAUUGUAGUGUUUAAGAGUGACUAACUAUCCCAAUCAACUCAAAACACUUCCCAAGAUCACACCCAAACAAACAAGAUGUACCAAGAAUCAAUCCAGUAGAAUACACACAGAUUAUUAGAACUGAAAGAAUUAAAGAAAAGGACAAGAAUUAACGUGGUUCAGCUAGCUUCAGUCUAGCUUACAUCCACGGGAGAAACAGAACCCAAUUGUAUUGAUUGUUUAAAGGAGUUACAGAGAGUUCAUCAAGCUUGUUACAGAGUCUCUCAAGAAGCCUUUUGUUAUUAAUCUUCUCAACUCACAAUAGCUCUCUCUUCUUUUUUCUCUGUUGCCAGAAUCAGCUGUAUAUAACAGCUUGUUAACGAAUCAGCAACCAACCCAGGAACCCACGUGACAGUCAUGUGAGUUAACUGAUUCUAACGAACCAAGAACGCAACUUAUCCAUGCACGUGAAACUCUCGUGCAUCACUUAACCAAAACGACCUUCAUACAUGUCGUUCCAGGAGAUACGAGUUUGACUUUCCAAAACGCAGCAUCAGCUGACGUUUUCACAAACAGAUUUGCUUCACAUCACAACAUUGGGGGUAGUCAUUAGAAACUCUGUGGGUAAGGUUGUUGCUGCAGCAGUCCAAGGAGCUCCAUAUAGGGGAGAUGUGGCGUGUAUGGAGGUUGAAGCUGUUCUGUUUGGUAUUCAGAGUGCCCAACAAGCAGCUGUUUUCCCAAUAAUUAUUGAGUCGGAUUCAAAGGAAGUGGUGGAUCUAUCCUUAAAGAAAAAGAUCAGCAAGACUGAAAUUGAGUGGAAAAUUGCAGAAAUCCAAGCAAAUCUGGAAAAUCAGAAUGUGUCCUCGCUGUCAUAUGUCCCUAGAAGCUGUAACUCUAUUGCUCAUUCUAUUGCAAAGAUAGCUCUAGGUUUUGAAAGUCAAGUCUUUUGGCUGGAAAACUUUCCAGAACAUAUCAGGUGUACUCUUGCUAAGUUCAUCAAUUGAAAAGCUUUACUUUGCUCAUCAAAAAAAAAAAAAAAAAAAAAACUCCAGUGGCUGCAUCCACUGGAAAAAGUGGAUGAGAACCAUUUUUUUUUCAUAAAGGUAACUACUCACAUAAUUGAUGGUGCUUAAAUCAAUUUUUUCUUUCUUUUUUUUUUAAUUUAAAGAAUUUUGCUUUAAAAAAUAAUUAAUAUCAAAAUGCCUUCAAUGUUGUUACCCUCACAAGCCCAGUUAGAGGACUCAUUAAAAAUUUUAGAAUUUUUAGGCCUGGAAAGCGUAGUAUUAAACAUCAGAAAGCAAAGGUUUUUAUGUCGAAGAAUUGAUGUCGACAAAAUUUUAUUUUAGUUUUCGGGAAAAAAAAUAAUUUGUUGACAAGCAAGAAAAUAUUUUUUAUACUUUACAAUCUGCUAUACAUAUUUUAUCAUAUUAAAGUAAUUUUAAUAAUAUAUGGAAACAUAAUAUUAUAAUAAAUAAAUUAAAAUUACUUUGAAUUAUUAAAUAUUACAAAAAGAUAAUUUUAAUAUUAUUAAUAGGAAAACAUUUUUUAAUUGUAAAAUCUUUUUAAUACAAAAAAUCAUUUAAAAUCUUUAUAAUAAAUACAAAUAUAAAAUUAAAAAAUAUCAUAAUUAAAAUUUUUAAUAAUAUUUAAAUAUUAAAAAUACUUUAAUAUUAUUAAUCUACUACAUAAAAUAUAUUAUUUGUAUUAUACUCGUAUUGAUUAAAACGUUUUAAAGUCAAAUUUUUAAUUAGUGUAUUCAAAGGUAUAAAAGAUUUUAGUAUUAUUUUUUAAAAAUUUCAGGAUAUGAAUGAUAAUUUUUUCAAAUUUUAAAGAUGUAAGAAUCUUUUUUUCUGAUAAUUUAUUUCACUUUUAAGAGAAUCCGAAAACGUUAAUUUAACAUUCUUUACCUUUGUAUAAAAAGUGAAAAUCAAGAACUAUUCAAUUUUGUUUUUAUUUGUAAUUCAAAAACGUUAUUCAUUUUCGAUGCUUUUCAAAAGAGAUUCCUUUAAAUCCUUUUGGUGGCUGCAGCUCCUGCAAUUUUCAUAAAUCUCCAUCCCACAUCAACACUAUCAAACAAGUUGAUGGAAAUUCUUAUCAAAAUUCCACAAAUAUGACGUUAUUGCUCAUUUUUCUCUCAAGACGCGUGCCUCCUGAAAAGAGAUACAUUGAAUAAGUCAAUUGAUUACAUUGUGGGUAAUUAAUUUAGAAGUGAAGCAGAGAAUAAAGUCCUAGAUGCCUUUAGAAAUUAGAAAUACAUUUUAUAUGCUUUAAUUAAUGAAUUCACUGAGGCAUUAUUGAUCCAAUCCCAGUGAAGUAAUUGUGGGUGAAAAAAAAAAAUAAAGUGCUGAAUUGGCUAUUAAAAAAGAGUGUCACUUGAUCACAAUCACAUUGAUCCACAACUCACUCGAGGCAAAUUUCAUCUAUGUGUACUGCAAAUUUAGCCAAACCAUGCAUGCAUGAACAAAAUUAGGCCGUAGUCCUCAUCACAACAUUAAUUGAAGCCACAAAAGCCAGCAAAUCCAAACGAAAACUUAAAAGGAAGUCUUUUAACUAUUGGAAACAUUAAUCAUUUUACAAUCUAUUACAUAAUAAAGAUAAAUUUUAUAAUAAGUUAAGUUAGAACUAGGGAAGGCAAAUUUUCCCGAUGGGAUGGGAUCCUGCGGGAUCCCAUCCCAUUUGGGACGGGAUUGAGACAUAUUUUUGUCCCAUAAAAAAAUUUAGGACGGAAUUGGGAUUUUUUUUAUCCCAAUUACAUAUGCGGGACAUGAGUGGGAUUGACAAAUUCCGUCCCAUCCCAUCUCAUUACCGAUUAAUAAUGGAAAUUUUUCCAAUUGGGAUGGGAUCCCGCGGGAUCCCAUCUCUUUUAGGACGGGAUUGGGACAUAUUUUUGUCCCAAAAAAAUAUAAGGACGGGAUUAUGACAUUUUUUCAUCCCAUUUGCAUAUACGGGAUGGGACUGGGAUUGGUAAAUCCCAUCCCAUCCCAUCCCAUUGCCAACCCUAGUUAAAACAUAUCAAAUAUUUUCAACAUAUAUAAUUAUUUAAGAAGUCUUUUAACAAUAUUUUUUUUUCUUUUUCAGUUAAUCAUGUCAUAUACCGUUAUCUAAAACGCUGGCGAUAUUAUUAUUCCUCACUUUUCUCAAAAAAAAAAAAGAAAAAAAAAAGAAACAUGAUUAACGUUUAGAGAAAAGUCAUGCCUUUUAAAAAGAAUAUGUAUACAAUAGCAAUCCAUACUUUAUAAAAUUGAUGGCGAUUACAAAGAAAAAUUGUUUAAAAUAGAUUUGAUGCACAAAUAUGAUGACUUUUGGCAAAAAUUAGUUUCGGAAAUGUUGAGAUGAAAACCAUAUUAAUUGAGAAUUAAAAUUAUUUAACUACCAUCUAAUAGAUGAAAACCAUAUCAAUUGGGACUUAAAUUAAAAUUUAAAUAUUGAAAUAUCUAGCAUUACUCACAAUAACCAAUUCAAAUUAUGACUAUCAUGUAGAAGCAAAUGUUUAUGCGUGGGUUUUUUACUUCUUGAAUUUGAUUGGAAAAAUUUCUAAGAUAGAGAAGUGUUUUGGAUAAGCUUUUCGGGAUUGAAACCACAAAUUGGUAGAGGAAAUUAAUUUUGGACAAAUUUUUCUUAUAUUGUAGGACCUUCUAGUUGGAGUAGUGAUGGCUUUGUCUUCAUUUUUGGUUCCUUUUGUGUCGGCAGCCCCUUACUAUUCUCUUGACCCUGAGUUUGAGAUAGAAAUUUAUCAACCUCCAACCCCACAUCCACAAACAAGUUGAUUGAAACAAUUGCUCUUUUAAUUAAGAGGACCCAAAUGAUUUAGGUUUCAGUUCUUAUCAUUUGUCUAUUAUUUCUUUGAAACAUUUAUUUUGAGCGUUACUGAUCUUAAUUAUCUGUAUUUCUCCAAUUAUUGAAGAAUUUCAAGUGGCCACUUUUUCUCCUUUUUAUAUAUGUUUAUUUUUUGGAGUGAUCAAACGGGUGCAAAAUCAAGUAUUCGCUGGUCCGUAGUUUAGCCAACUAUGGCUGAUCCACACAGUUGAUUAUAUGAUACUAUUAGCUCUCAAAAUCUUUCUUAUUUGAGAACAUAAAUUGCCCAUUAAAGUUAAACUAUGUUACCCAGCUCCAUGCACAUACAUUAAAUGUUUAGGUAGUUUUACAAAAUGAUAACAGCAUGCCAAAACUUGAUGUUGUCAUAUUCGACAUUUCAAAUUGAAAAAUACGCAAGCAAUCUUCAGUGAACAUUACGUGUUUAUUGAAUAAUUUAAAUGGCCAGUAAAUCAACAGUCCGUGAGUUUUAAAUCUAUUAUGACUUAAUGUAUCUUUCUGUAUUUGUACACAUAUUAUAUUAUCAUAGUUUAAAAUUUUAAUAUUAUUUUAAAUGUUAAAAAUACUUUAAUGCUAUUAGUCUACUACACAGGUUAUAUUAUUUAUAUUAUAUUUGUAUUAAUUAAAACUUUUAAUGUCAAUUUUCUAAUUACUAUAUUAAUAAAGUAUUAUGGUUAAGAAAAAGUUUUGGCAUUUCUUCUUGAAAAUUUGAGGGUCUGCAUGACAAUUUUUCCAUAUUCUAAGGGUAUAAGUUUGAAAAUUUAACAUUCUCUAAAUUGAUGAAACAAAAAGGGGAAACCAAGAACUAUUCAAUUUUGUAUUUUUUGUUUGUAAUUCAAAAAAUGCAUCCACCAAACAAGUUUUACGCAUUAAUGCUGUCAUAAAACGAAAAACAAUUUGCCAAAAAAGGGUACCAAACAUAUCCUUAAUGUCUCACAUGAUUUCUUAGUAAGCCCGUAUUAGAUAUAUUUAUACAUUUUAGGUAUUUUAGUUAUAAAAGAAGUUGGCCCUCCCUUGUUUAUAAAAAAUAACUUUAUUCAUGCACAUAUGCCAAAAGAAUAAAUAGACAGAAAGUAAAUUUACAGUCCUCACUUCCUCACAAUUGUUAACGUGAAGAUGCAUUACAACUGUGAACUGUCACUACUUUAGCCUUUUUUUUUAAAAAAAAAAAUUAUAGUGUGAUGGAGACAUUAAGGAUGAGCAUAACAGUUAAAGAUGACUCAUUUUCUUUUUAAAGUGCUCUGCUGAAAGCCGAACUUCCUUUGGCUAAUUAAUUUAGAAGUAAAGCAGAGAAUAAAGUCCUAGACGCCUUCUGAAAUAAGAAAUACAUUUUAUAUGCUUUAAUUAUGAUUAUUUGGUAGACUAAAGACCUAAAAGAUAUGUCAAAAGUAUAAAACAGAGCGAUUAAAGAAAAAAGAAAAAAAACAGAGUAUUUGUGACGUAGAAUAACAAUUGGUAAAUAAAUCCUAAAUAUUUGAGUUGUUAAAAGCAAAUAUAACAGAGACGGUAAGAGAGAUGCAGAAACAGAAAACUAUUAGCUUAUCUUGAUUUUUCCACUAUAUUCAUUUUCAAUGCUUUUCAAACGAGAUUCUUUUAAUUCUUCUGGUGUCUGCAGCCCCGGCUAUUCUUAUAAAUCUCCAUCCCACAUCUGCACUACGAACAAGUUGACUGAAAUUAAAUAAUGUUGGAGAUGAAGGGUGAGCCGUCAACUUGUUAAAAAAAAACUCAUGUAUAAUAUUAUCAAUAAUAUAAAAUAUAUAAUAAUUAUUACAAAGAAUCAUAAAUUAGAAAAAUUAAUUAUUUUACAAUCUAUUUCUUAAGUAAGGUGGCGUUUGUUUUUUCAUCUGAAAUCUGAAUAGACCUGAAUUAAUCUGAAUUCUGAAUAGAUCUGAAUGUCUGAAUCUGAAUAAUAUGUUUGUUUUUUUGUUUGAAUCUUGGAAAAUAAGUAUUAAGUUGUUUGUUUUUUUCAACUUAAAAAGCUGAAAAUAUGUACUUUUACAUUUAUAUCCUUAUUAAAUUUGAAUGUCAAAUAAAUAAUAAAUUAAAUACCACAAUAUUUUAACAUUUAUAAGUAAAACUAUAUUCAAGUGAAUACAUAAUUAUUUUGGAAUUUUAAUAGAUAAAAUACUAAAAAUUUUAAAUUUUAUCGUAUAUAAUAUAAGAAAGAAAAAAUAGGAAAAUUUUCAUGUGGGGUAAAUGUUUAUGGGUGAGUUUUGGGAUAGACAUGAAAAAUAAAUUAUAAAGCAGGGAUAUUUUUGAUAUUAGCAAGUAAUUGACUUAAUUCAGAUUUCUCCAUUAAGUAAAAAGCCAAAAGAAUUGGCUUAUUUUAUUAAGUCAAAAUUAUCUAAAAAGUCUCAUUAAGUUAUAAAAACAAACACCUCUAAUUAACUUAAUUAAUUAAGUUAAGUCACUUUAAGUCAUUAAGUUAAAAAACAAACGCCACCUAAGAUAAAUCUUGUAAUAAGUUAAGUUAUAACGUAAAAAAUAUUUUCAAUUUAUAAUCAUUUAAGAAGUCAUUUAAUAAUAAAAUCUUUUUUUUUUAUCAGUAGGCCAUGCUACAGAGUAUCAUCUAUAUUCGUGGUGAUAUUAUUAUUACUCAGUAUCCUCAAAAAACACGAUUUAACAUUUAGAGAAAAUUCCUGCCUUUUAAAAAGAACAUGUAUGCAAUAGCUAGCCAUACUUUAUUUUACCACGACAAAAUUGAUGGUGAUUAAAUCAAUUUUCUCAAUUAAAGCAAAAUUUUUUAAAAUUGAUUUAAUGCACAAAUAUGAUGAUUUUUUGUAAAAAUUAGUUUUGGAAAAUAUAGUGAGAGAAAAUGGUGACGAUUAUUUUUCAAAUGUGCAAAUAGCCUAAACAUAAUCUCUAAUACCAAUAUCCAUGUGCAUCUUAACACCUUUCAUGAUAUUCUUUCAUUCAUGGCCAUUUGUUCAAGAUUUGAAUUUGAUUAUUAAAUUAUGUUCAAUAAUGUUAGAGAUCCCAACAAUUGAGUACCAACUUAAAUCCCAAUGCUAUGUGUCAUUAACAAAUGUUGUGUCAUUUAUAAUUAUUGAAUGAAUAAUUCGUUAAUUUAUUGAUAAAUGAAAAUUUAUUAAUUUAAAGAGAGAUAUUUUUUUUUGGUUUUAAGAAGAGUUUUGUUGGUACAUGUACAUACUUAUAAAGAAAUAAACUUGUAAUUAUACUAUAUCUUUCUUUCUUUGUUCAGUUUGGUGGGAUAUUGUGAUAAAUCAUUGGAUUAAAAUGCAUUUCUAAAUUGAAACUUGUUAAAAUCUAAUUUAUUUGGGAAACACAUGUUAUUUGUCAGUCGUACUUCUCAACUUAGCAAGUUAUUUCUAACUUGUCAGUCUCUAUUGGUUCUCUUAAAGUUAAUAGUCUCGAAUCUCCCGCAUUUGAUAUCUUGCCAUUACUCUUGGCAUUAACAUGUUACCUGAGAUUGGGAUUCAUUAAAAUCCUCAAUGUAAUCGGUGGAACGAAUGGAUUUCUUCUGUUCACCAAUCCACCAAAAUUUCUGUAAUUAAAUUCAAAAGUCAAGAUCUAUGCUUAUAAUCUAUUCAACAGUUAAUAUUCUAUUUUAUAUUUACUUAAAUAUGAAGAGCUAUGCUUGUCAUUAACUUCAAAUGUGAUCGAAGCAGCCUUACAUCUGUAUAUUACUUAUUCCCAACCUUUUUUUUGACUUCAUAUACUUUCUUUUCAUGUUAUUUACUCUUUUUUCCCCCCUCUCUAAUGGGGUCAAACUUGAAAGUAUCUUAAAAUCAGACAAUAAUUUUUUUUUUAUGAUAGAUGCUAAUAUGCUCUAUUAGGCAAUGAUAAGUAAUAACCUAGUUGUUUGCAUUAGAAAUGAUAUUUUUUGUGGUGCUGAUAAAGUGGUUGAGUAUGAUUCAACAAUUUAAAAUAUGAAAACAUGUGGAAGACGGCUGCAAAUAAAUUGAUUGUAUGAAAAUAUUUCAAUGAAAUUUUAAAAAUUUAAUACUUGUUAUCUUAUCGAGAGUUCCCAAAUAAUUGGGCUAGUUUAAUUACCGGCCUAAUUAUUGUAGCCACUAUUGUAUGUUCCCAAAUGAUCCCCGGGUUAGCUCAUUUAAUUGACUGCACCACUACUGGACUAAUAAGUAAGAUAACUAGCUAUUUGGGUCAAAAGCCUAAAUAUAUCAUUUAGUGGGAGGCUCCAUUUAAUUAGCUUUUGUAUAAGGGGCCUUAUGUUAUUUUACAAGGUGGGUCCCCUAUUGAAAAAGAAAAUAACGUGAGUUUUAUUUAGGGCAUUAUUUGGAGCCUAGGGUUUUCACUAAAGGGAGAUAUAUAAGGCUUAUUUUCUCUAAAGAAAAAAGAAAAGCCACUUUAUACAGAUCAGAGAAUAAGAUUUUUCUCUCCAUUGUUGAGAGAAAAAUUUUCUCGUGCUAGUUGCUUUGGUAGUGAUAAAGGCGCCCACACGUCAAGUGCAGAUCGAACCUGAGUCAUAACCUGGAAGAUCAUUGGUGACAGUUCAUGAUCUAACAAGCGUGGUGGUGACGGUUCGUGAUCUAACAAGCGUGGUGGUGACGGAUCGUGAUAUAACAAGAGUGGUGGUGGCGGAUCGUGAUCUAGGAGCCUAAAUCACUUCAGCGGAAAAAGCCAACUCGGAUUUUCAAGGUACGAUUUCUAGAAUACGAAUUCUUAUAUAUUAUAUGAGAGCGAUCUUCAAAAGGUUUUAUAAAAAUUUAAAAGCAGCAUGUGCUGCUGGCAGCUCGCUGCUGCGUAUGUAGCAACUGCAGCGCGCGAGCAGCAGCUGCAGUGCCCAAGCAGCAGCGUGAACGUGGGCUGGAGGCGCAGAGCGUUCUGGUUGGCGUCUUUCCGGCGUCGAUGACGGCUGUCCGGUGUGGAAACAGUAAACAACGGCUGGGUUUUUGUGCUGGUGGCGGCUGGGGAAGAAGAGGAAAAGAAAAAUGUGAUUUUAGGGUUCCAUGGUUUUUAUCGUGGAGGUCCCUAUAGCUUCAUAUUUUUCAGUUGGGCAGAAACGUUUUUUAAUUUUUUGCAUUUAAGUCCAAAAACCGUUUUGGGCUUAAAGAAUCCUAGUUUUAGGCCCAAUUUCAAUUGGGCUUAAUGGAUUAAAAAAAUGCAUAGACAAAAUUAAAUACAUUAAAUUUAUUUUUGGUCCAAAAGUUUUAUUUUAAUAAAAAAAAUUAAUUAUUUAUUUAUUUCCUUUCAAAAUUAAAAUUGGACCAAUUAUAAAUUUAAAAGCCCAAUUUCCCCUAGUCCAUUAACAAAAACAAGCUUAUGGAAGAUGGACAUUGACAAGAAGCCCAAUGAAGAUUAGGCAUAGGGUUAAUGUAUUUUUCAUUAUUAGGAAAGGCAUGAAUUAAGAUUAUUUAAUUGUUUUUCUAUAUGUUAUGUUUUGGAUGAUAACAUGCCAUGAUAACAUGUAAUAUAGAAUAGGUAGUGCCACUCUAUGCAUAAUGAUACAUGUCAUUCAUUAAUUAUGAAUUUCAUUAUAUUGUUUGAAAUUUGCGCAUGCUUAAUAAUAUUUGAUAUCAUCUAGAUAAUAUUAUAGGAAGCAUGCAAUUAACAAUAUGUAUGUUUUAAAAAGGAAAAACCAAUUUUAAAAUAUUGAGUGGGAGAGGGAAAAUUCAAGAUAAUUUUCCCACGGGCUCCAUUGUUAGUUCAAUAAUAAAAUUAUAUAUAUACCUCGACUUCAUGAUACAGUGAUGCUCAUUACGGAGGGUAUAUAUAUUAGAUAGUUUAUUUGAUGAACUUCUUCAAAGAUAAAAUUGAAAUAUUUUUCAAUCGAUUGUUCACCCCAACGGUGACUAUUGAUAUGAAAAAUACGUAGAUUGAAACAAUGGUUAUACACUCAACUAAAGUUUGUUAUUAAUCUUCCCAACGAAGCUCUGUUAACAAAUUUAGGCCCAAAAAGAUAACGAUAAUUAUUUAUCAUGUCUCUACAUGAAAGUAAAUAAUCCAAUGGGUAAUUGGGUCUAGUAAGUAUAGACAUGACUUCCCCACCGGAUAGCUUGUCAAAGCAGUACUAGAUUAUCGUUACAAUAAAUUAAAAUGCAUUUAUGGUUUUUUGCAUUUUUUUCAUUUAUUGUGAAUAUUGAUUCAAAUUAUUUAUGCAUGGAUGUUUUUAUUUUUCAGAAAAUGUCUUCCCUGAGCCCACUUACUAUUAUUCUGAGUCAAAACAAACUCACUGGAGAGAACUAUAUAGAUUGGAAAAGAAAUCUAUUCAUUGUCCUGACUGCUGAAAAUUAUAAAUAUGUCUUAACCCAGCCAUGCCCCCCAGUUCCAGCGGAUGAUGCUCAUAGAAAUCAGAGGAGGCUUUAUGAGAAAUGGCAAAAGGCCAAUGAAAUGGCAAAGUGCUACAUUUUAGCCUCGAUUUCUAAUAUUCUGCAGACCAAACAUCAGAACUUGGAGACUGCCACUGAAAUAAUGAAUAGUCUCCAACAGAUGUUCGGGCAGAGUACUCGCUCUGCGAGACAAGCAGCGCUGAAAGGAAUUAUGAACAGUAAAAUGGGGAAGGGCACAAGAGUUCGUGAUCAUGUCCUCAAAAUGAUGGACUAUUUGAAUGAGGCUGAGAUUCAGGGAGCACAAAUCGAUGAUAACUCAAAGAUUGACAUGGUGCUAGAAUCUCUGCCAGAAACAUUCAAGGAGUUUAAGGUCAAUUAUAACAUGAACAAAAGAAAUAUGACCUUAACUGAAUUGAUGAAUGAACUCCAUUCUGCUGAAGAGAUCUAUCGUGCUGAGAAAUCUCUGGGAAGCAUAAAUUUUACUGAAAAAAGUUCAUCUUCUGGGCCUAAACCGAAAGGCAAAGGUAAGAAGAAAGCUGGGAAAAAAAGACCGUCUACCAAGCAAGAUGGCAAGCCGAAAGGCAAAUGCUUCAAGUGUGGACAGAAAGGUCACUGGAAAAAGGAUUGCCCUAAGAUUGUGAAAUCAGGUAUGGGAAAUCUUUUUUGUAAUUGAGGCCUGUUUAGUUCAGAAUCCUAUUGACACUUGGGUGUUGGAUUCAGGAGCAACUAAUCAUAUUUGUAAUUCACUUUAUUGGUUUCAGGAAACCAGGAAAAUAAGUGAAAGAAGCGUCAAGCUGCAGUUAGGGACAGGACAGUUCGUGUCAGCAGUAAAGACUGGAUCUGUUUUAUUAUCUUUUAAUAAUGAGACUUUAGUUUUGAAUAAUUGUCUUUAUGUUCUAGACAUUAAGAGGAAUUUAAUUUCAGUAGCUUGUUUGUCAAAGCAAGGGUACACUGUAAAUUUUGGAUCCUCUGUUUCUAUUUUUCAUAAUAAGAGACUUAUUUGUUCUGGUACAUUGGAAGAUAAUUUAUAUCAUUUAAGUCCAAUGAUCCAUUCUAUGCAUGACACAGUGAUAAAUAAUAAUGAGCAUACACAUUUAUCUAAGAAAAGAAAUAUUUCUUCCAACCAAUGUUACCUCUGGCAUUUAUGCUUGGGUCAUAUAAACCAAAAUAGGAUACAAAGAAUGAUCAAAGAUGGGCUCUUGGGUCCAUUAGAAAAUGAAUCAUUGCCACUCUGUGAAUCCUGUUUAGAAGGGAAAAUGACCAAAAGGCCAUUCUCGGCCAAAGGAGUACGUGCAACAGUACCACUUGAAUUGGUACAUACAGAUGUAUGUGGACCAAUCAAUGUACAAGCUCGAGGAGGUUAUGAGUAUUUCAUCACUUUUACUAAUGAUUACUCAAGAUACGGUUAUGUUUAUCUGAUGCGUCAUAAGUCUGAAGCUCUUGAGAAAUUCAAAGAGUAUAGGGCUGAGACAGAAAAGCAAUUAGAUAAGAACAUAAAGAAACUUCGAUCUGAUCGAGGUGGUGAAUUUCUCUCAGGAGAUUUCAAAGAGUAUCUGGUUGAAAAUGGGAUUAUAUCUCAAUUGACUGCCUCGGGAACACCACAACAAAAUGGGGUAGCUGAAAGAAGAAAUAGAACUCUUUUGGAUAUGGUGAGAUCUAUGCUUAGUUAUUCUUCAUUACCAAUCUCUUUUUGGGGACUAGCACUGGAAACUGCAGUUUACCUUUUGAACUUAGUUCCAUCUAAGUCAGUGCCUAAAACCCCAAUAGAAUUAUGGUCAGGUCGCAAACCAAGUUUACGACAUGUCCGUAUUUGGGGAUCACCAGCACAUGUGCUGAAACCAAAGGCAGACAAAAUGGAUUCACGUUCUGAGGUUUGUAUGUUUGUGGGGUAUCCCAAAGGAACAAGGGGAGGUUUAUUUUAUAGUCCUCAAGAUAGGAAAGUGAUCGUGAGCACACAUUUCACUUCCCUUGAGGAAGACUAUAUGAAUAACUUCAAACCUAAGAGUAAGGUAAUACUUGAAGAGCUGUCAGGUGAUCAGGUUGAUGCUCAGCUUUCAACGCCUGUUACAGAACAGGAAGAACAGCAACAACCAGAUGAUCAACACAGGAUUAACCCUGAACAACCAUCACUUUUAUAACCUCGUCGUAGUGGGAGGGUAACUAGGUUACCUGCGAGAUACAUGUUUUUGGGAGAAAUCUAUACGGCUAUCUCAGAUGAACAUGUACAAGAUCCCACUAGUUACAACGAAGCUCUAAUAGAUAGAGAUGUUGAAUUUUGGAAAAAGGCCAUGAAUCAAGAAAUGGAUUCUAUGUAUUCCAAUAAAGUCUGGGAACUUGUAGAGGCACCAAAUGGGAUAAAACCUAUAGGGUGCAAGUGGAUCUACAAGAGAAAAAGAGGAGUAGACGGAAGGGUGGAAACAUUUAAAGCAAGAUUAGUAGCCAAAGGGUUUACUCAGAAAGAGGGAAUUGAUUAUGAGGAAACUUUUUCUCCGGUUGCUAUGCUUAAAUCCAUCAGGAUUCUGCUCUCCAUUGCUGUAAUGCUAGAUUAUGAAAUUUGGCAAAUGGAUGUCAAGACUGCCUUUCUUAACGGGCAUCUUGAAGAAAACAUCUACAUGCAGCAACCAGAUGGAUUUAUACAAAAAGGCCAAGAACACAUGGUAUGUAAGUUGCAGAAAUCCAUUUAUGGAUUGAAACAAGCAUCCCGGUCAUGGAACAUCAGAUUUGAUCAAGCGAUUAAAUCGUUUGGAUUCAUUCAGAACAUUGAUGAACCAUGUGUGUACAAGAAAAUUCAAGAAAAAUCUGUAGCCUUCCUAAUUUUUUAUGUAGACGAUAUUCUCCUAAUUGGAAACGAUAUAGGAGUAUUGACUACAAUAAAGAGUUGGUUAGCAAAACAAUUUGAUAUGAAAGACCUGGGAGAGGCAAGUUAUAUUCUUGGUAUCAAAUUACUACGAGACCAGAAGAAUAAAACUUUAGCCUUGUCUCAAGCGGUCUAUAUCGAUAAGAUAUUGGCUAGAUUUAGCAUGGAAAAUUCCAAGACUGGUUUAUUACCAUUCAGACAUGGAAUUACAUUCUCUAAGGAUCAAUCACCUAAAACAUCUGAAGAGAUAGAGAGAAUGAGACGAGUUCCCUAUGCAGAAGCUGUGGGAAGUCUUAUGUAUGCCAUGCUUUGCACUAGGCCAGACAUCUGUUUUGCGGUAGGGAUGGUUAGUAGAUAUCAAUCUAAUCCUGGACCUGAACACUGGACUGCGGUCAAGCAUAUAAUGAAGUAUCUGAAAAGAACUAAAAAUUAUAUGCUUGUGUAUUCUGGUGAUGAACUCAUUCCAGUGGGUUAUACUGAUUCUGACUUUAUGUCAGAUAAGGAUUCCAGAAAAUCAACUUCCGGCUAUGUGUUUACAUUGGGAAGUGGAACUAUUAGUUGGAGGAGUGUGAAACAAUCUUGUAUCGCAGACUCCACAACUGAAGCUGAAUAUGUGGCUGCAUCCGAAACUGCAAAAGAAGCUGUAUGGCUCCGCAAGUUCCUACAAGAUCUUGAGGUGGUACCUGCUGUAACUGCACCCCUUAAACUAUUUUGCGAUAAUAGUGGUGCGGUAGCUAAAUCUAAGGAACCACAAGAAACAAAAACAUAUUGAGAGGAAGUAUCAUCUUAUAAGGGAUAUAGUGCAGAGAGGUGAUGUGGAGGUUACUCAGAUUGCGUCACAGCAAAACUUGGCAGAUCCUUUUACUAAGGCCAUACCUGGGAAACCUUUUAACUUGCACUUGGAAUCCAUGGGCAUGCGUGAGAUGCCAAAUAUGCUUUGAGAGCUAGUGGGAGAUUGUUGGGAAAAUAUGCCCUUUAAAAGCAUAUGUGUUUAUUUAAUUGUAAUAAACAAUUUUUCUGAUUAAUAAAAUAAAUGAGGUAUUUUAUUCAAAUAUCUUAAUUGCAUUAAUAUUUGUAUUAAAGUCCAUUUAAUCAUAUUAUAUGUAUUUAUGUGAUCACCAUGUGGAUUCACAGAAGACAUAAAUACAAGUUAUCUUAUGAUUAAAUAAAUUUAGUUCGCAGUUGAUAAAUAAAGUUGGGCACUUUAUUUAGGUAUAGACUGUAAUAAAUUCAUUGAAUGAUUUGUCUUAAUCAUGUAUGAAUUUAUUGAUGUAGUACGACUACAUUAAACAGGAUCACAUGUGAGAUUUAAUUAACUUUGUAAUAACUGUCAGACUUAUUAAAUCUUAUAGGCAUUGAUUUUACUGUAAUCUUAAUCUUGAGUUAAUUAUGAUUUCAUGAUUGUAAUUGUUAUUCCAUUUGAGUUACCAAUGGGCACGACACAUCCUUGUGGUCAAGAUUACCCGGUAUCUUGGUGGGAGCAAUUAUGAGUAUUGGAGUUAUGGAUUAACAAUAUAGAAUUUGUACAACACAUCUCUCGAUAGGUUUUCGGCACUUGAUCAUAGAAUUCUUUGGCCAGAGUGUGUCAACAUAUUUAGUAUGUUGAAAAUGAUCAUUAGAGAAAACCAGUAAGGAUCAAGGAAUAAGAUGUUAUUAAAUUGAUUGGACAGUUGAGAUAUCAAUUUAAUUAACGAUGUGGUACAAAGGAUUGUGCAGUAAAGAAAUCAAUGUGGCUUGGGACGAAUUAUUAUUCGAGCAUACAAUUAUGGAAGUCAGUUCCAAUCUUUUAGUGGAGUAGAUUUGGAAUUAAAUAAUUGGGCUAGUUUAAUUACAGGCCUAAUUAUUGUAGCCACUAUUGUAUGUUCCCAAAUGAUCCCCGGGUUAGCUCAUUUAAUUGACUGCACCACUACUGGACUAAUAAGUAAGAUAACUAGCUAUUUGGGUCAAAAGCCUAAAUAUAUCAUUUAGUGGGAGGCUCCAUUUAAUUAGCUUUUGUAUAAGGGGCCUUAUGUUAUUUUACAAGGUGGGUCCCCUAUUGAAAAAGAAAAUAAUGUGAGUUUUAUUUAGGGCAUUAUUUGGAGCCUAGGGUUUUCACUAAAGAGAGAUAUAUAAGGCUUAUUUUCUCUAAAGAAAAAAGAAAAGCCACUUUAUACAGAUCAGAGAAUAAGAUUUUUCUCUCCAUUGUUGAGAGAAAAAUUUUCUCGUGCUAGUUGCUUUGGUAGUGAUAAAGGCACCCACACGUCAAGUGCAGAUCAAACCUGAGUCAUAACCUGGAAGAUCAUUGGUGACAGUUCAUGAUCUAACAAGCGUGGUGGUGACGGUUCGUGAUCUAACAAGCGUGGUGGUGACGGAUCGUGAUCUAACAAGAGUGGUGGUGGCGGAUCGUGAUCUAGGAGCCUAAAUCACUUCAGCGAAAAAAGCCAACUCGGAUUUUCAAGGUACGAUUUCUAGAAUACGAAUUCUUAUAUAUUAUAUGAGAGCGAUCUUCAAAACGUUUUAUAAAAAUUUAAAAACCGAAUUUUUUCACCAACACUAUGUAGCUAGAUGGCAUUUCUAGUGUUUCAAGGUUUAAAAGGGUGCAUAGCAGUGAAGGAAGGCAUUUGACCGAAGGGAUAUUCAAUUUCAAAUACUUCAAAAGAUAUAAAUUUUCUAAUCCGGGCGGAUAUUGGUCCAGGACUGCAAAACCCAAAUUCAAUACCUGAAGGUGUUUGAACUUUUUACAAAAAUUCUCGCAAUCUAUCAGAGCGAGACGAUCGCUUUCUGAACUGUGAUUCAGAAAAGAUUGGAGACGCAUGUCAGAAUAUUCUAAAGGAAAGAAGUCAAUCAGGCGUUCCACAAUGAAGCACCGUUUAACAUUUGCCACUGAUUCUUCUUCCAUUUCAGGCGUCAAGACAAAUCCCGUCUUCUUUGCCACAAAAUACAAUGAAGUAAAUUCAAGACUUGGAACAUAACACGCUUUAAUUGUGCCGCCGGCGCUUCUCUUACUCACUUGAAUGAAGCCGCGAUGGAUUAGUUCUUUCAAGUAAUGUUCGGCAGUUUCUUCAUCGUUGUAUGGUAUGAAACCUUCAGCUACCCACAACUGAUAUAAUUGCCUCGUGGACAUCUCAAUACUUGGAGGGAAGACACACAAAUAGAUGCAGCAGACUUUCAAGUGAAAAGGUAACUCCAUCACAGAAAAAAUUUAUCUCCAAACUGUCGGAAUCGCUUCGCCUUGAACAUAAUUUUCUAAUGGCAUACUUCCAUAGUGUAGGAUGAAAAAUUGCCAGGCUUCAUGCUUUAAUCUGAUCAAUGGUCCUCCAAAGAGCACUGAAUCACGCCGAAUCUUCUCUCCAUUUUCCAUUUCCAACGACGCAAGGAGGUGUGGAUCACUGACCAACAUCAAUACUCUGCUUCCAUUCUGAUUAUCAGGAAGAACUUUUUCAAGAUCACUCCAUAUCUUACUGUCAUCGAAGACAUCAUCAAGCACAAUAAAGUACUUCUUGUUUGUUAGGUAAUCUCGAAGAAUAGAUUUCUUCAAUUGAUAAUCUUCCCCGAUAAUUACACUAACCCGAGCUGGAGGCAUCACAGACUUGAUUAUGCCAUCCAAUAUCUUGCCAAAAUCGUAGGUUAUCGAAACCCUGACCCAAGCAAGACAGUCAAAAUAGAACUUGACGUGAUCAUUAUUGUAAGUAUCUGCAGCAAAAGCAGUCUUAUCGAAGCCACUGCUGUCGAGAAUUGCAACCACUGCAAGCCCAGAUGGUCCCUCAAUCAAUAGAUCAAACAACUCCUCCCUGCCCCUUUGAAAUUCAUUGAUAUCGAGCCGAGGUUGUCCCUCAUUCAAUAGGCGAAUGAUUUCGUUACUUUUCUCACUGAUAUCAAAACCAUUGUCGCCGGGUGGAAGUUGUUGCAUCCGAUUUCUAAUAUCAAUGAUUUUAGUGUGGAGUCCAACAAGAAGAGCCAUAUCAGUACUGCUUUCACUUUCGUUUUCACUGUUUUGCUGCUGCAUGAUGUUGAUGAAGAAUCUGUCAAUGGCUUCCUCAGAUUCAUGGACAAAGUCAUUGAUGUCCUCCAGAAUUUCCAAAAUAUCUGCUCUUUCAACAUCUUCUUCAUCGCUUUCUUCUAAGUCCAACAGUUCAUCGAAAUCUUCUCUAAGGAGUUGAAACAAAUGCCGAGCCAUGUCAACUUCAUAUUUUCCCAGCAGAGUAGUAGCAAUAAUUUCGGACUCCGUAAGAAGGUUUUGAAAAAGUGGAGUUAAAUUUGUUGAAUCUGGCAGCGGCAACGUGCCUUCUUCACCUGCUAACACCCUUUUCAACCUCUCACGAAAUAGUCGGAGGUGGACGUCCAGCAUAUCUCCUUCUCUCUGUAUCACCCAGAGGUAUAGUUGAAAGAUUAAACACCAUGGAAGAAUUUGAAAGGAAAAUGCCAAGAAACUGUGUAAGUGGCUAAACCAUGAAAAAUUGAUCAUUUUUUUGCAUUGUAAGUUGCGCGUUCAUUUAGAGAAAAGUCCAAGACGCGUGCCUUUUGCAAAGAACAGGUAUCCCAAUCGGUAUCCAACCUUUAUCUUAUUUAAUUACUACCAUGACAUAAUUGAUGGUGCUUAAAUCAAUUGUUUCUUUUUUAAUUUAAAGAAUUUUUCAUUAAAAAAAUAUUUUAAUAUCAAAUUGCCUUCAGUGGCGUAACAACUGCCUCAAGCCCAGUAACAGGACUAAUUAAAAAUUUUACAAUUUUGGGGCAUGGAAAUAGUAGUAUUAAACAUUAGAAAGGUAAGGUUGUUCUGUUAAAGAAUUGAUAUUGACAUAAUUUUAUUUUGGUUUUCGUGGAAAAAAAAAAUUUGUUGACAAGCAAGAAAAUAUUUUAUCAUAUAAAAGUAAUUUUAAAAAUAAAUAGAAACAUAAUAUUACAAUAAAUAAAUUAAAGUUUAAAUUAUUUGGAAUAUUAUAAAAAAUAAUGUUAAUAUUAUUAAUAGGAAGACAUUUUGUUAAUUUUAAAAUCUUUUUAAUCCAAAGGUUUAUUUAAAAUCUCUAUAAUAAAUACAAAUAUAAGAUUAAAAUAAAAAUCAUAAUUUGAAAUUUUUAAUAUUAUUUUAAAUGUUAAAUAUACUUUAAUGUUAUUAGCCUACUACGUAGAUUUUAUUAUUUAUAUUAUAUUCGUAUUGAUUAAAAUUUUUUAAAGUCAAUUUUUUAGUUAGUACAUUCAAGAGGUAUUAUAGUUAAAGAAAAGAUUUUGGUGCAACUGUUUUAAAAUUUCAGCGUCUAAAUGAUAAUUUUUUUAAAAUUUAAGGAAGUAGGUAUUAUUUUUCCAACAAUUAUUUUACUUUUGAGGGAAAUCCGAUAAGAAAUAUCAUCAAAGAACAUUAAUUUAACAUUCUUUACCUUUAUGAAAAAAGUGAAAACCAAGAACUAUUCAAUUUUGUAUUUUUUGUUUGUAAUUCAAAAAAUGCAUCCACCAAACAUGCUUAUCUUGAUUUUCCCACUUUAUUCAUUUUCGAUGCUUUUCAAAAGAGGUUCCUUUACUGGUCAUUGUCUACACUAUCAAACAAGUUGAUGGAAAUUGAACCCAUUAAGUUAUGUUCAUUACUGGUCAUUGUCUUUCUAUGAGCCACUUAUUUGGAGCAUUAGCGAUCUUAUAAGGAAUCAUGCCUUUUCAGGAUCGUUUUCUUUCAUUUCCCUAUUGUAGUAGUUAAUUAAAUAAAGAACGAACAGCUGAACUUGGUCUAUUUCGAGGAAGACCAAGGCUUCCAAUACUAGAGGAACUUUGAAGAAAAUUAAUUGGAAACCUUUAUUCAUCUUUGAAGAAAAUUACGUGCCAAUGUAACGAAGGCUUUUAUUCAUCUUCGGACUAUGAAUUUGUACAAAAACAUUAACAGAAAAUAAUAAAGACACAGCUAAAUGAUAGCAGCAAGUGCUGAUUUAGUGAACCACUUCUACAAGUAAAUAAAAACUAAAUAUUUAUUUUGACUAUAACAACAACUACCCUCUUGAAUAGGACUCUACAGCAGCCACAUGACAACUAAUUUCUCCAUAAUAUUAUUAUUAGUAGAAGUAGAUUUUCAAAAUUGUCUUGAUAUAUUUCAAAGUUGUAUUAUCAGCGUAUAUGUAUCUAGAUUGUAACUAUAUUUUAAAAAAUAUAAAAAUUUUAAUUAUUGCACAGUAAUGUAGAACAAUAUCUACAAAAUAAUAUUGUUAGGACUAAGAAAAAAUAUUAUUUUAGAUAAGUUAUUUAUUUAUUAUUGAAUGAAAAAUUUAUCAUGAUAAAUGAAUAUUUAUUAAUUUAAAGAGAGAUUUUUUUUGGUUUUAAGAAGAGUUUGUUUGGUACAUGCACACACUAAUAAAGAAACACAAAAAGUGCUUCCUCAAGUCAAUAGUAUUUGCUUUAAUUGCUAAGGUGCAUAAUAACGUAGCUUAGUUAGGAAAUUUGUAAUUAUAUUAUGGCUCCGUUUGGUAUAAUUUUUUAACUAGAACUUAUUUAAGGAGGGCUUUUAUUAGUAGAGUUUUUAUAAAUAGAGAUUUAACAAAAAAAAUUAUAGUUAUUUAGUUGUCAAUGUACAAAUUGAUGAAUUAUUGUUCUUUUUGUUAACAUGUGUUUGUUUUACUUAAUAAUAAAAGUUUAGUUUACAACAUUGAAGUUCAGCAGAGCAUUUUUGCAGCCAGUCACAUUAUACAUUAUACUAAUAGCAUCGGCAAGAGUUUUCGAUUGUUGCAACUUGCAAUGCACACGAUGCGAGAAAAUGAGAAUCUUGUUUAAUUGCAAUAUUGACAAACCUAAUCCUUUCGUAGGGAGUAAUUUAAUAAUCGUUCGUUAGUUGAAGCGUUAAUUUAAUAAGCGUUGAUUUCCCUUCGAUAACUCGAAGUCCACGACGAUUCUUCUUCUUCUCUGCUGCUCAUUACGCUUCUACCCAAACCCUAGGAUUCAAACCUUUGCUUAGGAGAGAAUCAAAGCGAUUGGUGUUGGAGGUGAUUGAGGCUCUUAGAAGCUUAGAGGUGUGUUAAUUCAAAUUCUUUUGUCGAGAUAAGUAAUUUCAUUCCUAAUAUACUGGAUAUGUAUAAGUAUUUUGAUGUUAUUAUAAGAGUUUUUAUACUUCUUAGAAGAUUAAUAGAUUUUCAUACCAAAAUUAGUUUAUGAAAAUGUUUUCAAAUCUGAAUUCUUUUGAUAAAAUAUUUUACAAAUGCGUUUUAAUAUGUAAAUUAUUUUAUGACAUGACUGCCUUUUAUGAUUUUGUCUAUGAAAUAUUUUUGCAAGCCUAAAUUGUUGCUAUAGACUUUCAUGAAUCUAAUAUGAAUGUUUUGUGCCUAUGUAUGAUUUUAAUUAUUUAUGACUGUACGGGGGCCACCUCUUGAGAUUAUAUGGGGGCCACCUCUUGAGGGCCAAAGCGCCGCAAAGUGCCACAUAGAGUGCAAAGUGCCAUGUAUAAGUCAUUAUGUUUUGGCUCAUUGUCCGUAGUUAUUCUGAUUCUAAUUCUGAUCGUAUUAUACGAUAUAUUUGUUCUGGACUAGUACUAGGUUUAUGUUCUAAGUGUGCACACGAUAUUCUGAUUCUGUUUCUGGUCAGGUCACCGAGACUAUAGGUGAUACUAUGUGACAUGAGCUAACUAUCUGCUUUCUGUGUACACUUUAUACGAUUUGCUUUCAUAAUUGAUUAUUCUUUUGAUACUCUGAAUUACCAUGAAUUUAUGUUAUAUAAUUGAAAUAUGUUGUUUUAUGAAGUUUAUGACUUAUAAUAUAUGUUUUUGAAUAAAAGAAGGCUUGCAAUAUUUUUGAUAUCGAUAGGCCUAGUGUAUUAGGAAUGAUUUUACCUACCGAGUUGACAGCCCACCCCUCGUUAUUACUUUUUGCAGAUUAAGUUCCUUUUAAGAGGUAUGCGUAGCUUUGGAGUUAGAGAUUUCGUUUCCGUUUGCUAUUUGAAUAAGAAGAGGAAUAGACUCAUGUUUCUUUUUAGUUUAUUUCUGUUAUGAGCUUGUAAUUUGGAGUUUGAGACUUUUGUUAUUGUUAUGUUUUGGAAGAGAUUAUUUAGUGUUAGACGUAUUAAUUUGCGGAUUUAUUUGAAUAAGAAUUUGAGGUAUUUGAGCUUGGAAUUUAUAAGUAAGGAUUACGAUUUGUAAGUAACCUCAUUCUUCAUGUGCUCCGCACGUGUUAGAUUUGGGGUGUUAUAUGUUUCGUAUAACUUUUCAAGUAGAGCUUAUUUAAAUAGAAUAUUCGUCAAUAAAGCUUCUAUAAAUAUAGAUUUUACUAAAAAAAAUUUAGUUGUUUGGUUGUCAAUGUCCAAAUUGACGAACUUUUGUUCCUUUGCUAACAUGUAUUUGUUUUACUUAAUAAUAGAAGUUUAGCUUACAAUUACACCGGCGUCAAAUCAACAGAGCAUUUUGGCAGCCAGUCACAUUAUACAUUAUACUAAUAGCAUCGGCAAGAGUUUUCGGUUGUUGCAACUUGCAAUGCACGCGAUGAGAGAAAAUGAGAAUCUUUUCUAAUUGCAAUAAUGACAAACCUAAUCCUUUCGUUGGGAGUAAUUUAAUAAUCGUUUGUUAUAAUUGAAUAUGUAUAAAGAAAGGAAAAUUCUAUUCAUAGAUUUCGACUUAUUUUUUGUUUAAAGUAAUUAAUCAUUCAACCAUCUUCAUUUGCCUCUGGCCAGUGCCCUUGUAGAUUAGUUGAAGCGUUAAUUAAUUCAGAUAAUUACAACGUCCUUUUCGCUAAUUAAUUAUGAUUAUAUAUGUUUCAUAUAGCAAGUGGCUUUGUAGAUCUAAACCAAGUUGCUAUUUCAAAACGUUAAUUAAGUGAUUCUCCUCAUUGUCAUCAGCGUUAUACGCUCUAGGAAAAUAGCUCAAUUGUUUCCCUGCAUUGACUUUCAUUGGUAAGUGAUUUCUUAUGAAAUUCUUUUGAGCUUUCCUUAUUAAAAAAGCUUGAGCUUUUAUCACCUAAUGCGGAUAUCAAUUAACUUGUGAAUGAUUUUGCAAUGAAACUAGGAGUUAAAUAAGAUUUUUACAUGAUGAAUUUUUAUUUUUUUAAUUUUUUGAUGUAGUCAAUUUGCUAAUUUUAUGUAUUUCAUAUUCAACGGAAUUUGGGCACGGAAAGUUUGGAUUCUAAUAUUUAUAUGUUUAGCUUUAAUCAGUUUGACUUUCGUAAUCUUUUUCCCCUCAUCAUUAAGGGAUUCAGAAUUAGAGAAACGUUAGGAAGAGGAAGAAAAUAAUUUCGGAAAUAAGUAAGAGGGAAAAAAUUAUUAAAUUAGGAAUGAUUUUUUGUAGAGUAUGUUCCGUUUACUAAACUGAAAUCGAAAUGAGCUGGAAUCAGAAUGGAUAGAAAUGCGAAUGCGCUGGAAUGAGAAUAAGUAAUGAGAAUCAGAAUAAGUUGUUUACUUGAAUUGUAAGAAUCGAAAUCGAAAUGAGCUGGAUUGCAAUUACUUUGUCCUACAAUUAGAAUCGGAAUGAGUUAGAUUGUAACAAAUUACUAAAAGGUACUUAAUGAAUUAUUGUCAUAAUAUUAUUUUAUAUUUUAAUUAUAGUGAUUAUUUAUUCUAAAAUUAUUAUUAUUAAUUAUUUUCAAUAAUAUGUUAAUAUGUUAAUUAAUUUUAAAAAUUAUUAAUUAAUUUAUUAUAAUAAUAUACUAAUUAAUUAUAAUAAUUAUUAUAAAAAUAUAUUAAUUAUUAAUAAUGAAAUUACUUAUUUAAUUAUAAUAAUAUAUUAAUUAUUGUGAUUAUUUAUUCAAAAAUUAUAAUUAUUAAUAAUUAUUGUUAAUAAUGUAUCAAUAUAUUUUAUAUUAUGAAAUUGUGAUGUAUUGUAGACAAAUAAGGAAUUUGGUACAAUAAAUUCUUAAUAUCUUAGUACAAAGUAUGGUAAAAUGGUAUUUUAACUUAUUGUAGACAGAUUAAAUUUCGACACACUUAAUCCAUGAUAAAAUUAAUGGAAAAUAAUGAUAAUUUAUACAAUUAAUCUUUUGAGCAAUAAAAAAAUAAAAGAAAAAGAAGUUACUAAAUUAUGUUUACUGCUAAGAGUGAAUCCACAAUCCUAAAUAAUUAUUUCCAUCGUUUCACUUAAAUUAAAUAGUGUGAAUUUAAAUUCUAAUUUUUUGAUAAAUUAAAAAGAAAUAAAAAAUUAAAAUUUUUCUCUAUGGAUCGACCUCGGAUUGAUCAAUUUAUUUCAUAACAACACACUUUUAUACUUGAGAGUUAUAAAUCACUUUGAAGUUGUGUUAAGUUUUUGACGCUCUUACGGGGAAAAAAUAUUUAUUUUAUUUUAUGUAUGGGUCAAACUUGAAAGUAUAUUUUAAGAUAACUGCUAAUAUGCUCUAUUAGACAAUGAUAACCUAGUUGUUUGUGGUGUUCAUAAUGAGUUUAAUUAUGAUUAAACAAUUUAAAAUAUGAAAAAAUAUGGAAGAUGGCCGUAAUUAAAUUGAUUGCAUGAAAAUAUUUCAAUGAAAUUUUAAAAAUUUGGUACUUAUUAUCUUAUCAAAAGAUUUUUAAAUUAUAUUACUACUUCAACUUAACUCCUCCUGGAUUGAUUGUAUUGAAUUUCCAGCACUGCCAUUGCUUCUACUUGAAAGCCAUUUAAGUUUGUGUAAGCUACCUAUAGUUUGAAUAACAAUUUACUCAUGAAUUGCCGUUCAUGAUAACAAUUUGAUUGAAAGUGCGGCUCCACUAAUUGUCUAGAUGAUUUUUUCCCACAUGUUUGUUCUCGUACGACCCCAGAAUGCUGUUAUAUCAGUUGUAUUGGAAAUUAAUCAACUGGUUACAACUCUACACCCCAUCAAUAUUUAAGCAGUCUACAGAACAUUAAUUGUGUUUUGAAAUUUUAAUGAGUCUCACGUGUUUUUCACGUGAUAUGCAGUAAAAACAAAAUUAAAAAAAUGUGAACAUUCAGCCCCAAAAUCCCCAACUCCUUCCAAAUUGGUUCCGCAGCCCCCAAAUCCCUUAAACCCAAAUCACUCUAAAAAGACUCUCCUCAGCCAAAAAGAAAAAGGUCACCUCACCUCUCCUCUUCUUCUUCCAUGGCGAUCAACGGCGGCACAAGCACGGGCUGAUCUCCUUCGUCGGUAACGAUCAACGGCGGUACAAGCAUGGGCAGAUCUUUUUUUGGCAAUGAUCAACAGCGGCACAAGCACAGUCGUCCUCAGGUACGGAUUUGAUGUUGGUUGUGUUGUCAAGUAGCGAUUCAUGUUUGGAAGAGAAUCCGCUCGCAAGGACCUGGAGCACUUAAUCGAAGAUCUUAAGCGAGGAAUUCGCUUCCUCCUCAUUCCUAAUCGGUGCCUGGUUCAUCAGUAUGAUUAAGGAUGAAAAUUGAGAAAGAAGGACGCAUUAGGUUUGAGACAUUGGUUGAAAAGCGCUACCCCGGUGGCCACGCUGGAAACAUAUGUUCCGUGGCUUCUUGCGUUGUCUGUGAGGAAUAUGUACUGCUGUAGAAGAUAAUUAUGAAUCAAUGGUAAUUGGCGUGUUGGUUUUGGUGCCGAUUUCCUCUUAUUUUCCAGAAAAGGCUUGUAAUUUGUUCACCUCAAGAUUCAAUUUGUUAUUGAAAAUGGAUGGCUGUAAAGACCUACUGGCCUUUCAUUAUAUUAAUGUUUUUGACAGUAAGUUUGUAAUAGUUAGUGCAGGGAACUUAUUGAUUCUUGAUUAUAUAUAACGGUGGCCCUUAUUACUUUAAAAAAAAAAAAAAAAUUGAUGAUGGGUUUCGUUUUGUAUAAGUGUUUGGAGUGUUGGAAAAUGAACAUUGUAUAUUUUAGAUAGUUGAGUUCCAUAGUAGUGAAAAGCUACGGAUUUGUUUUCUUUGUAUUGAAAUGUGUUUUGACCAUUAUAUGUUGUUUGAUUGGUGAUAGUUUUAUGUUUGUCAGUUCCAGUAGUCUCUUAAUCGCCAUCUGGCAUGGAAACUCACUGUGAAUAUGUGAAGAAUGCAGUGAUCAUAAGGAGUAAAUGAACGAUCAAACAUGCUAAAAUUAAAUACCAAAAAAUAAAAUAAAAUAAAAUAAAAUUGGAACUGGAAGAGUAAAUAGCAAAAGAUUGGGCGAAAAUUGAAUACCAUAACAAAAAAAAAAUUAAAAUAAAUUCAAACGACAAGAGCUAAUUAAGAGCAAAAAGAUGCUUGACUUACCAAGAGCAAGGACCAAGCAAAUGGUUUUACAUUCGGGCUUGAUGGUGAACUGGUUGGAGAUGGGUACGAAUGUGAUCUCGUUGAGAUUUGGAGAAGAGAACGGGGGAAUGGCCACAAUAUCUUUGUUACUUUUUUUUUUAAACUUUAUUUUACUGUUGAUCACAUGAAAAUCACGUGCAAGUCAUUAAAAUUUCUAAACACAGUUACUGCUGUCGUUUCGAUGUUCUCGGGCUAUCACAUGCUCGGUACGUCUAUCACUACUCGUCAAAAAAAAUGACACGCGUUCAUUUCCAAGACGCGUGCCUUACUACCAUGACAUGAUUGAUGGCGCUUAAAUCAAUUGGUUUUUUUUUUUAAUUUAAAGAAUUUUUCAUUAAAAAAAUAUUUUAAUAUCAAAUUGCCUUCAAUGGCAUAACUGCCACAAGCCCAGUAACAGGACUAAGGGUACGUUUGAGAUUGAGGUUGGGCAGCUGUACCUUUUAAGCUACAACACUAAAGUGCUUGGUAAACACUAGCUGCUCUAGGUUGGAAGCUAUAUUAAUAUGAUUUUUCACUUGUAUAAUAGAAAAUAUAUUAUAUCUUUAAUAAUUUUGUCAAAUUUAUAUUUACUACAUAUUAUUAAUUUUUGUUUUAUAGUCACAGCUUUUUUUCCACAGCACCUGUAGCUUAAAAGAUACAGCACCUCAAUCCCAAACGCAUCCUAAUUAAAAAUUUUAGAAUUUUUGGGCAUGGAAUUGAAAAGAGUAGUAUUAAACAUCAGAAAGCUAAGGUUGUUCUGUUAAAGAAUUGAUAUUGACAUAAUUUUAUUUUGGUUUUUGGGGAAAAAAAAUUUGUUGACAAGCAAGAAAAUAUUUUUAUAUUUUACAAUUUAUUAUACAUAUUUUAUCGUAUUAAAGUAAUUUUAAUAAUAAAUAGAAGCAUAAUAUUAAAUAAAGUUUAAAUUAUUUUGAAUAUUAUAAAAAAUAAUUUUAAUAUUAUUAAUAGGAAGAUAUUUUGUUAAUUUUAAAAUCUUUUUAACCCAAAGGUUUAUUUAAAAUGUUUAUUAUAAAUAAAAAUAUAAAAUUAAAUAUCAUAAUUUAAAAUUUUUAAUAUUAUUUUAAGUAUUAAAAAUAUUUUAAUGUUAUUAGUCUGCUACAUAGAUCAUAUUACUUAUAUUAUAUUUGUAAUGACUAAAAAUUUUUAAAAUCAAAUUUUUUAGUUACUAUAUUUACGAGAUAUUAUGGUUAAAGAAAAGACCUUGGUGUUACUUUUUACAAAUUUGAGUGUCUGCAUGAUAAUUUUAUCAAAAUUUAAGAAUGUAUGUGUCCUUUUCUCCAAUAAUUUAUUUCACUUUUGAGGGGAAUCCAAUGAGAAAUAUGAUAAGAGAAUGUCAAUUAUUUGUCAUUUUCUAUUUUUUCUGUAAGCUAUUCAUUUUGAGCAUUAGUGAUCUUGUCUGGACUACUCCAAUUAUUGAUGUAACUCCAGUGGCUGCAUCCACAGUUGAAUAUAUGAUAGUGUUAGCUCUUAUUUGAGAAUUCAGAGGGAUCUUCUAUGUUUAUCAAUUGCAAUGUGCUAGUAUAAAUUUCUUUACCUCACAGUUUAUAUAGUCUUGCUGUUAAAGAACUCACUGAGGCAUUAUUGACUCAAUUUCAGUGGAGCAAUCGCGCGUAGUGGAUAAAUAAAGGAUAACAGAACAGAGCUGAAGUGCUAAAUUGGCUAUUAAAGAAGGGUGUCACAUGAUCACAAUCACAUUGGUGCACAACUAGAGUUAGGCAAAUUUUGUCUAUAUGUACUCUAAAUUCAGACAAACCAUACAUGCAUGAACAAAAAUUAAACCGUCGUUCUAAUCACAACAGUAAUUGAAGCUACAAAAGCCAGCAAAUCUGAACAAAGACUUAAAAGAAAGAUCUUAUUCAAGUUGUCCCCAAAAGACAGCUGAAAUGAAUAAUAUUGACUAUUGAUUGGGUCAAUGCUGAAUUACAUUUCAAUAGGAAAGCUUGGCAGCAGUUACAAUGUUUCCCCCUCUGAUUUUCGUCCAAAACAAAUUCAGUUGUAAACAACAAUCGAAGUAGAAAUAAUUUAUUCAUCAAAGAAAAUACCCAAGUUUUCAACAAACAAAUCUUCUUGUCUAAACUAAAAAAACUCAUCUCUAAAAUCUAUCUGCAAAAUAUUGGAAAUGAGGAGUGAUCCGUCAACUCCAUAAAUAAACUCAUGCAUAAUGUUAACAAUAAUGAUAAAUUACAUAAUAAUUAUUAUAAAGAAUCAUAAAUUGGAAACACUAAUCAUUCUACAAUCUAUUAUAUAAGUAAGAUAAAUCUCAUAAUAAGUUAAGUUAUAAUGUAAUAAAUAUUUUCAAUAUAUAAUUAUUUAAGAAGUCAUUUAACAAUAAAAUAUUUUUUUUAUUCAAUUGAUCAUAUAGCGUUAUCUAAACUCAUGACGAAAUUAUUAUUACUCACUUUUCUAAAAAAAACAUGAUUAACUUUUAGAGAAAAGUCAUGCCUUUUAGAAAGAAUAUUACCGUGACAAAAUUGAUGGUGAUUAAUUCUAUUUUUAAAAUAGAUUUAAUGCACAAAUAUGGUGACUUUUGGCAAAAAUUAGUUUCGGAAGAUAUAGUGGUAGAAAAUAGUGAUGAUUAUUGUUUAAAUGUGUAAAUAGCCGAAGCAUAGCCCGUGAUACCAAUAUCCAUUUGCACCUUCAUUUGGAUUAUCACAUUUCAUGAUAUUCUUUCGUUCAUGACCAUUGUUCAAGAUUUGAAUUUGAAUACAAAUUAAGCUGCAAGGGAGCUUACUUCGGUUUCUAAGCUUUUCAAUUGUGAUUCCUGCAUGCCUUGCUCUGAUACUAUUUUGUUACUUGCCAAUGUAACCAACCUUGUAAUUGGUCUGUAUAAGAAAUCAAGCCCUUUCAGGAUUGUUUUCUUUUGUUUCUCUAUUGUAGUAGUCAACUAAAUAAAGAAUGAACAACUGAACUUGAUCUAUUUUGAUGAAGACCAAGACCUCCAAUACUAAAUGAACUUUGAAGAAGAUUAAUCUACUGCUUUUAUUCAUCUUUGGACUAUGAAUUUAUACAAAGACUUUAACAGAAAAUAACAAAGACAUAGCUAAAUGAUAGCAACAAGUGCUGACUUAGUGGACCACUUCUACAAGUAAAAAAAGACUAAAUAUUUAUUUUGACUAUAACAACAACUACCCUGAUGAACAGGACUCCACAUCAGCCACGUGACAACUAAUUUCUCCUUAAUAUUAUUAUUAGUAGAAGUAGAUUUUCAAACUAGUCUUGAUAUAUUUCAAAGUUGUAUUAACAAUGUAUAUGUAUCUAGAUUGUAACUAUAUUUUUAAAAAAUAAAAUAUUUUAAUUAUUGCACAGUAAAUGUAGAAGAAUAUCUGUAAAAUAAUAUUAUUAGGACUAAAAAAAUAUUAUUUUAGAUAAGUUAUUUAUUUAUUAUUGAAUUGAUAAUUUAUUAAUUUAUUUCUAAAUGAUAUUUAUUAAUUUAAAGAGAGACUUUUUUGGUUUUAUGAAGAGUUUGUUUGGUACAUGUUUACACUUAUAAAGAAACACAAAAAGUGCUUCCUCAAGUCAAUGGUAUUUGCUUUAAUGGCUACGGUUCAUAAUAAUAUAGCUUAGUAAGGAAAUUUGUAAUUAUAAUAUGACUCUUUUAGUACAACUUUUCAAGUAGAAUUUAUUUAAGUAGAGAUUUUGUUAGGAGAAGUAUUGUUAAUAGAGAUUUCACAAAAAAAAUUUUAAUUAUUUGAUUAUAAUAUCCAAAUUGAUGAACUUUUGUUCUUUUGUUAACAUCUGUUUGUUUUACUUAAUAAUAAAACUUUAGUGGGUUUGGCUACAAAUAAAAGUUUAGUGGGUUUGGCUACAAUGCCGUUGGCAUUGUUCCCGGCACCAUGCCGGGCUCUAAAAAAGAGAGCCCGGCUGUCUUUGGCUGCCAUUUGGCAGCCAAAGACUUGGUGCAGCCGGUUAACAAACCGGUUGCACCAUAUUUUUUAAAAAAUAUAUAUUAAAAAUAGAAUAUAAAAAUGAAAAAAAUUAAAUAAAAUGUCAAAAAUAAUUUUUAUAAUAUAAUUAAUAGCAAAAGAUAAAGAAAUUAAAUUAUAUAAUACAAACCCUAUAGUACAAUAUGAUAUAAUUAAAUAAAAUGGCAAAAAAUAAAGAAAUUGAAAAUGAAAAAAAUUGUAUUUCAGUUUUAACGUUAGUUAUUGCAUGUCCGACGUCCCGAUUUCAUGUUUGACAUAAGAAGUUGCAUGUUUUGGAUAAAACCAAAAUAAAGAAUAUUCUGGAAUAUUCUCGUCUGUUUCAUGUUUGACGUCAAAGUUGCGAACUUUACGUGGUAAGUUGCAUAUUUCGCGUGAAGUAUUGCGAGUUUCAUAUUUAACAUCAGUUGUUGCAUUUUUUACGGUUGGAUUUCAUGUUUGACGUACGAUGUUGCAUGUUUUGAAUAAAGCCAAAAUAAAGAAUAUUCCGGAAUAUUCUCGUCCGUUUCAUGUUUGACGUUGAAGUUGAGAACUUUACGUGGUAAGUUGCAUAUUUCGCGUGAAGUAUUGCAAGUUUCAUAUUUAACGUCAGUUGUUGCAUGUCGAACGUCACGGUUGCAUGUUUGACGUAAGCUGAUGCAUGUCUUGAAUAAAGCCAAAAUAAAGAAUAUUCUCGAAUAUUCUCGUCUGUUUCAUGUUUGACGUUGAAGUUGCGAACUUUACGUGGUAAGUUGCAUAUUUCGCGUGAAGUUUUGCAAGUUUCAUGUUUAACGUCGGUCGUUGCAUGUCGGACGUCACGGUUGCAUGUUUGACGUAAGCUGAUGCAUGUCUUGAAUAAAGCCAAAAUAAAAAAUAUUCUCGAAUAUUCUCGUCUGUUUCAUGUUUGACGUCGAAGUUGCGAACUUUACGUGGUAAGUUGCAUAUUUCGCGUGAAGUUUUGCAAGUUUCAUAUUUAAUGUCAGUUCUUGCAUGUCCGACGUCCCGAUUUCAUGUUUGACAUAUGAAGUUGCAUGUUUUGGAUAAAACCAAAAUAAAGAAUAUUCCAGAAUAUUCUCGUCCGUUUCAUGUUUGACGUCGAAGUUGCGAACUUUACGUGGUAAGUUGCAUAUUUCGCGUGAAGUUUUGCAAGUUUCAUAUUUAACGUCAGUUGUUGCAUUUUUUACGGUUGGAUUUCAUGUUUGAUGUACGAUGUUGCAUGUUUUGAAUAAAGCCAAAAUAAAGAAUAUUCUCGAAUAUUGACGUUGAAGCUGCGAACUUUACGUGGUAAGUUGCAUAUUUCGCGUGAAGUAUUGCAAGUUUCAUAUUUAACGUCAGUUGUUGCAUUUUUUACGGUUGGAUUUCAUGUUUGACGUACGAUGUUGCAUGUUUUGAAUAAAGCCAAAAUAAAGAAUAUUCCGGAAUAUUCUCGUCCGUUUCAUGUUUGACGUUGAAGUUGCGAACUUUACGUGGUAAGUUGCAUAUUUCGCGUGAAGUAUUGCAAGUUUCAUGUUUAACAUCCGUCGUUGCAUGUCGGACGUCACGGUUGCAUGUUUGACGUAAGCUGAUGCAUGUCUUGAAUAAAGCCAAAAUAAAGAAUAUUCUCGAAUAUUCUCGUCCGUUUCAUGUUUGACGUCGAAGUUGCGAACUUUACGUGGUAAGUUGCAUAUUUCGCGUGAAGUUUUGUAAGUUUCAUGUUUAACGUCCGUCGUUGCAUGUCGGACAUCACGGUUGAAUGUUUGACGUAAGCUGAUGCAUGUCUUGAAUAAAGCCAAAAUAAAGAAUAUUCUCGAAUAUUCUCGUCCGUUUCAUAUUUGACGUUGAAGUUGCAAACUUUACGUGAUAAGUUGCAUAUUUCACAUGUAGUGUUGUAGGUUGCAUGUUUAACGUUCGUUGUUGCAUGUCCGACGUCCCGAUUGCAUGUUUAACGUAAGAUGUUGCAUGUUUUGAAUAAAGCCAAAAUUAAGAAUAUUUCAGAAUAUUCUCGUCUGUUUCAUGUUUGACGUCGAAAUUGCGAACUUUACGUCAUGAGUUUUAUAUUUCGCGUAAAGCGUUGCAGGUUGUAUGUUUAACGUUAGUUAUUGCAUGUCCGACGUCCCGAUUUCAUGUUUGACGUCGAAGUUGCGAACUUUACGUGAUAAGUUGUAUAUUCUACGUGAAGUGUUAAAUGAAUUUUGUUUUAAAAAUACAGUUUAACCUCAAAACUGUAUGAAACUAUGUUAUGAUCCAAAACGUUAUAAAAAUUUUCAAAUUGGUCCAAUUUUAGAAUUUCUAAUUAUUACUUUAUUAAACUCAAAACUUUCUGAAAUUAAGAUAUGAUCCAAAAUAUAAGAAAUUAUAGAAUGACCCAAAACAUUUAAAUAUUUUGAAAUAGGUCCAAAUCCGAAAUUUAAAACAAUAAUUUAUUAAAAUCAAAGAUUAUGAAAAACAACUUAACUCCAUAAAGACAUAUUCUUAUUGUUAAAGCACAAUACAUAAAUCUUUAUUUAAUCAACACAUGUGGUUUGUUAUCGAAAUCUCAAUACAACACAUUAGUCCAAAAUUAUCCAAAGCAUACGGAAAUAACAUAUUAUCCAUGAAAUAUCAAACAAUCAAAACAAAUCCAUGUCAUUCAAAACAAAUACAUAAUCCAAAAUCAUAAUGAAAUGUAGGUGUGUCCAAAUACAAGCAUAAGAGACUACUAAGGUGGUGAGGAUGGUGGUGAUGGAGGUGGAUACGGAUAUGGAAUGCCGAAGUGCUCAAAGAGGAGGCGCUGUCCAUGAAUAAACUGCUGCUGCUGGUGGUGAAACUCAGUCUGCCACACAGAGAGUGUCCUCACCUCAUCCAUAAGCUGCUGAAGAGUAACUUCUUCAAAAGUAGGAUGCUCGGGAUGUGGUAAAGAAGGUGCAGAGGCUGUAGGAGCCGAGGGAGAUACUGAAGGAGCUCGACGUCUACGCUGACCCCGAAAUGAAAGUGCAAAAACAGGUAGCUGAUGGGCUGGAACCACAGCAUUAAGUGGUCGAUCAUCACUUGGAGCAAGAAAGGUGAACUUUUUAUCAGUGACUUUUACCCAAGUGCCAUUACGACACUCAAAACCUAAAGAACUAACAGCCUCAUCCCCAAUGCUCUUAGACGGCCUACAUGAUGGUUCUUGGAUAGUGACGCUAAAGUAUUUGAGGAUUCGGGUGAUGAAAUGACCAUUCAGAAGGGAACGAGUAAUCAACUUAGGUAUACUAAGCAUGUUUCGGACAAUGGUGUAUCCUAAGUCGACUGGACGAUGUCUAAGAAUACAAUCAAUCAAGGCAACAUCCAUAUGAGAAACCUCAUCCAAAUGGCCUGAUCUAUGAAGCACAAUACUCUGAAUAAAACGAAGUAAUAUCCGAGUUUGAAGACAAAGACAUUGGGUGCGAAAAUGGAUAGUACAAUCAUCAUCCGAAAGAUCAAUACGACGACAUAUAUUCUUAACAGCAUCAAUAUGAACAUAAUCAUCAAUAUCAGGAGGUUUCCUAGGUGAAAAAAUUUCUAGGCCAUCAUCGGAAGUUCCUAGAAUAGAGUUCAACUCCGAAUCAUCAAACUCAAUCGAAACUCCUUCAACUGUGGUGAUUACUCGAUUCUCUUUCUCCGCGGAACAAUCCAUAUUCGAGUAAAACACUUUCACCAAGUCGGGAUAUACAUUUUCCUCAAAAACAAUUGAAUUAAGCCAACCAACAUCUUCCAACAAUUGCAAUAAAGUUCUAUUACUAAUACUAAGAUUAUUCAACCAAUCCGGUAAAACAAAAAAGGUUUGGAGUACCUCACGAGUCAUGAACUGUUGGUGAAAUCGUUUGGCUAGAUGUUUGUGGUUCUGAAAGUGUCUGGCCUCAAAGUUGGAUUUAUUGGAUGUGCCCCCUGCUUGUCGUGACCGGUUGGUAUGUUGAACCGGUUCUUUGCCUUUUCUUCGAAUCGGCCGUGAGCUUGACAUGGUGAAUUUUUUUGAUUUGAAGUGAAAUAAAUCAAUGAGAAGGGAGAUAAUAAGGAUGGAAAGAGAUUUUGAGAAGCAAUUUCGAUCAAAAACGGCUUCAGAGGGGGAAAUCUAGAGAGAGAAGUUUCGGCUUAAACCAUAGAAUUGAUUUCGGAUCUAUUGAUUUUGAGGUUCAAAAAAGGUUUGAAGGAUGAUUUUGGAUACAAGAACGGAUGGGAAACAAGUUUCAUGGAUCCAUUUGCAUAAAAAACCUGUGAAAAUGAUGGAUUUUGGAGAGAAAACGAGAGAGGAAUAUUCGGUUUUAGAGAGAGAUAGCUAACCGGUUUACCGAAAGAUAAAGGAGGAGAUGAACAGUUUAUAUACUCGCGAAUCCGGCUAUCCGGAAAUUAUUAACCGGCUAACCCAUUGUAGGCAGUGACCUACCCACGCGAAUUCAGAUUUCCGGUUUGAAUAACCGGCUAUCCGGUUUCGUCUCCAAGAAAAAACAGCAAACUGCCUCACUCGGCUGAGAUAAAAAAAAACCAACUGUGAUAGGGAAUGCAUAAUUUGUUUGAAAGAUGAAGUUUCACUUGAUUUCUUGCCAUGUGCGUACCAAGUUUUGUGUGCCAGUUGCAGUGUCAAAAUUAUCAUAGUUUGUCUUAAGAAGUCUGAAAGAUUAGAAAAAGAGAUUGCUAAGUUCAAGAAAUGAAAGUGAGAUAAAAUUACUUGUGUCGCUUCUUGUGUCUUCCCAUUGUUUAAUUCUGAUAUUGUUGCUUACUAAAUUAACAAAGAAAGACCAGCACAAUGACUGCUGAUGAAUACUUUGAGAAGCAUCCAGAGCUAAGGAAAGAAGUUUGAUGAUGAAAUCCGGAAUGAUUAUUGGGGAUAUUAAUUCAGUCAUGUGCAUUCAGUUAUCGGGAACAUCUUCUUUCAUGCAGACUCUCGAGUUCAUCCCAACCACCAUGCUGUUUUGGUGCAUCAUAACAAGAAUAAGCCAAUUGUUUUACUCCAUUUUGGUUGAUUUGACUAUCACAAAAAAUUCCAUGAUAUUUGGACAUUACUCAGAAUCUAGCUAUAAUAAUUUCUCUUUUCUUAUUUGCCAAAUUUGCAUUAAGAUUUUUUUAGAAGAACUUUUAUGUUUUCACAUUCAGAAAGAGUUAAAGCAAAGCAAUUGCAGUAGCAGUGUGUAUGGAAUUUGUUGAAUGGAUCCAUUUGAAAGUCCAUUUUUUAUUCUUUAAUGUAAUAUCUAAUAUUAAAAAAAUCUUAAAACAAAAAUAUGAAUGAAUUGAAAAAUCAAAGUAGUAUUCCACAUUCCCAUGUAAAAAUAGAUUAACGACACCACUUUAAGAAAAGCUAAAAAUAAAAAUAGAUAUAUAUUAUUAAACAAAAUGAAAGUUGGAACUUACAAAGAGCUAAUAUUAUUACUUUAAUCUUCUAGUAUUUAGAGUUCAUCUUGUGGCUGAUAUUAUUGCUUGGCUACGUGAAACCAUUUUAGUCUUGUCAACACUAUCUUGUGGCUGAUAUUUUUUAUUGAAAUGCUCUUCAUCCACCAACUUGGUUCUUGUCAGUUUGCUUGGUAACUUCUUCUUGUUUGGUUUUGGUGCAUUAUUUAUCUAUUCACUCGUUAGUCAGACACUUUUUUUUUGUAUUUUUUGUUUCUACGCACAAGACUGAUAAAAUUAAAUGGGCUUAAUCUUUUGUCUUCCUAAUAGCAAUAUUCAAUAUUUAUUUAGUAAUAUUUCUAGAACUCUAAGAAAUAACUGGAUUUAAAUUUUAUGAAUUAUAUAUUGUGCUAAAAGCACAAAGACAAUCAUAUGAGUGUAUAUUAUUAUUAAAAUUAAACAAUUGGAUUUAACCUCCUCUUCAUACAAUUCAUAUACAUUGGCUCGCUCUCGCUCUCUUUUCUACAUGCAUGUGUCAUUUACAUUUAGGUAUUUGUAUGCGCGUAUAUUAUUAUAAUGUAAUCCCUCUAAAAAAUGAGACCAAUCACAGUCCAAACAAAAAAAAGAAAGAUAAAGAAAAGUUAAUACUUUAAUGGCAUUGUUAAUACGUCACAGUAAUCAUGUCCCUCGAAUCCGGAUAACUGGAUUUAACAACCGGUUAUCCGGAUGUUGACUGCAAGCAACAUGCUUGCUGUCACGCGAAUCCGGAUGACCGGAAGUCAACAACCGGUUAUCCGGAUGUUGACAGCAAGCAUGUCAAUCGAAACCGGAUAACCGGAUUUCCUAACCGGUUUUCCGGUUAUUGCAUGUCCUGUAUAAAGUUUAAAAAAAAUAAAGGUAAAAUUACCACGUUUGGUUGGUUAGGUUUGCAAUAAAUAUGAUGAAAAAAAAACUCACCUUCCCUCCAUUAAUGAGGGAUUAUCCUAAGGCUCAUGUCCAAGACUUCUUCACAAAAAACACAGUCACUCCAAAACAUAGUCCCAAAUACUAUUACUGCGGUCUCGUUCAACAUCUAUGGUGCCUAGUUUUCAACUUUUCAAAAGUUAAGUUUCUCUCCAACAAAGGUAUGUGUUGUAAUUUAAGUAGUUGAUUUGUGCUCCCAUAGAUGGUUUCAGAAAUAUUAUUAUAUUAAAUUAUUAAGAUAAAGGGUGUGAAUUAUGUUAUUAACAAAGUUUUGGUUGAACAGGGGUUAAAUAUGAGUAGCCCACAUAGUUCCAGCAACCUAGGAAUAUCCAUUGCUCCAAAUGUUGGUUUACAGGUAUCGGACGUACUUGGCAGUCAUUUCGACUCAGUAGAAGAUGCAGAACUGUGGUAUAACAAUUAUGCCCGAAUGCUUGGUUUUGGUGUUAGGAAAGAUGAUAUGCGGCGCGGAAAAAAGUCUAGACGAAUCACAAUUCGACGUUGGGUUUGUCAUUUCGAAGGGGUAAGAGAUGAAAGACAAUCUCAAAACUGCAGUAGGGUGCAGAACCACGACCUAUAACACGAACCGAGUGUCGGGCAUCAUUUCGAGUGAAUUACGAUGAUUCAGUUGGUAAAUACAUCGCCAAAGAAUUCAGGCCUGAGCACAACCAUCAUUUGGCUUCUACUAAUGGAGUUCAUCUCAUUCGUUCACAUCGAAAGGUUACUGAUGCAGAACUUGCGCAAGCAAAGGCAUUAAGGCAUGUUGGUGUGAAGACUUGCCAAUUCAUGGAUUACAUGGCUGAUCAGGUAGAGGGGCCUCAAAACCUAAGGUUCACACGCAAAGACAUGCAAAACACGCUAGAUGCUUCCACUCGUGCCGAGGUUGGAGAUUCUGACUCAGACACAACUAUAGCAUACUUUGCGGCAAAAUCUGAACAUGACCCUGGGCUUUGCUUUGAGUACACACUAGAUGAUGAAAAUAGACUACGAAAUUUGUUUUGGGCUGAUUGUGUAGCUCGUUAUGACUAUCAGUGUUUUGGUGAUGUGUUGGCAUUCGAUGCAACGUAUAAGACUAAUGUAUAUCAUAAACCCCUCGUUACACUUGUCGGAACAAACCAUCACUUCAGAACAACGGUCUUCGGUUUUGCUUUGCUCGCAGAUGAGACAAUUGACUCAUACACGUGGCUGCUACAAACUUUUCUAUCCACUAUGGGCAACCGAAUGCCCGUGUCUGUAAUUACUGAUGGUGACAAGGCAAUGUCGAAGGCAAUAAAGACAGUGUUUACCGGGUGCAUCCAUCGUCUUUGUUGUUGGCAUCUUGAGCGCAAUGCGCAGGCUAAUUUGAAGAACGAAGACUUUACGAGAAAAUUUCGUGAUUUGAUGUUGACACCUAUGACGGUAACUGAAUUUGAAACCCAAUGGUCAGCUGUAGUGGCUGAAUUCGCACUUGAACAUCAUGCAUGGGUACAGAAAAUGUAUUCAAAGCGGUGCAAGUGGGCGGAAGCUUAUCUUAGAGGAACAUUCUUUGCUGGUAUGCGAAGCACUCAACGAUGUGAAAGUAUGAAUGCAUAUCUUAGCCGAUUUGUCCAACAUAAACUAAAAUUGUAUGAGUUUGUGCGACAAAUCGAUCGUGCUCUCCGCAAUAUUCGUACCACAGAAACAUCCGAUGAGUUCAAAACCAAAUACAGUACUCCUGUCUUAAGAACUCACUUACAGAGCCUCGAGAAACAUGCUGCACAAUUGUUCCCGUUAAGAGUUUUUUCGAAGGUUAGAGAUGAGAUGCUGCGAGAAAGAGCGGUCAUCGAAGUAAAAACUGUCAAAGCUGUCGAUGUUGCAUUGUACACAGUGACUGAAUUUAGGACACCUACAACAUGUUGGAAUGUCAUCCACAAUCUACAAGAAAACCACAUACAGUGUUCGUGUCAAAUGAUGGAGUUUGUUGGGCUUCCUUGUAGGCAUAUGUUUCAUGUCUUGAAAGUGGAACAAAUUGAAAAGAUUCAUGACAAUAUGGUUUUUCGUAGAUGGACAAAAAAAGCCAAGGAGCACAAUACUUGCAGGACCACAAAACCAGAAGUUGACACUGAUGUUUCAGAGAUGGCUAGAUUUAGUGCAUUGUCUGCAGCCUGCAAUAAAAUGUGCUACAAUGCAGCAAAAAACGUUGAAGCCUAUGAAAAUGCAUUGGUAGAAAUCAAUCGGCUAACAUUAACUUAUGAACAACAAUCUGAACGAGACGGUCUCCCAAAUAAAAAAUUGCGGAUGGGAACAAAACUUCGUAAUCCUGCAGUUGUAAAAACCAAGGGCGCUAUGUCUAAAACAAAAUGUGUAGCAGAAAGCUCUAGAAAGUGUGGAAAAUGUCGUCAGGUUGGGCAUACAACACGAACUUGUUCUAUUCAAGGGAAUGAUAGCACCCAGCUAAGGUAUGUCCCAAGUUCUUUAUCAUGUGUUUAAUUAUUGCAUUGUUGGAUAUUUCAUUGCAAAUAACUUUCAUGGUAUUGAUUUAGUGUCGAUGGAAACUGUUUUGCCGCAUUCGAUUCAUCAAGCACCCAGAAUCUUGGAGCCUCUACUGGUGUCAAUCCAACAUUGUUAGGUCAUGCAAGCAACCAAUUUUCAAAUGUUUUUUAUUGGUGGCCUCAUUAAACAAUGCCAUUAAAAUGACUCAAUAUGUAUUACCAUUUGAAUUCCACUAUCAUGUACUAACAUGACAACCAGUUUAAUAUCAAAUGAUGAGAUGUGAACACUGUUAACAUGCAUAUGUUCAUUAUAGUUAAAUUAUGUCUCGGCCAAGAAUACAUAACCAUGUCAUAAAUUUAAAGAUAAUUCUCCAUUACAAUUGAUUUUACAACCAUCGUAAGCAAGAAGACAAAAAAAUUCACGGUAUUACCUCCCAACAUGUUUCAAACAUCUUACAACAAAAAAUAGUAUGCAAUCACUUGCAUAAUCAUUCCCUACUAUAGUUCGAUAUCUAAGCGCGUGUUCUCGUGUUAACUUUCUUCUUCUUACGAAUGUUGCCGCUUUGUUGGUGAAAUGACUUUUGCACUUGAGAGGAUACAGGGUUCACCAUUACAGCAUGAAUCGCAAACUGUGCAUUGCUUAGUUCCAGCAAUUUAUCUCGAUUUUGAUUCAAUGCAGAAUUAAUUAGUUGAAUGGCUAGCCUACCUCGUGUAUCCUCAGAUGUGAACUAGUCAAUUUGAAAGGAAACCAAUAUUACUUUCAUAUAAUAAGUAGCUUUUAUAUAAUUAUGAAGUUAACAAAAUUCUGAGUUCAACAAUUAAACAAGUUUGGCAUAGUCGUACCAAAGUGGACGAUUUCUUCGGAAUAAAUUCUGGGCUGUCCAUAUAGUUUAUCACAUAAACCCCACAGUCAUAUCCAUUCCUUUGCUUUGGAACUCCAAUGCCCCGGUUGAUUGGAAAGUCUUGAAACUUCAUGUGUUGCAUAUUGCUUGGCAAUUGGGGCUGCAUAAUCCAAUCCAAGGAAUGUAGCUGUCGGCAAUGUUGAAAACCAGACAAUAUUAUAGAUAUGAAUAUAACACAAUAUACAUAACUGAUAAUGUUAAAUAGAUAACAAAAAUAAAGAACAUGAUUAAGAUACAAUGCGCAUGGCUUGAUCGUGCCGUCUUCUAUUACUGCGGGGAUCUGGAAGAGGAUCCCAUAUUUCUGCACUUGUAUUUCUGACAUUCACGAUCAGUAGGUACCAAUGAGAUGAUUCAUCAUUUAUUGGCACAUAAAUCUAACAUUUCAAUUGUCAAUGUCAUACACCAAGCACACUAGUAGAAACUGAAAUAAGUUAAAGGUUAACAAACUAACCUUUUGACACUUAUGCACCUGUUGCAUAAAAUUCUUUCCACAUCUAGCUGCCCUUGCAAAACAAUCCACCUCAUCUCCGACCAUUAAAACUGCUUGCUACACAUAAUAAAGACAACGUUGAAUAAGGAAGUUGUCAAUAAAGAAACCAAAGCACAAUGCAACAAGUACCGGCGAGACUCACAGAAUAUCUUGUUGGUAAAUACCAGUUCAUUGGCACAUCUUUCUCCACCACCUACUGAAUGAGGGUGAGGUGAUGCGCUUUCAUAGAAAUCACCUAAAAGUGAUCAUAUUUAUUGAGAUAUAUAAUAACAUGUAAUAAACGAUAAACAUAUAUUGUGACAUCACCAAAUGUUGAAACCUAAUACCUCGCCACAUAGAUAAGCCCCCGGCAAAAGAGUCAAUAAAGAAUGCCGAUUAAGAAUUUCGCCGCAACUAGAAACAAUGAUUUCACUAAAGAUAAAACACGGUAAUUUUUUAGUCGUAUAGCAUAACAACUAUAUACAGAAAACUAAUUUCAGUCUUCUGAAUUUAACCUUCCCUCUGCGUCCUUGUUAAAAGCAUAUUGAAUAAGCUUCAAUUCUUCCAGCGUAACUGGAUCAUUGACUUGAAACGGACCAGCUUUAUACUUGGGAUUUGCUCCCCUGGACACUUGAUCGUACGGUGAAAGUUGAUAUCGGCCUGGCCUACGAUUCCUACUUGGUCGCGUUGGCAGGACACUGAGACUAGUAGAUGUUUGAGGUUCUUGCUUAAGUUGAACUGGUUCAUCUAUAUCCUUUAUAAAAAAUAAAUUUAUAUGUAAGUUACUUCAUAAGUGAGUUAUCAUUGAAAUCAUUUUAAGAAAACGACGUUAUAAAACUGUACCUCAUCUCGGAGAUUAGGUGGUGGAAUAGGGACAAAGUGGGUAGGAUCUUUGCGAAAUUCACCGAUUCCUUCUCUUGUCCCCAUCCAGCCCAUUAAUUUAUCGAGGCUCAGGUUCAAUCUGCGAUCCACAGAGUCCUCGUCGCUAUCCAUUACCAUUUUGUUUUUUUCCAUCAGUAGUUGGCUCGGUUUUUCUGACUGGACAUGUUGGUUCUACUAUUUUCAAGCUCGGAGAUUGCGGGCAUGGAUCAGAUGGUUGUUUUGAUAGUGCACCAACCGGAGACUUGGAUCUCAAUUCCUCCAAAGACUUCUCAACCAUUUCCAUUCUCACAUUGAAUGAAUCCAUUUUGUGUUCAAUUCUGUGGACACACUGUGUUAGUACCCUAAAAGCUUCCUCCAUAUUAACAGUGCUCGGCCCAACAUCUUCGGUUUGUUCAAAAUGAGCGAAAUUUCUUUCGAGCUGCAGAAAAUUUGAUUCACGCAUUGGAACCUAAAAUAAAUAUGCACAACAAUCAUACAUAAUGACAAUCAAAAUAUAUUCAAUUAACCGUAAACAAAAUUAAAUACAUGUGUGAACAAGACAAAAAAUAAAACAAACCUCAGUACUGGUCAUGUCCCCAAACUUUUUCCGCCAAUUCAAUAAGCGCCGAAUCUCUUCCUUGGUCCAUACACUAACAGGGCAAACUGUUCUGUCCAUGGAACACCGAUCAUAUAAAACAGCACUAAAGUAGAACAACUGUACAUUCAAAAAACAAUUACUACGUCAUUUUAUUUUUCGUAUUUGGAAAAUUAAUUAUGGCAUCUAAGAUUUCUUAAAUAUACCUCUAAAAACACAACACAACCACUAACUGACUUCACUUGAUUAUCUUUAUACUUCGCUAUGCCCUCCCACAGAAAGUUGAAACACCAUGUAGCCCAAUUCUUUUUCCUAAUUAAUUGCACAUCUUUUAGGGAAUGCAGAUACAUCGGAUUGAUGUAGCUGGCACUUGUGGGACACAAUACAGUUCCUAGAAGAAACAAACAAAACAUGAUCUUAAAGUCAUCAUCACUACUCUCACUAGCUAUUAUUCUUUCACUAACUGCGGCUAUUUCAAUUCCUCUUCCACUUGUUCUAUACUUGGCACGCAGUUCAAUUAUAUCACCCGCUUCUUCUCGGAUGUAUACUGGUUCCCCUCCAUCUUUGAUCCCCAUUACGAUGCUGAAGGUUGUAGGGUUUAAACAAAACUCUCUCUCGUGCAAAACUAUACAGUGCCUCUUUGUAUCACAUUGUUGGACAAGUGUUUCACAGAAGUCUUGUCUCAGGCGACCACAUCGUAAUUCUAGCAUGCUUCCGAAGCUAAUUUCUCUAAUUGCAGCUUGUUGGUCGGCCGAUAGUGUGGAAAUGACCUUAGUGAGUGCACUGACACGACAACGAGAUAAAUUACAUUGGCUAUGCUUAUCCCCAAUUUUUUGUUCUUCAUCUUGUUUUUCAAUACUCCUUUCACCAACAUUUGAACUUGGGUCCUCAUGCAUCGUACCAAAUCGGCACUUCUCCUCAUUCGUUAAUUUCUUCCAUUUUUCAACAAUUGUCGCCCUACAAACUUUUUUGAUCCCUUCUUGCCUGACCUUUUCUGCUUCAUGCUUACUGUACACAACAUUUUAGUUCAACUAAUUACGUCAACAAAAUUGUUAUAAUAAGAACCUUAUUCAAAGCAAUAAUUUUAUACUUACAAAAAGUGUAUCCACGCUCUCUGACCAGGUCCUCCCCUUCUGCCUUAUGUGGACUCCAUUUUAUAACUGUAUGCUAUAUUUUAAAUCCUGAAAUAGACCACACAUAAAUGUAGUAUCAAGGCCGGACCCAUAACAAUGGCUAAGUUCUUGGCAAAUUAUUGAGCGCUCAUCUUUAGUAUUCCUACCAAAGACUGUAGAGCUCAAAACAAGCAAACAACACCUAAAACCAAACAAGAAAAAUUUAGGGUUCCCAUAGAAAAAUAACACUUAAAAACCAAAUCUCAAAAAAUCAACCACAAAAUAGAAAUAAAUUAAAAAAUGCCAUUGAAUUUUUACCAACUAAUGCCAUUGAAACCACGCAAAACCAUGGGAACAUUGCAUCCCCUUCUAAAUAUCUUUCUUCAAUUUAAUGCUUGAAUUACAGUACAUCAAUCAUAUCAGGAUUGAGGAUUUUCUUGCCAAUUUCAUGCUUCCAAGCCAUUAAUCAUCUCUUCAACAUCAAUUUUUCAUCAUCUAAAUAUCUUUUUUCACUCUAAAUUACCAAACUUCUAAUUGUUUCAAAUCUCUAAUUAUUUCACACAAAAUUUAUAGUACAUCACAAAAACCACAAAGGUCAAAAUUACCUCAUCACCUUCUCGUUAACUCACAAAAUGAAAAGGAAAGAGAGGAACUUGUGUUCAUCUUCAACACCUCAGGAUGACAGCGACCGCUUCAUGGAUUCCACUUCUUAUUUGCUUUGAACGAGAUGGUGCCUUUGAUCUUCUAUGAUUACUAAACAAAUAGAAGAGAGAAAUUUGAGAGAAAUUUGUGAUUUCAAAGUGAGAUGUGAGAGAUUGGGAAUGGCCUGGGUGAAACCCUCAAAAAGCAAAAUUUUGUUUUGCAAGCUUUGGGAACCGGUUUAAUAAGUUAACAAUUUUUUCCUCUUUUUUAUUUCUUUUCAAUCUCAGCCGUUGGAUUCAUUUUACUUGAAUCCAACGGCUGCGUUUACAAGCCGGCACAAUGCCGGGCCUCAAUGCCCGGCAUUGUAGCUUUAGCCAAGUUUAGUUUACAAUUACACCGGUGUCAAAUCAGCAGAGCAUCGGCAAGAGUUUUCGAUUGUUGCAAUUUGCAAUGCAUGUGGUACAUGCACGCACUAAUAAAGAAACACAAAAAGUGCAUUCUCAAGCCAAUAGUAUUUGUUUUUAAUCGCUACUUUGCAUAAUAAUGUAGCUUAGUUAGGAAAUUUGUAAUUAUAUUAUGCGUCCGUUUGGUAUAACUUUUUAAUUAGAACUUAUUUAAGGAGAACUAUUGUUUGUAGAGUUUUUAUAAAUAGAAAUUUUAAUUAAAAAAAAUUAUAAUUAUUUAGUUGUCAAUGUCCAAAUUGAUGAACUAUUGUUCUUUUUGUUAACAUGUGUUUGUUUUACUUAAUAAUAAAACUUUAGUUUACAAUUACACCGGUGUCAAUUAUACUAAUAGCAUCGGCAAGAGUUUUCGAUUGUUGCAAUUUGCAAUGCACGCGGUGAGAGAAAAUGAGAAUCUUGUUUAAUCCUUUCAUUAGGAGUAAUUUAAUAAUCGUUUGUUAUAAUAGAAUAUGUAUAAAGAAAGGAAAAUUAUAUUCAUAGAUUUGGCUUAUUUUUUGUUUAAAGUAAUUCAGAUCAUUACAACGUCCUUUUCGCUAAUUAAUUACAACGUCCUUUUCGCUAAUUAAUUAUGAUUAUAUACAUUUUCAUAUGGCAAGUGGCAUUGUAGAUCUAAACGACGUUGCUAUUUCAAUACGUUAAUUAAGUGAUUCUCCUGAUUGUCAUCAGCGCUAUACCCUCUAGGAAAAUAGCUCAAUUGUUUUCCUGCAUUGAUUUUCAUUGGUAUGUGAUUUCUUAUGAAAUUCUUUUGAGCUUUCCUUAGUUAAAAAGCUUGAGCUUUUAUCACCUAAUACUGAUAUCAAUUAACUUGUGAACGAUUUUAUACCCUCUCUUUUUUUUCUUUUUUUUUAAGUACUCUGUUGAAAGCCAAAGUUCCUUUGGCCAGUUAAUUUAGAAGUGAAGGAAAGAAUAAAGUUAGGCCUCGACGUCUUUUGAGAUUAGAAAUACAUUUUGAAUGCUUUAAUAGAUGCAGAGCAAACUGGCUCGAUAUCUAACUAUUUUAAGAGCUAAAAUCAUUUAUUAGAAGUUGUAGCAUUAAAAAAAAUGGGCUUGAUAUCCAAUUUUGUUAUUGAAUAUGUCUCACGUGUUACUGGCAGAUGGCUAUGCUAGGUUUUAUUGCUCCUUGAAUUUGAUUGAAAAAUUAUUGAGGCGGACAAGUUUGGACCAUUGUUGGACACUGAAACUACACAUCAGUCUUAGAAAAUUGUAAUUUUGUUGGCUUAUCAUGAUUUUGAUCGCCUCACAUUGAUUUUCCUAUGACGUCUCUGUAGAGUGGCUAUGCUUACAUUUUUAGGUAUUUAAUUCUAAAAAUUAACUUAUUAGAUGGAAGGACCAAUUCUACCUGUAAAUACAAGUGGCUUCCCUUUACCAACUCAUACAAGACACAACAAUAAUCUUCUUCAGAAAAAACCACCGUCGGAGGGCUAUUUUCGUUCAACAUAAAUGAGUUGUUCCGCCACCAUAUUUUAAGGGUUUGCUUCUAAUACAACUUGGGGGAGCUAGGGCUAAGAUUUCUAAGAAUCAACAUAAAAACCUUGCCUAUUGGAUGGAAGGACCAAUCCCACUUAUGAGUCUAAAUGACUAAUUUUUGAGGACACAACUCAACAGACCAAUAUAAACUUUUGACGUCCCAUUUUAUUACUUUCCUGUGUUUUUACUUUUGAUGCUGUCUAUAGCCCUACUAUUCUAUUAAGCAGAAAAUAUUUCAAGGCACUCUCGGUCCAGUAGAUAACUUUGGUAUUUAUUAUCUAUUUUCUUUCCAUUUUAUGUAAACCCCGAUCUUUACCUCUGAUUGGUUGUAGAUUCUUUUGUUGCUUUGGGGUUAGGGGAUGGUUUUCAUAACUAUUAAGUUGAUCAAUGCAGAAAAUCACCAUCAAGAAAUGAUAAAGGAUUGUUAGUUCUAUCUGACAAACAACAUUAAUAUGAAGGAUGAUGAUUGUUCUGUUCAAGAGUUUAUAAUGACAUAAUUCUACUUUGGUCUUUUAAAAAAAGUAAUUUAGAAACGAGUAUGUGAGUGAUGACUUUUACAAAAUAAAUUACAUGCGCAGUGAUGAUUUUGACACAUGAAAAUGAAAAAAGAAAUAUAACUUGUGAAUAAUAAUUGAAGUACCUGCUAUUGUUAUAUUGGGUAUUGAUAAAUGGAUGGUUUUGGAAGAAUUGAAAAUGAUGGCAUAAGUAAACCGAAGUUAAGAGAAAAGAGAAAGAGCAUUUGAACUUUACUAGUAAGUAAAGGCAAAUUUCUUGGUUCAAGAAAAGAUAAGAGAUAUCAAACUAGCAAUAGGAAAAAGGAGGAAGGUUAAGACAGCAUCUUAACAAAAGCUAAAGAAAAGAAAAACUUAGUUCAAGCAAAGAACAAUGUGCUAAUGUCGUGUAAUCUUGUUUAAUUUCUUUUUCUUCUCACAUUUUCCAGGGCUUAAAUAAUACAAUAUACAUUUUCAAGCAAAGAACAAUAUGCAAUUGCAGUACUUCUGAGCACACAACAACAAAUAAAUAGUACAAUAUACAUACCCACUAAAUUAAAAAAAAAAUAUUAUUCAAGUUUGUGGACAAUACUGUAGCCAUGCCGUCGUCGAAAUCUACUGACAGCUGAAACAAAGAAAGAAUGGAUGAAUGCUGGAUCACAGUUGAAAUUGAAGGUCUGGUAGGUGAUGUUUCCCUCUCUGAUUUUACCUAAACAAAUACAAAAAAAUAAGAAUCACAAAUGAAAAUCUGCUAUUACACUGUUCUUACUUAUUAAAAUACAGAGGUUUCUUUGUUUCUCUGCAGCAAUGUCCAUGGCUAUUAGAAACAAGAACAAUUAGACCAGCAUUUGCAAGAAUCCUUUAAGGUAUUACUGCAGAUAUAAAUCCACUGAGGAAAUGGAAAAAGUGAAUACCAAAUUAGGCAAGUUAAAUGAAGAUUGAGUUAUCAUAGAAGAAUAAAACUCAUCCAAUUCAAUCCAUCAAAUUCCAUAAGGAUACAACUGGAUGUCAUACUGCUGCUCCAUAUCCUCAAGAGCCCGUAGAUUUUGCCUCAACUCUGGCUGAGGCCAAUGUAAGUCCAAUUUGCAAAAGCUCUUUAUGCACCAUAGCUCUUCAGGAAGCUUUCUCAAGUAAGCACAAGGGUUGACAAUUAUGCUCCCAAGUUUUGGCAUUGCUCCAGCCCCUAUCGUCCACUCCUCUAGCCAACAAAUUGAUUUCAGGUGCAAUACUUUGAGCUCCGGGAAACCACAAGAGCAAACACAAGCCAGUUUUCUUCCUGAAUAUGAGUUCUGCUUCAAUUUCAGCACUUGAAGGUGUGGAAGCUUGUCUAGUGUUAGCAUGGUAUCCGCCAAUAACUCAGUAUUUGAUAAGCUUAGUUGGAUCAGACUUGGAGAAGCUGGUAUUUAGACAGGGCCAUCCGAGAGAGCUACCACCUCUUGGUUUCGUUCACCAGCUUCAAGCAUUCAAGUUUGUGUAGUUCGCAUAGGCUUUUGGAAACCCCAGAACGAUAAUAACUCAAACCUCCAGAUACUAAGAGUUUGAAAAUGAGGUAGUCUGCCUGUUAAAGUAGCUCACUAUGCUGAACGAAAGAAGGAGAAAGCUAAGCUGAAGAAAAUACAGGGCAAGAGUAUUAGCUGUGCCAGCUCAACUGACAGCUCAGCAAAAUCAGUUAAAUUUUGUUACAAGCCCCCUGUGCAUUGUGCUGAAGAUUAGUUAGUUUAAUAAUGAUUAGUUUUAGAUUAGUUAAAAUGUAAUCAUGAUUAAGAUAUAUAUAUAUAUAUAUAUAUAUAUAUAUAGAUAUAGAUAUAUAUAUAGCUGCUGUACUGAUAGGGCAUCUCAAAAGUUCUGAAAUAAUACCUCAAUUCUAUGGCAAAAAUAAAUAAUCUCAAACAAGAACCAAUAAUCAUAUUUUGUUACUGUCAAACACAAUGCAUAUGAGCAAAACAUUGGAAGCCAACACCAGAAUACAUAUGAAUAAACAAUUAAAGAUAGAGAAAAAAGGCUUAAACCUUGGGGGAAAAAAGUGAAAAAACAUGAAAGACAAAUUACACAUGUGCAGUAACCAUCGAACUUAUCAGUGACAGCUGCAUCCAUUACAUUGCUCCAACAACACAAUGGCAAACCACCAGUUUCAAAUUGAGGAUAGCUAUCGAGAAUGAGAAAGUGUCCAAAACAUCAUAAAUAGACAUGUUCCUAUUGUGCAUAAUUUACAUUAUAGGCAAAUAUUCUUAUACCAUCAAAGGCAAAACAUGACACUAACAAUUGAUCCCCCCCCCCCCCCCCCCCCCCCCCCCCCCAACAAAAAAAAAGGAAAAAACAAUACAGAAAAGAUUGAAACAGAUAAGGCUACACUGAGCACAGGAUGCCAUGAAACAUAAUCCAGGAACCAAAUUAAUAAAGAAGGAAGGCAAACCAUUAUUUAACAAUCUGUUUUGUAUUUGGGAAAGUCCGAUAAAAUCUACUUAGGGAUAAUUAGAGAACCUCAACUAUUAAUCACACCUCAUAAAUGAACUAACAUUAACCAUGUACCAUCCCCACAUCAGACAAACAUUCUCUAUACUUCUGAACCUAAUACUUCCAUCUUCAAUUGGGGUUUUUUUUUGUGGGGGGGGGGGGGGAUAAGCUAUCGUGUUUCUAAGCUUGCUUACCUUCUGUGUGGGACUGAAAUACUGAUUUCGAAUCAUUAACAGUAAAAUUGGAAGCUCAUGAAAAAACAAUUUUAUCUUUUAACAAAAGUUAAAAUUACAUCUCCAUAUAAAUUCUCUUUUCAUUUCCUUCAAUUUUCUAAUUAAGCUUAAAAAAAUGUACCUUCAACCACAAAGGGGUUUAAAAUUUAAAAUAUAUAAAAAAAUAAAUUCAGAUAACAAUAAUUAAUUUAAUUAAAAAUAUAAAUAGAGAUUACAGAGAAAGAGAAAAUAGAGAAAGACCUAAUGUUGAGUCCUUUGGUUCUCUUCAUAGGUCCGAACCAUUUCUUCGGGCGUGGGUUUCGGGUCUUUAGGAAACUCCAUCGUCAUAAGCCAGUGAUUGUAAUCGCAACCCUCCAACAGAAUCGUGUCGGGUGUGAUCUCGUCGCCGUCCUUACACAAGUGGUAAGUCUUGUUACCCGACGGCGCAGACGAGAGGGAGAUCGUCGGGGACGAUCUGAACGGCCGAGAAUGGAUGAUGAUGGAGGAGGAGGAGGAGAUUAGCGAUGACGACGCCGAUGAAAUGGAAGGGUUUACCAGAGGAGUGGAUGCCGAAAGUGCAGGGACGGCCGCCAGGAGAGAGCGGUGGAGAGCAGCGACGGCCGGCAGUGACCGGCGGAAGAUGGCGGGAGAUGGCAGCGUGGGCCAUUGCUUGCGCGUCAGUGAGUGUCUCGAGUGAGAGAGUGAAGGUAGGGAUGGCAAUGGGGAGGGAGGGAGGGUCCAAUCUCUCCGUACCCAUCCCCCAAUUUGUCCCCGUCCCUCCCCGUCCCCAUUUGCUUAGAAUCUCCAUCUCUGCUCGAAUAAUAACAGGAAAUCCUCGAGGUUCUAAAUAACUAAUAAUUUUUUUUAUUUUUUAUUUUUUUAUUUUUAGUUAAUUAUAUUAAAAUAAAAAAUAAAAAAUAAAAAUAAAAUUUAAAAUAUAUCUUAUAUUAAUAUUGAUCCAUUAUAAAAAUUACAUGUAAAAUAUAAAUUAUCAAAAUAAUUAUCUUUAUCAAUCUUCAUAAUCAUAUAAUAAAAAGAAAAAAAUUUACUUUUAUAUUGAUAAUAAAAUAAAUAUAGAUAAUUAAUUAAUAUUUUUAAUAAAACAAAAUUUUUGGGCUAAUAGAAUCUACCCUGCUUUUUUAAUAUCUUAAAUAAAAAUUUAAGACUUUAAUUAGUUAAUUAGGCCUAAAAAUUUAAUAAUAUAAAUAUUUUGAUAUUUUUUAUUUUACCAAUAUUUAUAAUUUUAUAAUAUAUUCAAUUUUUAUUAUUUAUUUACUAGUAAUUUUAAAAAAUAAAAAUAAAAUUAAAAAAUAAAAUGGGGGAAAUGGGGAGGGGAUGGGGAUUCCACCUCAUCCUUGUCCCUUCCUCGAAUAAGAAAUUGAUUAAAAAAAAUUUCCCGUCACUUUCUCGAAUAAGAAAUCGGGUAUAAAAUUAUCCUCGUACCCUCCUCGAAUGAGAAAAAUCUCCGAGGAUACCCAUACCCGUGGGGAUUUUUGCCAUCCCUAAGUGAAGGAUUUUGUUUAGGGUUUUGGGAAUUGAAAAAUGUAAAUGUUUGAUUUUGUUGCUAGAAACUUCUUCUGCCGCUGCUUUUUAUUUUCGCUAUAAAAGUAAUAAUUUGUUAAUCAAAUAUUUUCUUAAAAAAGAUAAAUUUCUAGAACAAAAUUUAUAUUAAAUCAAAUUGUAAAAAUGUGGAAUAGGGCUAAUUUCUCCUUAAUAUUAUUGUUAGUAGAAGUAGAUUUUCGAACUAGUCUUGAUAUAUUUUAGAGUUGUAUUAUAGAUGUAUAUGUAUCUAGAUUGUAAUUAUAUUUUAAAAAAUAUAAUUUUUUUAAUUAUUGCACAAUAAGUGUAGAAAAUAUCUAUAAAAUAAUAUUAUUAGAACUAUGAAAAGAAUUUAUUUUAGAGAAGUUGUUUUUUUAUUAUUGAAUUUGUUAAUUUAUUAAUUUAUUGACAAAUGAAUAUUUAUUAAUUUAAAGAGGGAUUUUUUUUUAUUUGCUUUUAAGAAGAGUUUUGUUGGUACAUGUACAUACUUAUAAAGAAAUACAAAAAGUGCUUCCUCUGUUCCUCAAAUCAAUAGUAUUUACUUUAAUUCAUAAUAAUAUAGCUUAUUUAGGAAACUUGUAAUUAUACCAUGUCUUUGUUUCUUUGUUCAUUUUGGUGGGACAAUGUGAUAAAUGAUUGGAUUAAAAUGCAUUAAUAAAUAAAAACUUAUUAAAACCUAAUUUAUUUGGGAACCACAUAUUAUUUGUCAGUAGUAUUUAUCAACUUAACAAGUUAUUUCUAAUUUGUCCCUCUCUAUUAAUGGUUCUCUUAAAGCCAAUAGGGUCGCAUUUGAUAUCUUGCCAUUACCGUUGGCAGUAGCGUGUUACCUAAGAUUUGGAUUCAUUGAAAUCCUCAAUGUAAUCGGUGGAACGAAUGGAUUUCUUCUAUUCAUAAUUUGAUGCUUUGGAUUCAUUGAAAUCCUCAACGCAUUUGAUAUCUUUUUCGUUGAAUUCGUGCAGUUAAAUAAUCUCUACCAACAUAUGUAUGUAUGUAUGAAAUUGGAGUAACCAGACCUUUUCAAGAGUUAAAUAAUCUCUACCAACAUUGUAGAUUGCCCGAUAAAGUUAACUGUGUUACCCAGCUCUAUGCAUAUACAUUAAAUGCAUGUUUGGGUAGUUUUAUAAAAUGAUAACAGCAUGUCAAAACUUGAUAUGAGUUAUAUUGUCAUAUUCGACAUUUUUAAAUUGAAAAAUAAGCAAGCAAUCUUCAGUGAACAUUACAAUUUUGUUCGCUCUACACCCCAUCAAUAUUUAAGCAAUCUACAUAUCAUUACUUGAGGAAAGAAACUCAUUGCGCCACUAGGCUUUUAACGAGGCUCAUUUCUAUGAAUCUGGAUAGCAUUAGAUAUCUCUCCGAAUACUGUUGGGAGUAGAUUGCAGUUCUCUGGGCUAUACUACAAAGUGUAUGUACGUUGAUUCUCUGAUAUGAUUCAAAACAUCAGUACAUGCAUCAUUUAAUGAGAAAGAAUAUUCUGAGAUUAUUUAUGCAUCACCAUUUGUAGUUGUACUGACUCUAAUGAAAUUAAAGGUGCAAUCAGCAACUAAAAUGAAGCCAGAAAGACACGCAUGAGGCAGUUUUCCUAGAAGAUUUGAUAUUUCUUUGACUAGCAAACCAUACGACAUUAAUCAAAACACAAUACGCACAAACAGACCCCUACAUACAUACCAGCAAAUUCAAAAUAGAAAAAGGAGUGCAACUAUUCAAGUUUGUAGACAAUAUUGCAGCCAUGGCAUAUCAAAGCAAAUCCUUGAAAUGUGCUAAACAGAACAAUGCCCUGUCUGAUGAAUCGACGCUCAAUUACAAUUGAAAUUGAAAGUCCGGCUGGUGUUGUUUCCCUCUCCAGUUUUGCCUACAUAAGUAAAGGGAAAUGAGAAUCAUAAAAGAAAAUCUGCUUUUAUGGUUCUUAUUAGAUAGAUAAAAAGGGAUCUUUCUUUGUUUCUCUGCUGCAAUGUGUGGCUAUCCCACUCUGUUUUGCCAGUCAAGCUGAGUCUAUGUUGAGACAUAAUUUUGACAUCAGAAGCGGCCUCAAUUAGUUUGGCACUUUUGCGAUAAACAUAAAUCUACUAAGAAAGUGCAAAAAAAAAAAAGAAAAUGAAUAUAAAAGUAUGAUUUAUCAGAUAAGAUUAAAACUCACCCAAUUAAAUCCGUCAGAUUCCAUAAGGAUAUAACUGGAUGUCAUACCGCCACUCCAUAUCCUCGAAAGUCCGUAGUCUUUGUCUCAGCUCUGUCUGAGGCCAAUGUAAAUCCAAUUUGCGCAAGCUCUUUAUGCACCACAGCUCUUCUGGAAGCUUUCUCAGGUAAGCACAUGGGUUGACAAUUAAGCUUUCAAGUUUUGGCAUUGUUCCUCCCCCCAUCGUCCACUCAUCUAGCCAAUACAUUGAUUUCAGGUGCAAAACCUUAAGCUCCGGAAAGCCACCAGAGCCGACACAGGCCAGCUUUCUUCCUAAAUACGAGUUCUGCUUCAGUUUCAGCACUCGAAGGCGUGGAAGAUUUUCCAGAAUUGGCAUGGGAUCCUCCAUUAGCUCAGUAUUUGAUAAGCUCAGUUGGAUCAGACUUGGGGGAAAUUGGUAUUCAGAC
rnacentral:lncRNA from 1 species